GUUUUUGUCACUGCCUCCACCUUCGGUUUCUAUCACUUUCGUUCUCCGACGGGGGAGAAUAGUCGUGACUGAAACUAAGAUAGAACUCGGAUUCUUCGCUUCGAGCUCUUCAUCACAAUAUUGAAGAUAAGUUCUCUCUCGCUCUCUGGUUUCAUUUUUCAAUUCAAGCAACAGCAUUGAUUCUCGGCCCUUUUCUGAAUCUCCAGUGGCUUCCUUAUCGACUUUCCUUCACCAUCGCCCUCCGGACACCGUUGGUACACACCGGUCGUUCCCGUCCGAAGUUCUGUUCGCCCCUGUUCUCGGUCAUCAUUGCUGAAGCGCUCGAACUGCAGUCAGCAUGUCUCUCAUGACGAUUCCAGUUCACAAAGCUGCUUCCACGAUCACCUUACUAAGGUCCAAUCAUGAAUCGCAACAGGUAAUUAUCCUCUAUCCAAUCAAAUCACAUAUGCUCUGUUUCAUGGUGUUCUACGUACAAACCACUGCCUGGGUAAAAAUCAAUUAUGACUGAGCCUGUGUUAAUGGUUUGAAUUUGCUACGUUGCUUUGUGAUGAUCUCGUUCACAUACAUGUACUGUAUUGACAUCCAUAUUUGAUUUUCAUAUCUGAUUUUGUAGUGCGUUCUUGAUCUGAGACAUUUUACAGUAUGUUUGUCGACUUACUUUUGUCAAUUGGUUCAAUGCAGGUAUAGAAAAAGUCGAGUCUCGACAUGUUGUGCUGAUCAACGAACCUGUGUUUGGAUUUGCUGGAACUAGCUCAUACCUGACUGGUAAUGUUUAGCUCAUUGAUAUGGUGUUGGGUUGUUUAAUUACUUUUCUCUGCUAAAUCCUACCUGCGAGAUGUUUCGCUCGUGUAUCCCAUUUUAGAACUGAACAUCUCAGCGGAUUGCAUAAAUGGUCGUAGUUUGUCUGCCGCUGCGUCUGUAGAUCAUGUGGCCACGGGAAAUGCACUCUUACAGAUUCAAGCAGUAUGCAGAAGGCUUCACUAGGUGACCAUUGUAAGCUCGAUGAAAGUGCUCCCAGAAGCCCCGAUAAAACCAAGUAAUGAUCUUCUUCGGUAACCAGAAAGUGAGACGGAGUCGCAGCAACGACCAUCUAGUUCGUGAAUAAUUCCCCCAGAAAUGAAAAAUAGAUACAAGAGAAUCUUCUCAAGUAUUAAGGAAAGUACAGAGUAAUAACAACUAUCAGAGGGAAAGGUCACGAGUUUCUAUCUUCAGACUGCUGGAACAUACAAAUUGAAUGCUCUCAAAGGAGAUCUGAUUUUUCAUUAAAAAUCCUUCAAAAACAACGACAUACCUUGGAAGGAUUGAUCUAGAUGUCAAUCAUCUUUUGAAUAAAAAUGCAGCUGAGUCUUGAAAGGCCCAAGACACCUUGAACAAAGUAGACCAUCACAACUGCAAUAUUGUCUGGGGACAAGUCGACCCCAAAAAACUUAUUGAACUUGUAUAGCUUUUUUCCCUGCGAAGAACAUUUUUACUGGAAGUGCUUGUUUCUCUGUCAUUGUUUGCUGUCAACAUAUCCCCAUUUCCUGCCCCUGGAUUACCGACGGAGACAGAUAAGGAAAAAACAGCAUCAGAGCAGUAGUGGCAUUGGGGAAGCAGCAUCACACUUUUAUUGAUAAUGUUUGAGAAAUGAUUGUAACAAGCUAAUUAUGCUCCUGACUAGAAUUCGACAGCUGCCAAAAUGAAUAACAAGGAAAAAAGCCACUUCAGGUCAGUGACCCUUCACAGAGGAGUCCACUUCCAGAGUCCAUUUCCAACGUAAGUCGUGAAACUCCAUCACUUCACAGGCCGACACAUUUUUCAUGUUCCAAAAGAUUGAGCAGUUGAGAUAAUGCGCUUGCAUUCUCCACCCAACCAAGAAGCAGCACAUAUUUGCCCAUAAAAUCGAUAUUUCAGCAGGUUUCACUUCACUUGAACGGUACUUUACAAUGCUCGAAGAACACUUUCAUCUCUACUUGUGCAACUUCAACUAGACCGGAGAGGUGACAGAUCAGUUCAACUUAAAUCAGAGAUGAGCACAAGCAAAGAUGAUCGGCCAAGAGGACCAAUCUACCGCAGCAUGAAUUGAAUUAUACCCAUCACCAUUUAACCAGUUAAACCCACAACAACUUCAUCGCCACCGUCACGUCAAGCAGACUCACAAGUCCUUCAGACCAACAUAAACCCAAACAAGCAAAACCCAUAAAUGGUUACCAAACAAACAUCCGAAAUUCAAGAAUCAUCUUCCACCUACGCUCAAUCAAACACCAUAAAUUCCUCAAGGAUAAAACGAAUGCGUCAACGAUUGGGGUAAAUUGGCGAAAACAAUCAUUGGGUAAGAAAAAAUCGACGCAAUGAAAUUUACCCAUAGAAUUCAGCAACCGGUCAUGAUCCUCGUCCCACCGGCGAGGGGCCGCCGGCAUCUGGACGGCGGUGGACAUGUCGUUACCCGGCGGCGGCCGCGGCUGCACCGGCGGGUUCUUCCGGUGAGCUCGUCUCCGGUGCCGGGCGACGAGGUUGGACGAGUUCCUGCGAAUGCGGGACGAGAUGAGGAGAGCAGGGCAGCGGGAGAUGGAGGAGAAGGGUCGGAUCUUUGGGGAGGGCAGUUCGGAGAAGGAGAGGGUUGUAAGGAUUGCCAUUAAAAUAGAGAUAAAAGGUUUCGACUUUAAUUUCUUCGAAAAUUCUGUAUGGCUUCUGUUUUUAUUUUAUUUUGUUGUCUCCCAGUUUCGCGGGGUUUUGGUUGGUUGGAAUUGGAGUGAACUGUCCUCCUCCUCUUGUGAUAUUAUGCACAGAUCUCUCCACAAAAUUAAUUUGCUUCAGUACACUUUGUAAUUCCUUAGGAAUGUAAUACGUAAUUGAUUGUCCGAAAAGCUAGUCUUGGAUAUUUUUCACGAAGAAGACCCACUUUGUACAUAAAAAUUAUUUCCCUUUUAUAAAAUCCACUAAAAUCAGAAAGUUUACUUGGAUUAGAUUUUUUUUUUUUAAGGUCAAAUUCGAGAUGUAAUCUUAGUAUUUUAUGAUUUUGAAUCCAUGCAAAUCCAGUCAAAAAUAAAAAAAGAAAGUAUAAUUUAUCUUUGAUCAAUACUAGUUUAAUUUAUGUGUCUCAACUGCCCACAAACAUAAAAUGAUAUAUAUCUUCUUUUCUUUGUAGAUGCUCAAAACCAGUGAUGAAAUUAUUUAGAAUAAAACAAAACUUUGAAUUUUCUUUUUAGAUUUUUUGGCUUACUUAAUUGAAAAUUCAUUUUACCAUCCAUUUUCAACAAGGUAGUAUAGGGUAGCUUGAAACUCAUGAAACCAAGAGAUUUUAAGCAAGUUCAAAAUGUUCGUGAGAUAAGUUUAGAUUUCAAAAACUUAAAAUUGAUACCUACAUCAUAAGUUAAGAUAGUGAUCUAUAAGUUUAUAAGUAAUUGUGAGAGGAUGGCUCCCCUACCUCCCCUAUUAAGUAUUCCACAUUGAGUAAGAAUCCAAAAUAUCAAUACUUGAAAACUAACCGGAAAUUAUUGGUAUCUCAUCCAAGAAAUCAUACUUAUUGAAAUUGAUUGAGUUCAGAUCUCAUGAGAAAAUUUCUCUCCAUUGUUUGAUUACUUACAUUAAUGGUAGUAACGUGCUCUAAUUAAGAUUAAUAUGUAUGAUGGUUUUCAAAGCCAAUCUAAGAACCUCUCUUACCUCUAAUAAAAGCAGCUAUUUUUUUUUUUUUUUAACAGCAGCUACUUUAAAGAUGCAAAAACAGGGGCUCUCAAGUUGGCGAAUCUAACAGCUAAAUUCGAAGUAAGCCUGAAGAUUAUAAUCCAUUUAAAUAUGACUUCUUUCUAAAGUUCACAACCCGUCUUUCUUCUAUUUAAUUUUCCACAUAAUCUCAUACCAACGGUUUUAUUGGUCCCAGUCCCACAUUUUCUUUUCCUUUGUUGUAAAGGGAGGGUGGAGAGUAGCAUUCAAGGUGACCAUGCUCUAUUUCCCUUUUUCUUUUCUUUUUUAAGUGCGUUAUUGCUCUAUUGAGUUGUCAUAAAAAAGCUCACCCCUGCCAUAAGGUAUUCCGAUGUAGAAUUGUGAGAAGGUUGUCAUCCAAUACCACUUGCAACCGAAUUAUCUUGCAUAGACAAGUCCAGUUACAAGAAGCACACCAAAAUCACUUGAGGUCCUCUUGUAGGCAAGAUAAGAUACACGUUGCUAUCCUCGUCGGUGGGUUAUCUUUAUGACCCAACACUUCUGAAAUCAUCACGUCAUACCAUUAGGUCGACAUUACUGGGGAUCUAUAGUCUCCCAUAACUCUACAUUAAUAUAAUCAAAAGGGCUAUUCAAGAAAAAAAAAAAACAAAAUGAUCAAAAGGGUCACUCAUUUAUGAGACUUGGAAUAGGAAGUACCCUGAUAUGUCUUUUUCGUAGGUUUUUGGUUGCUUUCGUGUGAGUAUGAAUACAAUUGUUUGUCCAAUUACUCUUAUAAUUAUUUAUUUACAUGACAAAAUAAUUUUUAACGGGGGCAACUUGAUUUUCUCAUCAUAGAUUCUUUAUUUAUUCUCAUUUUUCUCUCACUAACAAGCUUUGGGUGGAAUUUGAAGAGUCCAAAAUGAUUGAUUGAUAUGAAAUUUUUGCAUUGAUGAUCGCAAUUGGCAAAAAAAGGGAAUUAAAAAAAAUUCUAGGGCCUAAUUAUUAUUUCAAGUGGUAUAAAGUGGUCUUUAGUUUAUUUUUCAUAUAUACACCUCUAAGUAUAACAUUGACACUACUAGAAGAAAGCAACUAUCAACUAAUUAGCGCUCUGCUUGAUUAACUGAAAAUUUAGUAUUUUCAACUGGUUUUUUAGAAUUAAUUUUCAAGUAAAUGAUAUUUUUUUUCAGCGUUUGGUAAAAAUUUGAAAAUGAAAAAAAAAUUAUUUUAUGCUGUUUGGAUAAAAAAUUAGAUAUCAUUCUCUUAUAUGGGCAGGGAAAGUGGUUUGGGCCAAAUAUUUCUUCACAUUUUUGGUCCAACAUUCUCCUAUUCUUCUUCUUACCACUUUCUUUUAUCCCUUCUUCUCUGCCCGGCACCGUGAAAAGCUAAACACCAUUCAUUCACACCGCAGCCAUGGUAGUCACAGAAUACAAAGUCAAAUGGUGGCGACUAGGUGGCAGAAAAGCUCGAGAAGCCCCUCCUACCCACAUUUUUCGAUUACUUGGCCAUCCGAUUGGUGAAAUUUCCUCCGCCCUAGCUUUCUUUUUCUUUUUUCCUGAAUUUUUGCUGGCUGUGAACGGUGGCGGUGGCGGUCGUGGUGAUCGAGUCUGUGGUGGUGCUUGUUAUUGCGGUUGGGAAUGGUUUUGAAGGAGGAGGGUUCAAUGGGGUUGGGGAUUUGGGUCUGUUUGGUGAUCGAUGGCGGCGGUGGAUGAUGAUGGUGUGUAAAUGGGAGGGUGGCAUUUGCGUGUGUUUGCAGAGGAGAGGAGACGGAUGAUGAUGAAAUUGGUCUGCGAUAGUGAGAGGGGUAAGCAGCAGUUUUAGAUUUUAUGAUCUGAAAUUAUUCUCCUCAAUUUUGAGGCAUGGCUUUUCCUCUCAGUGGAAAUUAUUUUCCUGGACCAACUAAACUUUUAGCAUCAAACAAUAGAAAAGAAGAAGAAGAAGAAGAUAUUCACUUAGGAAUGGAAGAGGAGAGAUGUGAAAGGCAAAGCAACAAACCCAAUUGGCGUACUGCAAAGUCCUGGUCUUCCUGGAUUUCAUUGAAGUUUCGUUCCCACAGAGGGAUUGAACACGACUUUCCUGUUCAUUAAUGUGAUGCUUAGAUAGUUAUUAUUCCAUUGAUUAUAUGUUAUUCGUUAGUGAUUUUUUAACUCAUUUACUGUUUCCAGAUUAAAAAAAACCAAGCUGCUUAAUGGAUUAGUUAGUGUGCCUGACUUGUAGAUUGGUAGUGCAAAGAGCGUGCUUUUGUUUUCCUCAUCGAAUAUACAAAGUUAGCUGCCUCUGAUAACUUGUAGAUGUGUAACAAAAAGUCUUUGUCUUCGAAUAAGAUAUCUGGGGAUAAUCUCUAAACAUUAAGAGAGGAGAAGUUUUGGGCAAAAAGUAUUUUACCUUGAUAUCUAACCAUUGAUGUGUAUCCUUGGAAGUCUUGGUCUUUGUUUAAUGUUUUCGAGAGGUGAAAGUCUUUCUCGCCAUCGCUUCACUUCACCAUAACCCUUGCUGUUAUAUACUGUGACUCAUUCACCCAUUUUAUAUCUCCAUUAGCUCAUUGUCACUUUGCUUCACCAUAACCUGUGUUCUCUACAGUUGACGGAUUCACCCAUGGCCAUUGGGGAGAUCCUUUUGAGUGCCUUCCUUUAGGUCCUGUUCAAGAAGCUGGUUUCUUUAGGACUAGACUAUAUGCAAAGGGAAGGAGCAUUGCCCUUCUCUGGAAUCAGCAUCGACUUGCUCAAUAAAUGGGGGAAGAUGCUGGACACAAUCAAUGCAGUGCUGGAUGAUGCAGAGGACAAGCACUUGAGUGGUAAUGGUUUAGUGAAGCUAUGGUUGGACGAUAUUAGGGAUCUGGCCUAUGACAUGGAAGACUUGCUUGAUGAGUUUGCCAUCAAAACCGCUCAGGCCAAGUUGGAGGUAGAAUCUAGCACAAGUGGAGGUGAGUGAAGUUCUAUUUGUUUAGCCAACAUAAAUCUUCUAGAUCCAAUCCAAACCCAAGCUUGCUCGUGUCUAAAACUAAGGUUCAGAAGAUCAAUGGCAGGUUGGAGGACAUUGUUGCCAGGAUGGCUUAUCUAAGCUUGACAGAGAAUGUUGUGGGUAGAACUGACUUCACCAACAAAAGGCCCCACAACAUUUGUCUAUCAGAGACUCGUUUUUUUGGCACGGAGAAGGAAGAAGCGAAGAUACUCAAAUUAUUGACUGGUGAAGCUGAAAAUUCUGAUGCCAUGUUGAGCAUAAUCCCCAUAGUUGGGAUGGGUAGUGUUGGAAAGACGGCCUUGGCUCAACGGCUGUAUAAUGAUGCCAACGCAAGCGGCUGCUUCGAGAGAAGAGCAUGGGUUUGUGUUUCGGAUGUUUUUGAUGUUCUCAACAUAACAAAGGCUAUUUUGUGGUUGAUCAUCGAGUUGUCAUGCAAGGACAAAGAUCUCAACUAGCUUCAAGUUAAGUUGAAGGACAGUCUAUCAGGGAAGAAGUUUCUUGUGGUUUUAGAUGAUGUCUGGGUAUGGGGAAUGGACUGCCCUCUUAAAGCCAUUUGAAGCAGGGGCUAAGGGAAGCAAGAUCAUCAUCCCAACUCGAAAUAGUUCGGUUGUUUCCUUAACAUGAGCUUCGCCCCAUCCUUUGAAGGAGUUGUCCAUUGAUAAUUGUACAAGCUUAUUAGCCUUUCAUGCUCUUAGAGCAACAAAUUUUGAGAGGCACCUUGAUCUUGAAACAAUAGGCAAGUAAAAAGCUGAAAAAUGUAAAGUUUCACCUUGGCAGUGAAAGUGUUAGGUGGUCUCUUGCAUAAUAAAGGGAAUCUUGAUGAAUGGGAAGUUAUCUUAAAUAAUAGAAUGUGGGAUAUUCUGAUGGGAAAAAUGAUGAGGUUCUCCUAGUUUUGAAUUUGAGCUACAAUAGGCAAGAAAAGAGCUGAAAAAUGUAUAGUUUCACCUUGGCAGUGAAGGUGUUAGGUGGUCUCCUGCAUAAUAAAGGGGAUCUCGAUGAAUGGGAAGUUAUCUUAAAUAAUAGAAUGUGGGAUAUUCUUAUGGGAAAAAAUGAUGAGGUUUUCCUAGUUUUGAAUUUGAGCUAUGUCCAUCUUCCCUGUUAUUUGAAGAGAUGUUUUGCUUAUUGUGCAAUGUUUCUCAAGGAUUACGAAAUUGAGAGGGAUGAGCUGGUACUCUUGUGCAUAGUGGAGGGCUUUUUAGAUGGACAAAAAAGAAAGGAGAAUAACUUGAGAUUAGGAUGGAAUUACUUCGAUGAGUUAGUAUGCAGAUCAUUUCUUCAAGAAUCAAGUGUCAUUGCAUCCAAGUUCUCAAUGCAUGAUUUUUUGAAUGAUCUAGCAAAGUCAAUUGUAGGUGGGACAUGCUUUAGCUCAAAGGAGUCUUAGCUAGUAGGAAAUGAAGACAAUGCGUCUCUUGUGAAAGCUUGUUAUGCAUCAUUCAUCUCGUCGUGGUCUGUUACAUCAAAAUGCUUGAGAGCGUCCUACCAAAUGAAGGUACUAAGAAGUUUAAUGCUACUUCAUAUGGGAUCUAGAGGGGGCAAUAAGUUCUACAUUUCCAACGAGGUGUUGCAUGAAUUGCUAACGGAAUUAAAGUACUUGAGGGUGGUCUCAUUAUGUCAUUGUGACAUCAUAGAGGUACCGAAUUAUGUUGGUGAUUUAAAAUAUCUUUGAUAUCUCAAUUUCUCAUACACAGACAUCAAAAGACUACCUAAUUCAAUUGUCACCUUAUGUAAAUACAAGCUUUGAUCUUAGGAGGUUGUCAAAAGCUUUUUGUGUUGCCUCUAGAUAUCACAAAAUUGGUGAGCUUACAGUUUCUUGACAUUAGAGAUACACACAGUCUAAAUGAGAUGCCUUUCGGUAUUGGUAACUUGAAAAAUCUUAUUGUCUUGCCUAACUUCGAUGUAGGAACUAAGAAAGGGUUACAGUUAAAGGAGUUGAAGAAUUUGUCCUAUCGUCAAAGAGAAUUAGUUAAAUCAGAAUCGCAAAAAGUACGAGAAGCUAGAGAUGCCGUUGAUGCUAAUUUUUUUUGGAAAGCAAGGCCUUAGCAACAUGUUCUUGCAUUGGAGUGAAGAUUUUGGAAAUCUGUGGAAAGAUAAGCAUGAAGCACAAGUGCUUCACUCUUUGCAACCUCGCACUAAUCUUGAAAAUCUCACCAUCUCAUAUUAUGGUGGUGCAAUAUUCCCGUCAUGGUUGGAUGGUCCAUUCUAUUGUAAGCUAGUGUCUUUGUGCUUACAGGGCUGUCCUAAUGUUAUAUCGCUACCCCAACUUGGACAACUACCUUUACUUAAGAAAUUAAGUCUUAAUGGUCUACAUGCAGUAAGAAUGAUAGGCUCUGAAUUUUGUGGAGGUGAAGGGCCUUUCUCAUCCUUAACAACUUUGAAGUUUGAAGAGAUGUUGGCAUGGAAUGAUUGGUCUCGUUAUGCCGGGGGUCCAGAAGAAGAAGUACCAUUCUCCUGUCUUUAGCAUCUUGUUGUUCGGAGUUGUCCUUCGUUGGUUGGGACAUUGCUUUGUCAACUUGAUCGUCUCAUAAAGCUUGAAAUCCAUUUGUGCCCACAUUUGAAAAAUUCAACUAGUGCAGUUUGUCUUCAAUUUCUCUACAAGUUAUAUACCUUAAGGAUUGUAAUAGAGGGAUCUUAAAGUGCUUGGUCAACAUAACUUCUUUAAUCAUUGUCAGGGUUCAAAAUCUUGCAGAGCUUGUUUGCUUUAAUCACGAGAUUAUGAGCUAUUUGGUCAAGCUAAAGGAGCUUCAUAUAAGAAGCCGUGACAAGCUAACAUACUUGUGGCAAGAUGGAAAUGAAACACGAAAUCUUACUUGCCACCAAGAAUUAUCCAUCCAAAGUUGUUCUAAAUUCAUGUCUUUUGUGGCAGAAGAAGGAGAGAUAGAGUUGCCUUUCAACUUCGAAACAAUAAAAUUGAGGGAUUGUGCGAGUUUAGAAAAGCUUCGAGGCAAGAUGCACACGCUCAAAGAUUUGUUAAUUGAGAAGUAUCCAAAACUGAUGGGAUUAUUAACAAUUACUCCAAAUGACUUCACUAGCAAUAAUCUGAUGCCUCAACUUGCUGCUGUCAAGACACUUAUUAUUGGGCAUUGUGAGGGAGUGGAGUUGCCGGAAGGGAUUGUUGUAGAAUUGCCGAAUUCUAUGACAGCUGUUUGAAUUUGGGAAGCCUACCACAGUGUCUUAACAUGCUCUCCCAUUUCACUCUUUUGAAAAUAAGUAACUGUUCGACAUUGGAGAUAGAGUCUUCCCUUCCCUUCCCAUCACCCUGUCAUAUUUCUUUCUCUAUAACUAUCCAAAGAUAAAGUCUACCAAAUCAGUGGCAUCAUCAUGUAUCCCUUCAUAUGUUGUAUAUUAUGUAUUGCCAAAAUAUCAAAUACUUCCCCAAAGGAGGUUUGCUUCAAUUUGUUGGACCUUACAGUUUUAGCGUGUGAGAAUUUGAAGCAUAUAGUGAGAGAGUGGGGCUUACCCAUGCUCACAUCCCUCAAGUUUCUGUUAAUUGACUUGAGCAUGGGAGGGGAAGGAGAGAAGGUAUGGUUUCCUUCGGAGGAAGAGGAUGUGUGGAGUCUUCUCUUUCCUUCCUCUUUGUCUUUGGAUAUUUAAAAUGAGGAACGUGGGAAGACUAUCAAGCUUUCUUUGCAACUAUCUUUCCUCUCACAUUUUUACACCUUCACGAUUGCCCAAAGUUGAGGUGCUUGCCAGAGGAUGGGCUCCCUCCCUCCCUCUGAGAAUUGCGCAUAGAUGGGUGUGAGAUUCUGAAAGAUCGAUGCUUAAAACUCAUUGGCGAUUAUUGGCCCCUCAUCCAACAGAUCCCGAGCAUCCUCAUUGAUGACGUUUGAAUCCAGUGAAUCCAUGUAUGGUUAGUUUCCUAGGGUUCAAGUAAGUUUUUGGUUUUGAUUUCAAUUCCGCUUCCUCAAUUCAAUGUGUAAUACAAAUUGAUAUUGUUUCCGUUGGAAAUGUUUCCCAUGAAUUUCCAAAAACUAGCCACUAAAGGUCAGACUAACAUUUGAGUGGGUGUUCUCAUUGGGUUGGAUCGGCUCUGUUUCAUUGGACAAUAAACUGUGGGACGACAUAUCAUAUCUUGAACUCUGCUUGAUGCCCAAACAAAUUGUGAAUGCAAAUGCACUAUGCAUUGCAUUAGAAUCCUGAUGAAUCAUUGCAUUCCGCCAUCAUGGCAAACAAUUUGAAUUUAGACCAAAGAGACCAUGUUUUGAUGCACAGUGUCCUUGAGUUAGAUAAAUCAAUUGUUCUCAUUUUUCUUCAAAUCAAGAUUUUUGGCUAUCGUUUGAAAGAGAUGACCUUUAUAUGUGGCAAUCCAAAAUAUAGGAUCAUAGGUGAUAUUUCUUCAUAGGAAAAAGUACAAAAAAGGUCCUAAACCUGUGGCACUGGUACCAAUUCAAUAUUAAACUUUUCGGUUGGACCAAUUUAGUCUUAAAUAUUUUUACAUUGGUACUAAUCUAGUCUUUUUGGCCAAUUUUGGCUAACUAGUGCUGAUGUGGAUGUUUGCCGGUUGGCAAACGCUAAUGUGACAAUUUUUAAAUAAUUUUUUUAAAUUUUUAAUUAUUUUUUUGCUUUUCCUUUUUUUUCCUCUUCUUCCUCUUGGCCUUCUUCUCCUGCAAUGGCCAAUGAGUAUAGGCUUUUACAUGGCAGCUAUAAUGCUAGAAAUUUGCAGCAAAGUGGGCGGCAAUGAUCUGUCGGAGGGUGUUGAAGUAGUUGUUGAUGAUAGUGAAUCACUCGAUACGAAAAUCGUGGUCCUUUGAAUAAAAAAAGCUAGCCCAAGAGAACUUGCUUGAUGGAUUAGUUGAUGAUUUGUGAAUUGUGUACUAUUUCCAAAGUAAAAAUAAGCAAGUUGCUUCAUGGAUUCGUUGGUCUACCCAACUCUUUUUCUUGUUUGGCCCAAAGCACUUGUUUCUGUUCUUCUUAUCGAAUAGUCAAAGUUAGUUUUCUUUGAUGACUUGCGGAUCUAUAAUAAAAAGUAAGAUGCAAUUGUUAGGUGGAAUGUCAACAUUUAUUUUAGUUGGUGCAAGUUGUACAAAGAUGCUUAUUUGUCAGUCCUAUUAAUUGUGGUAAGCUUCAUUCAUCGCUAGACAAGAAAAAGGGUCAAGCUCACCAACUAACAAAGUACUAGAUAUAUGCUAGGCAUCACGCUUAUGAAUAGGAAAAUCGUGCAAAGGACCACGAUUCUCCUAUCAAAUGGUUCUCGAUCAUUAACCACUAACUCAGUACCCUUCAGUAGAUCAUUGUUGCAUGUUUGCCUGCAAAUCUUUAGCACUAUAACUACCACAUAAAAGCCUACAUUGAUCACAUAUUCACCAAUAACACAAUAAACAAAGAUAUUGAAUUUAUAAGGCUACUAAGAAUGUACGGACGCAAAAAAAAGGGGGGGGGAUAAGUGCAUUAUAAGUUCUAAAACUUGCCACAAAAGUGCAAUUGAGUUUUAACACUUUAAAAACACAAUUAAGCCCAAAAGCCUGCUAUGAAGUAGAAUUAAGUCUUAAAAUUUUCAAAAAGUGCAAUUAAAUCCUAAAACAUGUCAAAUAGGUUCAAUUAAGUUCUUUCGUUGAUUGCAAUUUUCGAAAAUUUUACGAUUUAAUUGCACUUUCAAGACAAGUUUUAGGAAUUGAUUGCAUUUUUUAAAAUUUUUAGGACUUGAUGAUAUUUUUGUGACAAGUUUUAGGGUAUCUUUCGAAAAUUUUAAAAUUCAAUUGUACUUUCAUGAUAAAUUUUCAGACUUCCCAUACACUUAUUAUUAUUAUUAUUUAAAAAUCCUUGGUCUGUCUUUGUUUAAUGUUUUAGGACUCAAUGGUUUUUGUUAGGGUAGGUUUCUCAUUUUUUAGAACUUGGAACCUACCCUAUAUGUUAUGGAACUGGGAACCUAGAACCCCCGUUGUUCUCUCAAUGAUUGGUAAACCCAUGAUCAUUGGAGAGAUCUUUUGGAGUCCCUUCUUGGCUUCCUUCUUAUGCUUAUUUCUAGUAUUGUUAAUCUUAAGAAGACACGUAACGUGUGGAAAUUCUACUAGUAAUGUAAAAAGUGACAUUAACAUAAGGAUGGAAGAAGAGGGAUGUAAAAAGUGAAGCAGUAAAGCCAAUUUGUGUCCCGUAAAGUCUUGGUCUUCCUAGAAUUGAUUAAAGUUUCUUUCCCACUAUCACUUUUUCCCUUGUGCUUAAUUUUUCACACAAAAAAGUUGAUGAUUCCCAAUAAAGUCUUGGUCUUUCUAAUACUCCAAGAAGUUUGAGCUAGACCGGAGAUCACAUGUUUUGACGCACAUUAUGUCAUCGAGUUAUAUUGUUCUCCUUUUUCUUCAAAUCAAGGAUUUUGGAUGUCGCUUAAAAUAGGGGACCAUUUCUUUUGACCCAGAGCAUGAGAUUUUGUUGUCCUUACCAAACAAACAAACCUAACUGUCUUUGAUGACUUGUGGAUACAAAACAUACAAUAAGAUGCCAUUGUUGGUUAUGUCAUCAGUAAUUUAGGUUUCAAUAACUUUGACAAUGCAGCGAUCCUUUGAUGCGAUUUUGGCCCCAUGAAGCACGAGAGCUACUGGGGAGACAUAUGUUGGCAUGAGAUGGCUAGCUGCAGAAUUCUUGCAAAAAUAGAUGUCCAGCUUCAAAUUCAUUAUAUGGUCUAAGUUCAAAUUUCAAAUAGUUUGUGAACGGGCUUCUAAUAGUGCGUGAUUAUGAAUUCUCUAGAAUCAUUAUAAUUAGUAUAUACACCGGCAUGUGAUACUAAUUCACUUCAAGUAAUAUUAGAGGAAAGGCAUAAUACUAAUUUGUGAGCUCACUCAUAAUAAGUAGGUUGAAUUGUCCUCAAAAUUCUAAAAUUAUAGACAAUCCAGAUCCAUUGUCUAGAAAAUAUUUGAUACCAGUUAGCUUAUUUUCCACACUAAAUAAAGAAAAACGAAUUUCUCUUUAAGAAAGGAAGAUCAUGCAAUACAUGCUAGUGUCAUGGCCCGAAAGAAAGUCGAUCCUAGAGGUUCCUAUGGAAUGGGCGUGACACAUUCGACCCUCGGCUUAUAUCCCUGAGACUUAAGGUUUUCUCGAGCCUUCUAGAAUACUUGGGGCGGGCGAUACAAUAAUUGUAUUCGUUUAUAAUAAAUGCGGGUAGUUGGUACUUGGGGAGAUGUAAUCUUCACCGUUAGAUCAAGGGAAGACCUACGGAUACGGUUUGCCUUGUCUUUGUAUAAAUAUGGGUCUCCUCCUCUUCAUUGUAUUAUCUCAUUCACAAGUGAAAUACAAUCCUAAGCUUCUCUCUCUAGAGUUUUCUCUCUCUAAGAUCCUUGUGAAUCGAGUGUGGGUAAAGCUGCUUAGGGGUAAAAUCCUAAGGCCGCACGAGUCAGCUUAUGAGUGAUUGAGAGUGAUCGAUCAGCCUGUAACAAGUGGUAUCGGAGCUGAGUUUGUUUCAAGCGCAAGCACAAUAGCUGAUCCACGAUUUGAUGAGGCGCAAGCCAUGGGUGGUGACUAUGUUGAUCGUGGGAGGAACACCGAGAAGGUUGCUGCCAAGGGGAAGAAGACCCGUGGUGGUUGGAGUUCAAAGGAUCCAACGGGGGACCUUGCACAUCGUAUGACGAAGCUAGAGUUGUUUGUCAUCGAUGUCCAAUGAUCGGUUGAUGACCUGACCCAAACCGUGGAUGGAGUUGACGCCGGAAGAGAGGAGCUCGUUGCUAAGGUGCAAGAGCUCAAGACCGGCAUGGGAGAGCUCUGCCACGAGUUGCUAGGGACCCUACGGAAAGAACUCGCACAACGGUACGAACUCUUGAAGGCCAUGAUAGCGGCCAUGCACGUGGAGAUAGUGGAGCUUAAGGGUAAGCUUGCUGAAUCGGAAGUUGCACGCAUGAAUAUGGUGAUCACUGUGCAAGGUCCACGAGUGGACACACCGAAGCCAAAGGAAUUCCGAGGCUUGCAGGUGGCCAAAGACGUGGACAAUUUCCUCUAGUAUAUGGAGCGGUACUUCCAAGCCAUGGGGAUUAACGACGAGCAAUCACAGGUAAAUACUGCAUCUAUGUACUUAGUCGAUAAUGCAUUGUUAUGGUGGCGUCAUCGGUCAGAUGAUAGAUGUGGGGUACUUAUCACAACCUGAGGUAGAUUCAUCGAGGAUUUCCUACGGAACUACUUUCCCGCUUAUGCGAAGGAGGAAGCUCUUCACGAGCUGAAGCGUCUCGAGCAAAAGGGUGGUGCGCGCGACUACAUCAAGCGGUUUUCGGAGUUGCUACUCCAAAUCCCUUCGAUGAACGAGAUUGAAGCGUAUCACCAAUUCAUGAGUAGUCUCAAACCAUGGACUAAGCAAGAGUUGAAGUGGUGCAAUGUGGGAGAUCUCACGACGGCCAUGACCAUGGCCGAAUCGCUUGUGGAAUACAAGGGGCUUUCCACAUCCCAAUCGGACUCGUGUCCGAGGAACAAAGCCACUUGGGGGGGAGAUCGGGGGUGAUACAACUGCCCGAUCGGAGGUAGACCACUGGUUGGUCCUUACAAAGCUCAUGUGAAGUCGAGCGGAUGAGGACAAAGGAAGGUACACUCAUACAAAUGUUUCUUUUGCCAUGGUCUGCACAUAGCAAGGGAUUGCCCGAACAAGGCCAAGCUAGCCGCCCUUUGCAAGGAAGAUGAGCCUAGGAAGGAAACGCGGUUAGGUUCGCUGCGACUUCUUAGCAUGAUCAAGUCCAAGAAGGCGAAGGAGCCUAAAGGCUUGAUGUUCGCGGACUUGAAAGAUCGGAGAGUCCACAAUGAGUGCACUCAUGGAUACGGGAGCCUCCGACCUUUUUAUAUUAGAGCAAGCCGCGAAAAGACUUAACCUACGGGUUGAGAAAGGAGUCGGGUGGCUCAAGACAAUAAACUCCAAGAAAAUCCAUGCAACCGGUGUUGCAAGGGACAUGAAGCUACAACUCAGGCCAUGGAAGAGCAAGGAGACUCUAGAGGUAAUUCUCCUUGACGACUACGACUUUAUCAUUGGGAUAAAAUUCCUAGAUAAAAUCCAUGUUGUUAUAUUGCCUUUCGCCAAGUGUAUAUGCGUGUUGGACAAGCAUUGUCAAUGCGUGAUUCCAGUACAUCAUGAGUCGGACCGUGAUAGGAGGAUGAUCUCGGCUAUGCAACUCACCAAAGGGGCAAGGAAGGGUGAGGUGACCAUCCUAGCUGCCUUGAAGAUUAAAGACAACAAAGGCAAAGAGAAGGAAGUCUUAACGGAGGUAGCCCGAGUCCUCAACUCGUUCAAGGACGUGAUGCCUUCAGAGUUGUCGAAGAAGCUACUAUCUCAAAGAGAGGUGGAUCAUCGAAUCGAGUUGGUGCUUGAAGCUUGACCGCUUGCCAUGGCACCUUAUCGCAUGGCGCCCCCCGAAUUGGAAGAGUUGAUGAGGCAACUAAAGGAGUUGCUCGAUGCGGGCUAUAUUCAGCCAUCCAAAGCUUCGUUCGGUGCACUAGUCCUGUUGCAAAAGAAGCACGAUGAGUCACUUCAAAUGUGCAUCAACUACCAAGCAUUGAACAAGCUAACCAUGAAGAACAAGUACUCGAUUCCGCUCAUCGCGGAUCUCUUCGAUCAACUUGGUGGAGCUAAGUGGUUUACCAAGCUGGAUCUUUAAUUAGGCUACUAUCAAGUUCGGAUCGCUGAAGAAGACGAGCCGAAGAUAGCCUGCGUGAUGCGGUAUGGAUCCUAUGAGUUCCUUGUGAUGCCAUUUAGCCUGACCAACGCUUCGGCUACAUUUUGUACGCUCAUGAACAAGGUACUCCACCCUUUCCUAGAUCGAUUUGUAGUGGUUUACCUAUAUGAUAUUGUAGUCUAUAGUCGGACGCUCGAUGAGCAUGUCGAGCAUCUAAAGCAAGUCUUCCAAGCCUUGCACAAAACCGAGUUGUAUGUUAAGCGUGAGAAGUGUGCGUUUGCCCAAGAGGAAGUCCCGUUUUUGGGGCACAUUGUCGGGGGUGAACGAGUGUGUAUGAACAAAGCGAAGAUUCAAUCGAUCGUCGAAUGGGAGCCGUUGACAAAGGUGAUGGGGGUGAGGUUGUUCCUAGGCCUCACCAACUACUACCGGUGAUUCAUUCAAAGCUACUCGAGUAUCACCGUGUCGCUCACGGACCUGCUGAAGAAGGAGAAACUGUGGGAGUGGAUGGAUAGAUCGAUGCCAAAGAGCAUUCGAUCGGUUGAAAAAAGCCAUGACCGAGGAGCCGGUGUUGGCGUUGCCUAACCACAUCAAGCCUUACGAGGUAGAAAUUGACGCCUCAAAUUUUGCUAUUGGUGGCGUCCUUAUGUAGGAAGGACAUUUGGUGGCGUACGAGUUUCGCAAGUUGAACAAUACCGAGCACCGGUAUAUCGUUCAAGAGAAGGAGAUGACCGCGGUGGUCCAUUGCCUUCGGACGUGGAGGCACUAUCUCCUGGGAUCAAAGUUCGUCGUGAGGAUAGAUGGCCACGAGCUAUUUCUAGACCCAGAAGAAGCUGAGUUCGAAGCAAGCUCGCUGGCAAGACUUCUUAGCGGAGUUUGACUAUACGUUGGAGUACAAGCCAAGGAAGGCCAACUCUGUGGCGGACGCGUUGAGUUGAAAAAUGGAGUUGAAGAGUAGCUCAGUGAGUCGAUCGAGCUGUCCUUGGGUUGACCGCAUAAAUGAGGGGUUGAAGCAUGAUCAAAGAGGUCAAGCCCUUAUCGGGUAUGCGAACGAAGGUAGGACUCGACAAUUCUGGUAUGAGGACGAGCUCCUUUACACCCAAGGAAGGCAUUUGUACAUGCCCUUCUAUGGGAAGUUAAGGAAGGAGAUCUUGCGCGAGUGCCACGACUUGAAGUGGGCGGGUCAUCUAGGGAUCCACCGCACAUUAGCCCUCGUCGAAGAUUGGUAUUACCGGUCGCAAAUGCGGGACGAUGUGGAAGCUUAUGUGAAGACUUGUUUGGUGUGCCAAUAAGAUAAGCUAGAGCAACGAUCGUCAUCGGGCCUAUUGGAGUAGCUUCCCGUUCCAACUCGUCCAUGGGAAAGUGUUUCCAUGGACUUCAUCGUCAACCUGCCAAAGUCCGAAGGGUGUCGGACUCUCAUGGUCAUGGUGGAUAGGUUUUCCAAGUAUUUGACUUUUGAGCCUACGACAAAGGAUUGUUCGACCAAGGAGGCGGCCAAGCUAUUCAUGAAGCACGUGGUUAAGUACUGGGGAGUGCCACAAACAAUCGUGAGCGAUCGCGAUCCUCGUUUCACGGGUCGUUUUUGGUCCAAGUUGUUCAAGUUGCUGGGGUCGGAGCUAAAUAUGUCCACGAGUUUGCAUCCCCAAACCGACAGUCAGAUGGAGUAGGUCAAUGCACUCUUGGAGAUUUAUCUUCAAACUAUGUGAGUACAACGUAGGUGAAUUGGACGAAGUUGAUCGACGCAGCCUAGUUCUCCUACAACUUGCAGCGGAGCGAGUCAACCGGCUAGAGCCUGUUCGAGAUCGCAACUGGGCAGCAACCGAAUACCCCUAGCGCCAUUGCUUCGGGUUAUCGAGAGAGUAGUCCACCCGCGUAUAAGUUCGCCAAGGAUUGGCAAGAGCAGGCCGACUUGGCAAGGGUGUGUCUACACAAAGCCUCCAAGCCCAUAAAGAAGUGGGCCGACAAAAAGCGAUGGCAUGUGGAGUUCUAGGUUGGGGACCAAGUGCUGGCCAAGCUACACAUGGUUUUUCGAUACAAGGACGUGCAUAAGGGGUUGAUCCUCGCUACAAAGGGUCGUUUCGUGUGUUGCAACGGGUUGGGAAGGUCGCAUACAAAUUAGAGCUACCACCAAAGCUCAAGGUACAUCCGGUUUUCCAUGUGAGUAUGCUUAAGCCUUUCCAGUUUGAUGAGGAAGACCCAAAUUGAGGGGAGUCGCAAUGGGUGCCACUCGGAGCAAAAACCUCAUAUGAUCGAGAAGUCAAGAGCAUCAUGGCGGAUCGAAUCAUACGGAAGCAGUAUCGUGCGCCCAGACGAGAAUAUUUGAUCCGAUAGAAGGGUCUUCUAGAGAGUGAAGCAAGUUGGGAGCCCACGGAGAGUCUUUGGCAUUUCAAGAAGGAGAUCGACGCUUUCCAUGUUGAAGAUGUGACGAGGGCGUCGCCUGAUUAGGUGGGGGAGAAUGUCACAGCCCGAAAGAAAGCCGAUCCAAGAGGUUCCUAUGGAACGAGCAUGACACAUCCGACCCUUAGCUUGUAUCCCCGAGACUUAGGGUUUUCUUGAGCCUUCUAGAAUACUCCUAGGGGAGGGCGACACGGUAAUUAUAUUCAUAUGUAAUAAAUGUGGGUAGUUGGUAGUUGGGAAGAUAUAAUCUUCAUCGUUAGAUCGAGGAGAGAUCUAUGGAUACGGUUUGCAUUGUCUUUGUAUAAAUAGGGGUCUCCUCCCCCUCAUUGUAUUAUCUCAUUCACAAGUGAAAUACAAUCCAGAGCUUCUCUCUCUAAGAUCCUUGUGAGUCGAGUGUGGGAGAGGCUGCUUAAGGGUAAAAUCCUAAGGUCACAUGGGUCAACCUAUGAGUGAUCGAGAGUGAUCGAUCGGCCCGUGACACUAGACUCCAACUUGACGUAAUAUGAUGGCUCUCUCUCUCUCUCUCUCUCUCUCUCUCUCUCUCUCUCUCUCUCUCUCUCUCUCUCUCUCUGUGGCUAAAACCUUGAGUCAUUCCAUGUCCACACGCAUUACAUGUUCCGCUUGUGCGUAUUUAGAUUCUCGACUUUUGUUAAUUCUUAGAUACUACAACUAAAACAUGAUUAAUAAAAGUAUUUAAAAUACUAUGGACUAAUUUUAUGAUACAAUCAGUAAUACCAUAUGAGUCUUAAAUGCUCUUCUUUUUCGAAUGAAAAAUGGUGAACAUUUUCAUUUCAUCCUUUAAUAAUUGACGGAUGAAAUACAAAUGAGUGCCUUAGAGAUUGGUUAAAAUAUAUCUCGAGUUUGAGCCCAAUGUGAAAUUCUGAAUUGGAUAUGUUGUGGACGUUCGAAAUCGAACAAAGAAAAUCCGAAGAUCAAUUUUCCAAAUUUGAAUAUGCGUUUGAGAGUCUGGCCGCUAAAAUAGGAAAGUUCAACUUUCACUUGGAUUUGGAUUUUGUUUAAAACAUACAGAGAUAUGUUUUGGAUAAAAUCGUUUAAGAUUGGAAACAGAAUCCUAUGAGAAGUUGACAAAAGAAUAAGGGUCUCACUUAUAUAUAGAGUUGUGAUUAUGGAUGGAAGAGGGUUGAUCAUGAAGAAUUGGUCUUAAAGCGCCGUCUCAUCGUCGAGUGCUUGGGAGGGAUUUUCUUUGUCGUUCUUGUCCGUGAAUUACAUCUAAGAAGAUUUAGUGUUUGUAGCCAAUUAAAUCUUGUGGUAAGAUUUGCGUUUAAUUCCUUCGUGAGAUUGAGAGAUUAUUUCUUGAGGAAUUUCGGGGCUAAACAAUACGUGGGUUAUUGGGUGUAAUUGGGGCUUGGGAAACGCCGAGAGAGUGUUUGAGUGACUCGAGUGUGUAAUCUCCUUGUAUUGCUUGGUCUAUAGUGAAAUUCACUGCUGGUCUCCUCGUAGACGUAGGUCUUUACGACUGAACCAUGUAAAUCCGUUGUCCGAUUUAUUUUAUUCUUCUGUCUAUAUUAUUGUUCGAUCGCUCGCCUUUCGCAACAAGUGAUAUCAGAGCCAGGCUUGGCUAAGUUGAAGCAAAUCGAUGGCGACAGAAGAAGUAAAAGUGAUAAUCAACAGAUUUGAUGGGAAAGAUUUUAGUUUUGGAACAUGUAAAUUGAAAAUUAUCUUUACCAGAUGAAACUGCACUUACCUUUAUUUGGGGAGAAACCAGAGACGAUGAAGCAAGCUGAUUGGGAUUUGCUAGAUAGACGAGCUAUGGGUGUUAUUCAGCUGACGUUGGCUCGUAACGUCGCGUUUAACAUCUUGAAGGAGAAGACCACUGAUGAUUUGAUGCAAACCUUAUCAGAUAUGUACGAGAAGUCCUCUGCGAUUAACAAUGUCUAUUUGAUGUGACGUUUGUUUAAUUUGAAGAUGAGCGAAGGUGCAUUAGUUGCAGAUUAUAUCAAUGAAUUAAAUGUGAUUGUUAGUCAAUUGAGUUCAGUUGAGAUUGAUUUUAAAGAUGAGGUACGUGAUUUGAUUCUGUUAUCCUCAUUACUUAAUAGUUGGAAUAUUACUGUUUCUGCUAUUAGUAAUUCCUCUAGGUCAACAAGUUUGACGUUUUAUUGGUUUGAGAUUUAAUUCUGAGCGAGGACAUUCGUAGAAGAGAAUUUGGCAAAUCUAUAUCUACUACUUUAGUAGGUGAAAAUAGAGAGAGAUCUAUAACAUGUGUGGGUAAGAGUAGUACUAAUAUGAACAGGUGUAGUCAGUCUAGGACUGGUGAUGUUGUCUGUUGGAGCUGUGGCAAGAAAGGGGCAUCUUAAAAGGAAUUGUCUUAAGCUGAAGAAUGAGAAUGGUAAGAAAAUUAUAGUUAAUUAUGCAAAUAAUGCUGCAGUUGUAGCAGACAAUGUCGAUUAUGUCUUGUCUGUCUCCAGUGAUUCAUCGUUUGAUGGAUGGAUUAUGGAUUAUGGUUGUUCUUUUUAUAUCACACCAAAUAAAAACUAGUUUAUCACUUAUCAGUGCACGGGUAGUGGUAAAGUCCAAUUAGGGAACAACGCUGAGAAUGAUGUUGUGGGUGUUAGUGAUGUUAAAAUCAUAAUGCACGAUGGUAUUGUGAGGACAUUGACUGGAGUAAGACACGUUUCGGAAUUGAAAAAGAAUUUAAUUUCUUUGGGUGCUCUAGAUUCAGCUGGUUGUAGGUAUUCUUCAAAAGGUGGAGUUCUGAAUAUUGUUCGAGGUGCCCUGGUGAUAAUGAAAGGAAUCAAGCAUGGAAGUAUGUAUAAAUUUCAAGGUGAGAUAAUGACAAAUUUCGCUGUGGAGACGUUAGAUGCAUCUGUUCGAGAGUCUUUUGACUGCUUGAGGAAGAUUUGGGUGUUUAUGCCAAUACACAAGUUUGAUAACUGGUGUUAGGAUCACACGGUUGAAAGCUUUGAUCGAGACAGAGACUAGUAAGUCGAUCAAGCAUGUGCGAAUUGACAAUAGCAUGGAGUUAUGCUUGAAGCUGGCACAUAAAUUCUACAUGAAAGAGGGCAUAGUGAAACGUCGCACUAGUGUUAGUAAAUCACAAUAAUUUGCAGAAUUGCUGAGCAGAACAUUACUAGAGAUGGGCCGAAAAAUGAUCUCUAGUGUUGGUAUUACUAGGAGAAUCCUAGCUAAUGUGCUUAAUACAAUAAACUGUCUGGUGAAUAGAUUCCCAUCAACUGCUAUUGAAUGGUGGUCUUCUAAAGAAGUCUGGUCAAGUAACGUUACUGGUUAUUCUAUUAUUAAAAUGUUUGGUUGCCCGUGUUAUUUUCGAGUGAGUGAUGGUAAGCUCGAUUGGAGGGCAAUGUACAUAUUUCAUGGCUAUGCACAAGGUGAGCGGGGCGAUCGGUUGUGGUGCCCAGAUAUGAAUUCACUUGUUAACAGCAGAGAAGUUACCCUUAAUAAGUCUCUAGUAUUUCUGGCUAGGAAUGUUUGUGGCAGUGUUAAUACAGAUCUGGACGUUGUUCAGCUUGAGGUGGAAUUGCGACUAGAAACUCCUGAGGUAGCGAGUACGAGUACUAGCAAAGUAAUCGACACAGAUGGUGCUUGUAGCGAGGUGGAGUCUAUAGAGCUGAUAGUUGCUAUAACUACUGAAAUUAACAAGGUAUGUAUUCGAUCUCCUAACAGAUAUGGAUGCAAUAGUGGUUUUGCUUUAUCUACGGUUGAGGAGGUUGCGUUUGAAAAUCCUUGUGGAGCAGUUAAAGGUGCAUGUGGAGUUAGUAUUCUGAUGAGGUCCUCAGUUAUGGCAAAGUUCAAGCGAGGCUUGGAUUUGGAUAAUAUCUGUGGCGGUUGAGCCCAUCGGGGACUAUGGGAAAGUAGCAGCAUGGUUUGAAUUUUUUGCGAAGUUAUUGUGACUUGGCUCAAACGUUGAGGCAAGGUGGAGAUUGUUAAAAUAUAUCUCGAGUUUAAGCCCAAUGCGAAAUUCCAGAUUGGAUAUGUUGCGAAUGUUUGAAAUCGAGCAAAGAAGAUCCGAAGAUCAACUUUCCAAAUUUGAAUCUGCGUUUGAGAGUUUGGCCGCUAAAAUAGGAAAGUUCAACUUUCACUUGGAUUUGGAUUUUGUUUAAAACAUAUAGAGAUAUGUUUUGGAUAAAACCGUUUAAGAUAGGAAACAAAAUCCUAUUAAGAAGUUGACAAAAGAAUAAGGGUCACACACACACACACACACACACACACACAUAAUGGAAGAGGGUUGAUUGUGAAGAAUUGGUCUUGAAGCGCCAUCUCAUCAUCGAGUGCUCGAGAGGGAUUUUCUUUGUCGUUCUUGUCUGUGAAUUACAUCCAAUAAGAUUUAGUGUUUGUAGCCAAUUAAAUCUUGUGGUAAGAUUUGCGUUUAAUUCCUUCAUGAGAUUGAAAGAUUAUUUCUUGAGGAAUUUCGGGGCUAAACACUGCAUGCGUUAUUGAGUUUAAUUGGGGCUUGGGAAACACUGAGACAGUGUUUGAGUGACUCGAGUAUGUAAUCUUAUUGUAUUGCUUGGUCUAUUGUGAAAUUUGCUGCUAUUCUUCUUGUGGACGUAGGUCUUUACGACUGAACCACGUAAAUCCGUUGUCCGAUUUAUUUUCUUCUUCGGUCUAUAUUAUUGUUCAAUCGCUCCCCUUUCGCAACAGUAUUGGUGUUUUGGGGGGGGGGGGUAAUCCUCGAAGGGUCAAGUCCUUAAUGCUAUGGUUGAUUGGAUAUGGUGACAAAAAAAGGACAAUGAAGGCCCUGGCAGUUCCAUCAUUUUGUUUAAACAUAUAUAGGACCCAUCUUUGGUCACUAUUGGUGAACAUGAUCCAAUAAUUGGUUUAGCAUAUACAUAGACUCCAUGAUUACUCUCAUCCUUGGUAAACUGAAGUCAUGGCAAGCAUGAUUAACAAAAACCAUCGUGAAAUUUGUUUGGACUCUUGUAAAAUCUCUCCAUGACUCUUUAAGUCGAACUGACUUGAUUUCUACUCUUUACCUUGUAUAAUGCAAGAACAUAAAAACUUCAAAUAAUUAAAAUAUAUAUUUUUAAUUGAAAACUCAAGAUUUAGAAAAUAUUUUCGAGAAACUAAUUGAUUUUUAGCUCAUAAAAAUGAACGGAUCAAUUUUUUUCAUCAUUUACUAAAAUAAAUAGGUAUAAAUUGAUGUUGGCAAUGAAAAAUAUUUUGCGUUGAUUAAUUUUUUUUAAAUGAUAUAACUGAUCAUUUUUUGGAAAAUGUUAUCCAAAAAGUUUUUUUUGAAACAAACACAUCCUUAAACUAUUUUGAUGGAGCAAAACAAGAAGAAUUGACUCAAUUCGAUCCGAAAGAGGAACAUAACGGAAAAUCUGAAAAGAAGCAGAAGUCAAGUACAAAUCCUAGUGUCUGAACCUCCACAGCCAUUCCUCUGCAAAGAGAGGCGAAACGUGAGCAACAAGCAGGCGGUUACAGCCACACCUGGAAAGGAUCACUCAACAAUUCCACACAUCCAAAAAAUUAAGAAAUCUCGAGUUAAAAGAUGUAAAGGUUUGCCUUUGGCAGCGAAGAUGUUUGGCGGUGCCCUACGUAAUAAAAUGAAACCCAGUGAAUGGGAAGAUACCUUAAAUAACCUAAUAUGGGAUCUUCCAACGACAAAGAAUGAUGAGGUUCUCCCCAUUAUGAAAUUGAGCUAUGUCCAUCUUCCUUCCUAUUUGAAGAGAUGCUUUUCUUAUUGUGACGUAUUUCCUAAGGAUUAUGAAAUUGAGAGGGAUGAGCUAGUACUCUUAUGGAUAGCGGAGGGAUUUUUAGAUGGACAAAACACAAAGAAAAAUAAGUUGGAAUUAGGAUGGAAUUACUUCGAUGAAUUAGUAUCUAGAUCAUUUCUUCAAAAAUCAAGUGUUGACACAUCUAAGUUUUCAAUGCAUGAUCUUUUGAAUGAUCUAGCAAAGUCAAUUGAGGGUGGGAUAUGCUUUAGCACUGGGGAGUCUCAGCUAGCAAUUAAUGAAGAUUAUGCAUCUCUUGAGAGAGCUCGUUAUGCAUCAUUCAUCUGGUCGCAGUUUGUUACAUCAAAAUGCUUGAGGCCAUAUCAUGAUAUGAAGGUAUUAAGAAGUUUAAUUCUAGUGCGUAUUGGACCUAGUGGCAACUCUCUCCUUAUAUCCGACAAGGUGCUACAUGACUUGCUAACAAACUUGAAGUUUCUUAGGGUGUUUUCAUUAUGUCAUUGUCGCAUCGUAGAGGUACCGAAUUGUGUUGGUGAAUUAAAACAUCUUCGAUAUCUCAAUUUCUCGAACACUUCUAUCAGAAGGCUACCUGAGUCAAUUGGUGACUUGUGCAAAUUACAAGCUUUGAUCUUAAGAGGUUGUCAUUAGCUUUCAAAGUUGCCUCACGGUAUCACAAAGUUGGUCAGCUUACAGUUUCUUGAUGUUAGAGAUACAGAAAGUCUAAAAGAGAUGCCAUUGGGUAUCAAUAACUUGAAGAAUCUUACUAUCUUGUCCAAGUUUGUGGUAGGAAUAGAGAAAGGGCUACAGUUAAAGGAGUUAAAGAACUUGUCGCAUCUUCAAGGAGAAUUAUUCAUAUUGAAAUUACAAAAGGUGGAAGAUGUUAGAGAUGGUGUUGAUGCUAAUUUGUUUGGAAAGCAAGACCUAAGAAAAUUAUUCUUGCAUUGGGAAAAAGAUUUUGGAAUUCUUCGGAAUGAUAAGCAUGAAUCACAGGUGCUUGAGUCUUUGCGACCUCCCAUUGAUAUUGAAAAUCUCACUAUUUUGAACUAUGGUGGUGCAAUAUUCCCGUCAUGGUUAGAUGGUUCAUCAUAUUCUUGGAUAGUGUCUUUGAGCUUGUGGAACUGUCCUCAUGUCACAUCAUUGCCUUCAUUUGGACAACUACCUUCAUUGAGAGAAUUAUCUCUUAAAGGUCUAAAUGCAGUAAGAAUAAUAGGCUCUAUUUUUUACGGAGGUGAUAGGCCUUUUUUGUCCUUAAUUACUUUGCAGUUCGAAGAGAUGUUGGCAUGGAAGGAUUGGUCUCCUUAUGCAGGGGGGCCAAAAGAAGAAGUCUCAUUCUCCUGUCUUGAGCAUCUUGUUGUCCGGAGUUGUCCUUCGUUGGUCAAGACAUUGCCUUGUCAACUUGAUCGUCUUAUAAAGCUUGAAAUUCAUUCAUGCCAACAAUUGAAUAACUCAACCAGUGAGUUAUGUCUUCCAUCUCUCGAUGAGUUAUACCUUGAGGAUUGUAGUAAGGAGAUCUUGAUGAGCUUGUUCAAGCUAACUUCUUUGUCAGUUCUCAAAAUUAACAAACUCAUAAAGCUUGUUUCCUUUGAUCAUCGAUUUAUGAGUUGCUUGGGCAAGCUAAGGAAGCUUCACAUAGGACUAUGUGACAAGCUAACAUGCUUGUGGCAGGAUGGAAAUGAAACGCAAAAUCUCACUUGCCUCCAGGAAUUAACCAUUAAAAGCUGUGCUCGAUUCACAUCUUUUGUGGCAGGAGACAGAGAGAUAGAGCUACCCUGUAAUCUUGAAAGGAUGGAAUUGGUGGAUUGCACAAGUUUAGAAAAGCUUCCAAGCAAGAUGCACGCACUUAGACAUUUGGUGAUUGAGAAUUGUCCAAAAAUCAUGGCUCUAAACAUUCCUCAAGGUGACCCGAGCAGCAAUAAUUUGAUUUCUCAACUUGAAUCUCUUAAGAUACGUCACUAUGGUUCUCCGAUAUCCUUUUCAUUUGUUAAGGGUAGACUUGCUCCUCUGAAGGCACUUCAUAUAGACAAUUGUGAGGGAGUGGAGUCGUUGGAAGGGAUUGCCGUAGAAUCGCUUGAAACAAUGACAAUUAACGAUUGUCAAAAUAUGGGAAGCUUACCACAGUGCCUUCACACGCUCUCUCAUCUCACUCGAUUGCAUAUUUAUAAUUGUCCAGCAUUGGAGAUACAGGACUUUCCUCCCCUUCCCGUAACCCUCUCGAGUCUUGUUCUUAAGCAUUGUUCUAAGAUAAAGUCUAUUGCCAACUGUAACAUUGCCAAUUGUAACAAUCUCAUUGAGUUGGAAAUAUGGGAGUGUCCAGUAUUGGAGAUAGAGGACUUCCCACCCCUUCCCAUCACCAUGCAAAGUCUUUCACUUUGGGAUUGUCCGAUGAUAAAGUCCCUACCAAAUCAGUGGCAUCAUCUUACAUCCCUCCAGGAGCUGAAAAUUCGUUAUUGCGAAAAUAUCACACGUUUCCCCAAAGGAGGGCUGCCUCCCAAAUUGCGAGAGCUUAUAAUUCCGGGGCUUGUGAAUCUGAAGCAGCCAGUGAGAGAGUGGGGCUUACACCUGCUCACAUCUCUCGAGAUUCUGGGCAUUGAGUUUAACAUGGGAGGGGAGGGAGAGAAGGAGUGGUUUCCUUCGGAGGAUGAGGAUGCCUGGAGUCUCUUUCCUUCGUCUCUAACCCAUCUUUGUAUAUGGAAAUUGAGAAACAUAGAAAGACUAUCAAGCGGUCUCCGCAACCAUCUCUCCUCUCUCCGAUGGUUAUUGAUUGGAGAUUGCCCCAAGCUAAGGUACUUGCCAGAGGAUGGCUUCCCUCCCUCCCUCCAAGUAUUGCACAUAGUUUCAUGCAAGAUUCUGGCAGAGCGAUGCGCAAAACUCACUAGCGACUAUUGGCCCCUCAUUGAAGAGAUUCCUCGCAUCAUCAUUGAUUACAAGCAAAUCUGAUUAAUUGAUUUGUGCAUCUACACUACAGUCAGUUUUCUUAGGGUUCGGGUAAGUUAUUUUUGGUUUUGAAGGCAUCCUUUUCCAUUCUACUUUCUCAAUUCGAUGCUCAAUACAAACUGAUGUUUGGGUGGGGGAUCUCAUUGGGUUGGAUUGGCUCUAUUUCGUUGGACGAUAAACCGUAGGACGAAACGUUCGCAGUGCUGCCUCUUGCUAUGUUGAUGACAUAUCCUUAUUUCUGCUUGAUGUGUCAUGCCCUGAUCCUCGGUCACGUGCCCAUCAUUCAUCUUUGAUCGAUUUUAAAAUGCAAUAUCCUAGGACUACGUAUCGCCGACCCUUUCAUUUCCAAUAACACAUGCGGAAGUAGUUAUAAAUCCCUAGACAAUAAAGCAAUGUGAUAGAAAAGUAGGGCCAUAAUUUUCAUACUGAAAGUCACAACCACACUUUUACACAAGCACCUCAUAGUAUAUAAUACAAUACUAUUCACAAGGGUCUGACUUAACACAUAUCCACAUAUAAUCAAGGUUUGACAAAAUAGGAUGGGAUCUCAGUCCUCAUCCGGGUCGUACUCAGGAUCCUCCUCUGGAUCAUCUUUAGAUUUUUCCUCUUCAGGUUCUACCUCGGGUCCUUCCUCUUGCUCGACUACCUCUCCUUCUUCUUCUUCACUCAAGUUAGUACCCUUGGCUGAGUAUGCCGAUGACUUAGGAUCGCCCUCGAGCUUGGGAUCCUUGGCAUCCACUACCGACCCAUCCUUAGGAUCUACCGUCCCUAGCCCGAAUGCUACCUCCAGGACUUACAGAGGCACAUCGCCUUCCGGGAUAGGACUUUCUCUUCGCCCACCAUGAUAGUGAUGAUACCAUGAUCGAUACUCAUGGGGUACCAGGUCAAUUCUAUUCACUUCAACCCACACCUUGGACUCUAUCAACACAUACUCUAGUCCCUCUAGGUGGUGGUCUAUCAGAAAGGGGUAUUCUUCUUUGGUGACAUUCACAGGAAUACCAAAAUGUAUUGGAGGACGAGAAGGUGGACAUGUUGCCAUCUAGGGUCCUGAAAUGUUGUUCCACAACUGGGAUGAGACUACGUCUCAGCAAGUUCUACCCCUUAAGACCCGAUUAGUAAACCAAUACGCUAUCUGGGCUGCCUAUGCACGCACGAGUCAGAGGACUUACCUUGGCCUUAGAUUCCACCUGCAUAUUAGCACAGUUUAAUAGGCACUCAAGCAAUCACAUCACAGAUCGAUAUCUCAAUCAAUCGACCUAAUCGAUUUCAUGUCAAUCGAACCAUUCAUUGAUCAUUUCAAUUCAAUCAAUCAAUUCAUGACAUCAGAUCAAAGCAAUGAUCAAUCGACCUAGUCAAUUACAUGUUAUCUCGACCUUUUCUUGGUUGGCUCAUCUCAUACUAUCUAUAAGUCCGUUCAUAUCAGAACUGCUCACUGCUAAGUUAAUAAAUAGAUAAUAUAGCUCGCUUCUAAGAUGAUCGGGUAUACUACUCUCUACUAAGCUGCCAUAUCGUUCUUAGCCUGAUAUAGUAUACCGACAGUGCUCAAUCUAAGCUAAUAAGGUAUAUUGCUCUCUGUUAAGCUGCCAUAUCGUCCUUAGGCUGAUAUAGUAUACUGAUAUAUUCCAUCAAAACUAAUGAGGUAUACUGCACUCUGCUAAGCUGACAUAUCAUCCGUAGGUUGAUAUAGUAUAUCGGUAUACUGCUCUGCUAAGCUGACAUAUCGUCCGUAGGUCAAUAUAGUAUACCAUCCCAAUUAUACAAUCAAUUCCAUAUUUUUAUCAUUCUCGAUAAAGUAGCCGUGUGUGGUGACACAGUCGGCCUUAGCCAAAAUAUAAUAUUUUCAUUUUCAUAACUCCCACAUUUUCUGUAGUCCACUCAAAUAUUUUUGGCAUUAUCAACCGAUGCCUGGUUAUUUUUCAAUUAAUAACCAACGAUUAUCCAAUUAAAGAAUAAUUCCCACUUUCACAAAUAAUUCAAUUCAACACGAAAUAAAACUCAAUUAAAUAAACGGACCACACCACGACAAUAGCAUAAAAUUCUGAUCGUCGACUAUCUUUGCCUAAUUUUUGGAAAAUAAAUAAAUAAUUAAAUUAAUUCCGAAAAUUAAUAAUUAAAUACUAAAAAUCCAAUUUAGGCUCGUAAUGCCUAAUCGAAAGCCAAAUCAGAUCAGGAAAAAUCCCGAGAUGCAUUCAAUAAAUAGAAAUACGUCUCUACUUGCUAAUCACACUAACUUAUCGCCUAAUAUACAUCAUUAAGUCACUAAUCUGAUUGUUCUAAACUAAUCUAAUAACCUAAUUGCAUUUAAUUAAAUCUAAUCAAUCAUCAAGUAUCAUUAGCAAACUAAAAGAGCAUUAGUGAGCAAAACUCACCGGAAUGACGCUCGAGUCGGAUCAAUCCGACGGGAACGGUGCGGGGAACGAAAAACUUCCAAGCGGACCUAGGAAUUGAGGCCCGGAACACCUCCAAAAUGGGCCUAGAACCUAGUUGAAAACCCACACCGAAACCUUUUGUUCUUGAUUGGAAAAUUAAAGAAAACUACUCAGUUUAAGUGAUACUUGCACGGGAAUGAAAGAUUGAACCAAACCGGACCUAAACGAAGCUUUACGGGCGAGGAAACACCCAAAACUAGCCUCGGCGAGACUUCCACAGACCCAAACACAACUGCUGGGUGAGAGAGGGAUGCAACCAAGGAGACGACGGAGCAUGACCAAGACGGGCACGUGCGUGCAGGGGUGAGGGUGACAACAACGUGGCGACGGGUGGCUAAGCAUGGACGGCAGCUGCUACACUCUCCUCCUUGUUGUGCUGGUCGAGAAUUCAAAGGAAAGAGAUAGAGGGUGGCCGGCCAAAUGGAGAGAGGGAAAGAAGAGAUAGAGAUGAGGGGUGAGGGCUCCACUUUGUCCAAUUUUUCCACAACUUGUGCAUCAAGUUUCAACCUAAGCCAAGCAUUGUUCCUUGGCACUCCUUUGGCCACACCAACACCCCAAAUAACCUUUCCAAUGGUCCAAAAUUGGCUAGUGUGUGGGGGAUUGCGAAUUUUGAAGAAUAAAGCUUCCAUUGGAGCUAGUUCUUUCUUGAUUCUCUCUCAAUCGGCUCUAAUAAAAUCAAUUGAUGUCUCAAUUAUCAAAUUGAUAAUUUUCCUCAUCCAAGAAUCCCCCAUGCUUCUCAAUUUUGCAACCCGAAUAAUUCCUCGGCUUCAAUUGCAUAAAAAUAGCCCGCCGACGACUUUUUCCCAAAAAGUGUCAAUUGUCAGAAAAAUCUUCUGAGACUGAGUUGACACUCCUAGAAUUUAUUGUGACAUGACAGAAUCUUUAAUUUCUGAAAUCGAACUUGAAUUGACGGUUAAUUUUCAUUCGAUGUGUUUUUAGCGUGACCUAGGCUACCAGGUAACUUUCAGGCAUUUUUAGUGCAAAUGACAUGUGGUCGACUUUCUUCGAGCCACGAUGAACCCAUUCAACUCAUUGGCGACUCUCAGUUGUCGUGAAAAUCUUGAGAAUCUAAAUACGGACACAUGUUACCAAAACAAUAAGUAAAUCAGUCUAGUACCGAUCGAUGGGAAUUUUCCAAUUUAGUGGUGUCACCCACGAUUGGCCACACAUCUCUGUCAAACCAGCCUAUCUCUGAUUUCAAAUCGAUUUUAUACUGUGCCGCAAUGGCCUCUAAAGGUAAACCAGAUCGAGAAGCCGGUUCCUAGUCGAAUUCUUAAGUCUAUUUGCCUUAAAAUCCUUAUUGAUUUCCCCAGAUAGUCUAGUUAUCUUGAGAGUAAUCAGCUCUGAGAAUAGCUCUAUAGGCGUGUCAAUGAAAUGCUCGAUUUAUUCAGUAGAAAAUAAAGUUGAAAAUCUGGGAUGUCACAUGAUGCCCAAACCAUUUGUGAAUGAAAUCACACAAUCUCGAAGAAUCAUAGCAUUCCACAAUCAUAGUCCUCUGCAUUUUCAACGUCUAUUGUAUGUUCUCUUCCUAACAUCUUUUUUCUUGGGCCCUUAAGCUCAUUCACUUUGGUUGUUUUGCAGAAACCAUUGUGAUCUUGGAUUGGCAGAAUCUCUUGGAAGGAUCACAUGCGAAUAUUGCUAAGGUAGGGCUAAUGCUGUUAGUGUUAAUGUCUUGUUUCAUUUUUUUUUUUAAUUUUUUUUUGCAAUUUAUCAAAAAAGGAAAAGUAAUAAAAUAUAUUUGUUGUACUGCUGUGUUAUGAAUUUUCUUUCCAGUGAAUAUGAUCUACAUAAGAACAAAUCUUUUUCAAAAUCUAAAAGCAUGAUUAGUUUUGUGGAAGCUGUGAUAUGAUUGGGAAGAAAAGGGAUGCAGUUUUUUUUUUUAAUAGUUUUCUUUAGAAUUGAGAACCUUUUUUUUUUUGUUGAUGAUGAUUCUUCGUAGGAUAAAGCAAUCAAUCUGGGAUAAAAUUCUGAGGCAACUCAUGGCUCCAAGCUUUCACAUGACAGCAUUGGUAUUCCAUAAAUUGCUUGAUGGUUGGGUCUUGAACUCUAGUGGUUUUGGAACUAUUACUCACUGCUUGCUAGAAAUUUUUAGCCAAUAUACUUAUGCUUGUUUGGUUGAGAUUGUAAUGCAGUGACCUAUGGGUUGGCAUUUCCAUUUGCUCGACCGCAGAAUAUGAUUUCAUCAUAAAUUAUGCCAUUUUAUCUUAAAAUAACCUUCUCAUGUGGCAUUCUUCCUGCAGAGAGUUCCGGAACAAAAUGUUCAAGCUCACAUGGGUUCUUUUGCUUUAAUUGGAAGUGUUGCACUUCAACCAAUGUGUUUCUUGCCUGGUAUAUCUCCUCUCUCUGUGUUAGUGUAGCAUGUAUAAAUUUUUUGUUGAAGCAUUUAUGACAUUGUGAAGCUCUGUUAGAGGUUAGAUAAUUUGUAAUCUGAAUUGUAGUUCACUUUGUACUUUCUCCUAGGCUUUUUGGUUGUUAUUGCACAUAUAACAUGGUGCUUUGACCAUAUAAUUAGGUGGUUAGAAAAGCAGAGUUGCAUUUGCCAAGUUAACUUUCAAGCAACCUCACAUAGUUUUGCUUGACAAGCCAUCCAAUCAUAUGGUAAGUUCUACUCAUAUUUCUCCAUUUUAUGACUUUGAUUACUUUUUUCAGUUAGUUUAUUAUUGUCCUUGCACUAAUUGAACUUGUCGGAAUUUGGUCUUUACAUUAAAAUUAAAGUAGAACCAAUUAGUGGUCACAACUGCUGGUAGCCCUUGUCAUCAUACAUCUAGCAAAUAAUGGAAUAGAAACCAAUCUAAUUGCUCCAAUGUGGAAAAUAUUCUGAAUAGAGUAAUCUACAAUACCAAAUGGUACUAAUCUCUAUGCCUAUAGGCAAUAUUGGGCUUUAUAGACAAAUAUGUGGACCCCUUUUUGUUUAUAUAUCUGGUCUUUAAGUUUUGCUUUAAUGACCAGUGACUAAAGAAUUAUCUUUGUAAAUUGUUAUUUUCUUGUCUAAUGAUUAGUGUUUCUGUUUAUUUGCCUAUCCACAACUGUAGGAUUUGGAUGUAGCUGAGGCACUCAUUCAAUGUCUAGCCUUGUUCCACGGAGUAAUUUCGAUGGUGAGAUUGAUUUUCUUGUCAAAAUACUUCAAUUUGACCAAUGAUGGAUAAUUUCAUAGCUAAUGGCCCUCUUUUCACCUUGAUUUGCAGGUUAGUCAUGGUGAGCAUCUAAUAGCUAGAAGCUUGGAUGAGGUCUGGGUGGUUUCACAAGGCAAGGUGGCGCCUCUCCACGGGAAUUUCCGGGACUAUAGAAAUGUACUCCGGUUUUUGUUGAAUCAAGUGAAUCUAGUUAUUGCCAUCAACUAAGAAUGGUUCACUAGGUUCACAUUACCUCACAUAACUGAAAAUGAGCGUUAGCUACAUAGAGAAAGCGAAAAAGAAUGAAGAGAGGAUUGCUGCUAAUUGACACAGUUACACCAGCCCUUAUUUGUCAUUUACACGUGAUAAGGGCGCGUGGAAUGAUGAGUCUGAGUUUUUGACAUCGAGCAUGCAGUAUCAUCUGUAAUAGCUUAAGAACUGAGUUGGGAUUGCGGUCCUAAUAUAAUUUAUGAUUCUUUGCACAUUUUGUUCUAGCAAUAGGUUCAUUUGUUGUGCCCUUGGAAGUUUGAUACUCUAUUGCCACUGAAGUUAGCUUUCCCCUGCACACUAAAACGAUUUAAUCAUUUGCAAAUGAAUGUUUUUGCACAGUAAAUUAUUUUGUAAGACAAUCUAUUUUGUGAGAAAGCUAUAUUAAUAUAUUUUCCCCAUUUUCACUCUUUGGCACUAUUUAGGAGAAUUAAUUAUGAAAAUAUUAUCACGGUCAACAAAACUUUAUAUUCAACUCUAAGUACAGAAUUGCUUUUACUAACUAUAACGUAGGCCUUGCAUAGCUUGGUCAAAGAUUAUAUUUCAUCCUUCUUUUAUUCAAAUACAUGAGAAUCAUGAAGAAUCAAUGGUGUUCCACAAUCAUAUUCCUCUGCAUUUUCAGCAUCUGUUGUGUGCUAUCUUCCCAACAUCUUUUUCUCGUGCCCUAGCUCAUCCACUUUGAUUGUUCUGCAGAUGACAUUGUCAUCUAUAUAGGCAAAAUCUCUUGGAAGGAUCACUUGUGAAAACUGUUGAGGUAGGGCUGUGUUGUCAAUGUUAUGUGUCAUUGUUUACAAUUUACAAGAAAGGAAGAAGCAAUUAAAUUUAUUUGGUGCACUGAUAUGCUAUAAAUUUUCUUCUUGCGAUUACUAUCCAAAUAAGAAUAAUCUCUCUCAAAAUCUAAAAAUCGAAUUAGUCAUGUGGAAGCUGUGAUAUGAUUGUGAAGAAAGGAGAUGUAAUUUUUUUUUUUAAUUAUGGUUUUCCUUAGAAUUGAGAACCUUCUUUUUGUUGAUGAUGAUCCUUUGUAGUAUUAAGCAGUCUAUUUGGGUGCUCAUGGCUCUAAGCUUUCAAUGCAACACAAAUUCAUGAUAGGAUCGAUAUUCAUAAACCACCUUAUUUUUGGGUCUUGAUCUCUGUUGAGUUAGGAACUAUUACCUACAGCUUGCUAGAAAUUUUUAGCCAAUAUACCAUGCUUAUUUGGUUGAGACGGUAACGAUAUCCUACCUGCCUCUAGGUUUGCAUUGUCAGUAGUGACCUCUAGGGCAAAUCUUGUUGGUUCUUUAAAUUCGUCAUACACCAUGUCAUUGUAUCCGAAAUUACCUUCUUAUGUGGCAUUCUUCCUAAUCACUUGGGUUUCUUUGGUCUAACUAGAAAUCCUGCACUUGAAUCAAUGUAUACCUUGUUUGGAUCAUCUCCUCCCUCUUUGCUACUAUGCACACGUAAAAAAAAAAUUUCGAAGCAAUUUUUGUGUGACAUUGUGAAGCUCUAUUGGAGGUGAGUUAAUAUGUAAUCUCAAUUGUGGUUCAUUGUGUACUUGCUCUGAGGCUUUCUGGAUGUUAUUGCACAUAUAACAUGGUGCUUUGACCACAUAAAUAGGUGGCUAGAAAAGCAGAGUUGCAUUUGCCAAGUUAACUUUUAAGAGACCUCACAUGGUUUUGCUUGACGAGCCAUCUAAUCAUCUAGUAAGUUCUACUCAUUUUUCUCCAUUUUAUGACUUUGAUUACUUUUUCAAUUAGCCUGUUAUUGUUCUUGCACUAAUUGAACUUGUUGGAAUCUGGUCUUUACUUUGAAAAUAUAGUAGAACCAAUCAGUGGUCACAGCUACUAGGAGCCCUUGUCAUCAUACAUCUAGCACAUAAUGGAACAGAAACCUAUCUAAUUGUUCCAAUGCGGAAAAUAUUCGGAAUAGAGUAAUCUACAAUACCAAAUGGUACUGAUCAAUGUGCCUAUAGGCAGUAUUGGGCUGUACAGACAAAUAUGUGGACCCCUUUUUGUUUAUAAAUAUGAUAUUUAAGUUUUGCUUUAAUGACCAGUGACUAAAGAAUUAUAUUUUAUUUUAUUGUCUAAUGAUUAGUGUUUCUGUUUUUUUUUUUUUUUUUUUGCCUAUCCACAACUGUAGGAUUUGGAUGUAGCUAAGGCGCUCAUUCAAGGUCUAGUCUUGUUCCAAGGAGUAAUUCUGAUGGUGAGGUUGAUUUUCUUGUCAAAAUACUUCAAUUUGACCAACGAUGGAUAAUUUCACAGCUAAUGCCCCUCUUUUCACCCUUAUUUGUAGGUUAGUCACGGUGAGCAUCUAAUAGCCAGAAGCUUGGAUGAGGUGUGGGUGGUUUCACAAGACAAGGUGGCGCCUCUCCAUGGGAAUUUCCUGGACUGUAGGAAUGUACUCUGAUUUUUGUUGAAUCAGAUGAAUCUAGUUAUUGCCAUCAACUACGAGUGGUUCACUAGGUUCACAUUACCUCACAAGACAGAAAAUGAGGCUUAGCUACAUAGAGAAAGCGAAAACGGAUGAAGAGAUAAUUGCUGUUGAUAUACAGGACGGACUCACAGUUACACCGGCCCUCAUUUGUCAUUUGUACCUGAUAAGGGCUCAUGGAACGAUGAGUCUUUGACAUCGAGCAUGCAGUAUUAAUUGCAAUAGCUUACGAACUGAGUUGGGAUUCCGGUCCUAAUAUAAUUUUUUAUUCUUUGCACAUUUUGUUCUAGCAAUAGGUUGGUUUGUUGUUCCCCUGGAAGUUUGAUACUCUAUUGCUACUGAAGUCAGCUUUCCCAUGCACACUAAAGUGAUUUAAUCAUUUGCAAAAGAAUGUUUUAGCAGAGUAAAUUAUUUUGUAAGACAAUCUAUUUUGUGAGAAAGCUGUAUUAAUUAUAGUUCAUCCUUAUUUUAUUCAAAUACAUGAGAAUUACGAAGAAUCAAUGGCUUUCCACAAUCAUAUUCCUCUGCAUUUUCAGCAUCGGUUGUAUGCUUUAUUCCCAACAUCUUUUUCUCGUGCCCUAGCUCAUCCACGUUCAUUGUUUUGCAGAUGCCAUUGUCAUCUGUAUUAGCAAAAUCUCUUGGAAGGAUCACUUGCGAAAACUUUUGAGGUAGGGCUAAUGUUGUCAAUGUUAUGUGUCAUUUUUUACAAUAUCUUCAUGCUUAUUUGGUUGAGACGGUAACGAUAUCCUGCCCGCCUCUAGUUUUGCUUUGUCAAUAGUGACGUCUGGGGCAAAUCUUGUUGGUUCUUUAAAUUCGUCAUAUACCAUGUCAUUGUAUCUAAAAUUACCUUCUUAUGUGGCAUUCUUCCUGAGCUCACCUGGGUUCCUUGGUCUAACUGGAAGUCCUGCACUUCAAUCAAUGUAUACCUUGUUUGGAUCAUCUUCUCCCUCUUUGCUAUUGUUGCGCAUUCAAAAAAAAAAAAAUAUUCAAGCAAUUUUUGUGUGAUAUUGUGAAGCUGUAUUGGAGGUUAGUUAAUAUGUAAUCUUAAUUGUGGUUCACUGUGUACUUGCUCCAAGGCUUUUUGGAUGUUAUUGCACAUAUAACAUGGUUCUUUGACCAUGUGAAUAGGUAGUCAGAUAAGCAGAGUUGCAUCUGCCAAGAUAACUUUCAAGAAACCUCACAUAGUUCUACUUGACAAGCCAUCCAAUCAUUUAAUUGGUUUACUCAUUUUUCAUUUUCAGUUAGCUUGUUAUUGUUCUUGCACCAUUUGAACUUAUCAGAAUCUGGUCUUUACAUUGAAAAUACAAUAAAACCAAUCAGUGAUCACAGCUACAGGGAGCCUCUGUCAUUGUACAUCUAACUUAUAAUGGAAUAGAGACCAAUCUAGUUUUUCCAACUUGCAAAAUGUUGGGAAUAGAAUGCUUCUGCUAGCCUGAUCAGUGUGUUUGUAUUACAGUAAUCUAUGAUACCAAGUAGUUCCUAUGUUUGUGCUUCUAGGUAGUGUUGGGCUUUGUACAUAAUGAAUGUGGACCCUUUUCUUGUUUAUAAAUGUUCACUCUUAGUUUUGCUUUAGUGAGUACUCAAGUGUCAUCUUUGUAAAUCGUUAGUUGCUUGUCUAAAAAUAGAUAUGAUUUUGCCUUUUCCACUAUACCCAAUUGUAGGAUUUGGAUGAGACCCUCAUUCAAGGUUUGGUCUUGUUUCUAGGAUGGAUCAUUUCGCAGCUAACAGCCCUCUUUUCGCCUUGAUUUGCAGGUUAGUCACGAUGAGCAUCUAAUAUCUGGAAGCGCAGACAAGCUAUUGGUGGUUUCUCAGGUGGCGGCUUUCCAUGGGAAUUUCCAGGAUUAUAAGAGUUUGGAUGUCCUGAGGGUAUCUCUGGGUUAUUGUGUUCAUCAUCUACACUCAUGGUGGAGGACAAACAUCCCAAAAUGAAGUAGAAAUUGGUUGAGCACGCACAAUCUCUGAAUGCAGCAUGUGUGGAUUAAUUUGAUUAAAUUGUUCUGGGACCCAACUCUGAGCACAUUGAUCCGGAUUCAAAAUUCUUUAAUUCCAAUUAAAAGCAAACUAAGUUACGUGGCCUUGAUCUGGCCUGUAUUAACUGUAGCACUUCCAGUUGUAUUUAAAUUCGAAUCCUGUGAUGCAGUAGCGACUGAUUUGUCAAAUAAGCCGCGGUUAUGGCUUAAACCGAGUAACUCAUAAUGAGUAUGGUAACUUUCAUGGGAACCCCUAUAGAGUCUACUCUGUUUUCCUAUCCUUCGUUAUGAAUGGUUAAGGCAAAGAUUUUCUCAUGGAAUUUUGUAAGACUGCCAUGGAAACGUGCUUUUCCCAGGCGGCAUUGAGAGUUGAGAUUCAAGACAUACUCAGGCGCACGUAAUAAUCCAAUUAUGCUUCUGGAAAGAAAAUUUUCCACUUGCAGUCUGCCCUAUAAAGGUUGAAGUUUCAUACCAAUAAAUCUUUUUACCUUCCCAAGUUUUUUACGUUAAUUCACCAGCUUUUAGGCGGAGUUAUUGAUGAUGAGUAUGGAUUCUCCAUUCCAAUUUGCAUACUACAGAGGAGACUAAGGGAAUGUUUUACUAGAAAUUAGCUGUGUGAAAAUAUAUUACCCAUUUUUGUCCUUAAGUACUGUUUAGGAGAAUAAAUUGUGAAAAUGUUUUCGUGAUGAAAUUUUUUUUAUACUUUCAUUUCCAAGUACAGAAUUGCUUUUAGUAAAUAUAAUGUAGGCCUUGCCUAGCCAAAAAAAAAUAAAAAAUCUAUGAUGAAAUUCCGUGUAAACACUCGAAUUGGUUGGAUCAUUGGAUAAUAUCCUUUUAACAUGUUCAAGUCAAUUUUCAAAAUAAGAGGCUUCUUAUCUUCCAAUAAAGGCUACCGUACAGAUGGAAAUAUGGAUUUUUUUUUUUGAACAAGAAAUAUGAUAUACGAUUAAAAACUUAGCCAUUGUUUAGGCGAGUUACAUCAAGAGCGUCAUAGCAUAAUAGAUCUAGAAAAUCAGGUGGGGGUUGGGACAACCAAUUGGGGGGGGGGGAGAAAAUUAGAUCGGCAGGCCUUUGCAAGCCAAUCGCCGGGCCGGUUAGUUGCUCGAUCACAAUGGGCCAGAGAGAGGUCUCAGAAGCCCUGCAAUUUUGUUCGGGUCCGGUCCAAGAGAGGCUGAAGUCUCCAGUUCACAUCCGUCGAAGUGGUAAGAGCUUGCACGAGUGAGGAGCAGUCAGAGUGUACUUCCAGAGAGAGUUCCGCACGGGAUGCCAGUAGAUCUAGGGUUUGAAGCAGGGUCAAAGUUUCUGCUUGCUCCGCCGAUUGUGCCUCCACCGCUCUCGCAAAAUUGUCCACCAAGCAUCCUCGAGAGUCCCUGCAGAUGCACGCCACAGCUGCUCUAUUUUGUGGUAGUCCUUUGGUCCCUGUUUCCACAGCGUGGGGCUCGGCAAAAGAGGUGUCGAAGUUUACCUUCAGCUGAUGGGGAGGCGGUGGUAACCAGCGGUCAGAUCUUACGGUGGGCCUCCUUUCUUUCUGCUGUUGGUGGGUCACGGAGUUGACUAUCGCAUGGAGGGUUUGCGCCUGAAGCACGGCCUGUUGUGGAUGCAGGGGACACCGCUCAAACAGGAAUAGGUUGCGCCCCUUCCAGAUGCUCCAAAGGACAGCUACAACCAGUUCGAAUUUCUUUGCGAGGUGAGGGUUGUUGUUACAAUUGACCAGCCAAUCAUCUAGUCGAGAUAACCCAUAUCUUGAGAUCUUGAUCUGCAGAGGUGCGGCAAUCCAGAUCUGGUUUGUCCAUGGGCAAAGUAGGAGGAGGUGUUCAAUAGUUUCAGCCUCCUUUCUGCAGAGAGGGCAAAUGGGAUUCGGUACGAUCUUUCUUCAAUAUAGAUUUUCCCGAGUAGGUAGAGCAUUAUGGGUGGCUUGCCAGAGAAAAAACCUGAUUUUUGGAAGAGUUUUUACUUGCCAUAUCAGUUUCCAUAAAUCUGGAUUUAUGCGGUGCGAUAUGGUUGCUGAUUGGUCUAUGUUUGCUGGAUGUUCUCUGACCGCGUGAUAGCCGCUCUUCACUGAGUAGAUACCGGAUUUGUUAUGUAUCCAAACUAGUUUAUCUGUCUCAUGUGGUCCUCCAAUAGGUGUAGCAAGUAUUUCUUUGGCGAUUCUGUCAUCGAACAGCGAGUCCACUAGCUGGGUGUUCCAUGUACUGUUUUCAGGUUCAAUUAGAUCCGCCACAUGUUCCGGUUCGUUUCUUGUUGUCGGGCCUCCAAUUGGGCCGCUUGGUAUCCAUUUGUCCAUUUUGAUUGACAGGUUUCUACCAUUCCCCACUGAGUACAUGGUGUGUGGCCUAAUAGAGUCCCUACCCCGAAUUAUGCUUUGCCAACCCCAUGAGGGUCGGGAUCCAUGGCUAGCUUUCCAGAAAUCUCCAUGAGGGUAAUAUAGGCCUUGCAUCACUUUGCUCAAUAAGGAUUGAGGGUUUUGUGAGAUGCGCCACGCUUGUUUGCCCAGCAUGGCUGUAUUGAAAGAAAUUAGGUCUUUAAAACCUAAUCCACCCUCUUUCUUUGUGGUUUUCAAAGUUUCCCAACCCUUCCAGUGAAUUCCAAUGUAUUUACUAUUUGUUUUCCACCAAAAGCUUGCAAUCCUCCUCUCGAUAGCCUUACAUAUAGAGACAGGAAUUUUGAAUAUAGCCAUGGCAUAUUGAGGGAUGGCCUGCACAACUGAUUUUAUCAAAAUUUCCUUCCCUGCUUUUGAUAACAGCUGCUCUUUCCAACUUUCGAGUUUUGUGUUUAUCCUUGCAAGUAUCCACGCAAACAUAUCUUUUUUAGAACAACCCCAAUCCGUCGGAAUCCCCAAAUAUUUCCCUGUUUUUUCAAUUUGUGGCACUCUCAGUUCAUUUGCCAUAUUGCACCUCAGGGUUGGUGGACAGCUUUUGCUUAAGUAUAUGCCAGAUUUGUUUAGGUUGAUGGCCUGGCCAGAAGCAUAACAGUAUUCAUGUAGGAUUGUAGCCAAGUUUUGACACUCUAGGAUUGAUCCAUGGAGGAAAAAGAUAGAAUCAUCCGCAAACAGUAGAUGUGAUAGGGUGGGACAUCUACUAAUCAGUUGGAUUCCUCUAAUCGUGCCAUCUUCAACAGCUUUGCCCAUCAUGUAGGAUAGAACAUUAGCAACUAGUGUGAACAGAUAUGGAGAGAGAGGAUCACCUUGGCGAAUUCCUCGUGUAGGCUUGAAAGAAGGUAGAGCCUCCCCAUUAAAAUUCACACUAAAAGUAACAGUUGAAACGCAUUGCAUCACCCAUUGUACCCAUUGUGCACAGAAUCCCAUUUUGGUUAGGCAUGCACUAAGAAAAUCCCAUUCGAUCCUGUCAUACGCCUUUUGCAUAUCUAGCUUUAGGAGUGCCUGGAACUUCUUUUUUGUCUCCCGGGUUCGUAGUCUGUGGAUAACUUCCUGUACCAGCAGUAUAUUAUCUUGUAUCAGCCUUCCUUCAACAAAUGCACUCUGCUCCAUAGCAAUUAGAUUUGGUAGCAGGGGUUUUAAUCUAUUUGUCAGCACUUUUGAUAUAAUUUUGUAAAUGAAAUUACACAGACUGAUGGGGCGAAAGUGUUCCAACUUUUCUGGAUUUGGAACUUUGGGGAUUAGGGUGAUAAGUGUGCUGUUCAUAGCUGGAUUGAGAUGACCCGUGUUGAAAAAAUCUUGUAUCUCUAUGAAAAUAUCUUGAGAGAUGUCUAGCCAGUGAGUUUUGAAAAAGAGACCAUGCAUGCCAUCCGGUCCCGGAGCUUUGUGUGCUCCCAAUUGUUGCAUAGCUUGCUUAAUCUCUUCCAAAGAAACAGGUUCUAUUAGUCGUUGGUUCAUUCCAGCAUUCACUGAGACUGGUAUUUGUUGUAAAAGGGGCUGAAAGUUGCGUGGACCAGCGGAUUCAUACAACUUGGUGAAAUAUGUAGUUGUCAUUUCUUUCAGUUGCUGUUCAUUUCUCACCCAUUCAUCUUCUGAAUUUUUCAGCAUCGAAAUCUGAUUUCUGUUUCGUCUUUGAAUGGUUGUAGCAUGGAAGAAUUUAGUGUUUUUGUCUCCCCACGCUAACCAUUUAAUUCUAGAACGCAUUCCCCAGUACAUUUCUUCUUGUCGCCAUAGCUGUUCGAUUUCUUUUGUGAUUUCCUUUGCUGCCUUGCUUUCCUGGGAGAUUCCUGCACCAUUCAUAAGUUUCUGCAGUUCACUAUUUAGCCAAGUUAGCAUCUUCUUUGCAUUAGUGAAUUUACCUUUACUCCAUUUGACCAAUUCCUUUGCCACAUUCUGCAGUUUCUCAGUGACAUUGAACUGGUGGGAAACAGGAUCAGUCCAGAUGUUUCUAACCAGACUCUUACAUUCCUCCUCCUCAGCCCAAAAGGCUUCAUACUUAAAGGUCUUCCUCUUCCGUUUUUUUGGUGGACUAGUGGCUAGAAUGAGUGGCGUAUGAUCAGAACCAACUGCUGGUAUGGCUGUACAUUCGGCAUUUGGAUAUUUGAUUCGCCAAUCUGAGUUGCAUAAAGCUCUAUCCAGUCGUUCUUUAAUCAGAUUUUCAUCAUGUCUCUUGUUUGUCCAGGUGUAUGCACACCCCUUGCAUUCCAUAUCCAGCAGAGAACAGUGGUUGAGAAAAUCCCUAAAAGCUACAAUCCGGUAAUUCUCAGCUCUUUUCUUGCCCACUUUUUCCCAUUGGUAUAACAGUUCGUUAAAGUCCCAAAUACACAACCAUGGCAGAUGAAAAUGAGUGCUCUCUCUAUAAAUAUACUCCCAUAGCAGUAUUCGCUCUUUAAAAUCAUUUGGUGCAUGAAUAAAGGAGAUAUGCAUUCGCUGGUUACUGGUGGACAAAUGACAUUGGGUAAGAAUAGCAUGUUCUGUGAAGGAGUCUAUAGUUAGGGUUACCUCUUCGUCCCAAAAUAUUGCUAGACCCCCUGCUGUUCCCACUGGAUUUACUAUGAAGCUAUGCUGAAAACAAAGUCUCCGCCUCAAUUUUAACACCUUCCGCUCCUGAUUUUUAGUUUCCAUAAUAAAGAUAAUGUUGGGCCUUUCUUGAGUCGUUAAGACUCGUAGCGCUUGAACUGUCAAGGGGGUACCCAGCCCUUGACAGUUCCAGCUCAAAAGCUUCAUGGAUGAGUUGGUGGCUUAUUAGGGCUAGCCACCAGAGCCCACUGAGCUGACUUUGUUGCCACGCUAAUGGGAGUUUCAACCAGUUGGGUAGGGUCAACCAUUGCUGACUUUGAUGAUUGAGCACCAUAGGGACAGAAUCUUUUCCCUUUUUUUGAGGAGGAGAGCUUGGUGCUUCUUACUUUCUCUCUUGUUAAGCUUUUUUCCCCAGCUAUCUUCUCCACCAUGUUUGCUUCAGCCUCUUUUAACUGUUCCUGAUAAAUUACCAUUUCAAAUUCAUUAUCGAGACAGUUGCUACCUCGUUUCUGAGUGCUCUUCUCUGCAAAAAGUACUAGUUCCUGUGAAGGUAUUGAGUGCUGAUGUUCCGAUAAGUUGAUAAUUUCAUCAUUACUCAAAUUGCCAAUUGGGUGGGUUUGCUGCAUUUCAUUCAGAUGCUGGUCUGGUUCAGGGGUUGGCUGAUGGGGAGUCUCAGGCACACUUUCCUCCUCUUCUAGCUGUAUUUCCUACUUGCCAUAGAAAAUUUUUCCAUAUGGGCUGAGUUCGCGGGCCUCUGUGCGUAGCCAGUGUCCAAACCUGCCCGGUAAGUUCUUUGCUAACCCCGUUCCCUCAUAUGGAAUUUUUGGGCAAUUAGUUGCAUAAUGCCCAAUCUUCCCACAUGAAUAACAGUAACUCAGGAGUCUUUCGUACUUAAAUUCAAUCCACAAUCUUUUUCUGUCAAAAUUCACCAGAACACCUGUUUUGAGAGGAACUUCCAAAUUCAACUUAACUCGAGCCCUGCCCACUUUGUAGUUGCUGUUCCCUUUAGCCACUAAUUUGACAUCGACUACAUCUCCAAUUUUUGCUGCUAUGUUCCUGACAACUGCUUCUGAAACUCUCCCAAUAGGUAAACCAAAUAAAUUCACCCAGAACUCACACUUGUUAAAGUCAUAACAGAUGCCAGGGGUGUCGGGGUCACAAUGCUUUAACACUAAAAGGUUAUGCCCGAAAGACCACGGCCCUGAGUCGAGUAUUCGCUGUUUUUCAUUCUCUGAUUGGAAAGAAAAUUGGAAAUAGCCUGGUUCAAUGACAGCACAAGUGAAAGUUUCAUUUCGCCAUGCUUUUUGCAUUGUGGCCAUAAAACCAAUGAAGUUAAUGUUGGUCUUAUUGAAGAACUUUCCAAACAGAGUUCGUCGACAGGUCUGUAAAUUUUCUUCGGGAACAUCACCAAUGAUUUCUACAGCAUCUUCAUCUGACCACGGAUUACCCAGGCUCUUACAGAGGGCAGCCACUCGCCUAUGUUCCUCAUAUAGAUUUGCCAUGUUUCGAUUGCAGGAACAGGGUCACAGUAGGGUUUCAGGACUGACCUGAGGGAGGAUCGAGACCAUGAGGAGCGAGAUGAUGAGACUUUGCGAUUGAAGGGAGAUCUGGUUCGGUCGGCCAAGAGAAUCGAGUAAUCAGCAUCAGCUAAAGGGGAUUUGCCCGAUGAAUCGAGAUGAAGCGCGUUGAGGAGGGGUUGAGCGGAGGUGGGGAUGGGUUUUGUGUAAACGAAAGUGGACUGAGCUUAGGGUUUGUCGACUCAUCCACGAUGAAACGGUUGUGCUGUGAGAUGGGGGAGGAUGAUGGUAGAGUGUGGUAGAGGUGGGUAGCGAGGGUUGGAUUUAGAACUGGGGAAACCUACCCGUAAGGUAGGAGGGAGCUACACAGUCGGUAGGGAGAAAUCUCCAUUGCAGAGAACCUUUAUUUCCUUGGAAGUAUGGAUUGAAAACCGAGGUUUUGAAUAUGUGAAAUCACCAUCUAAUUUCUAAAUGAACGCUGCGGAUCAAAAACCAUUUACAAACUGAUUGCCUGGUCAAAGAAUUAAGUUCAUCUUUCUUCCAUUCAAGUGCCCAAUCCAUCUCUUGACAACAAUUGAAGCAAUCUUACAUAUUAGUUUUCCCGUGCAGGAGGGGAAAGGGGAGGGAGGAUCAAUCCCCGUCGCUUACUUUAAGGAUUUUACGCCUACUAUGAGUUAUUCUUAUUUCAAGAAGCUCAUCAUUAUGCACCACUCGAGACUAGAGGUGUUAAAUGGGUAAGUCAGGUUGGGUUUAGGUACAUUCAGAUAGAAGAGCUAAUGUCCGAAUGUACUCAUAGCCUAUGAGGCCUCCGCCUCGCCAGAUUAGGCGAUCAGGGGAACAUAUAUUCCAUCAAGCCUAGUCAAAACAUAAAAAGAUAACCCAAGGCUUCCUCACUGUUAUCACAAUUUUCCUCUUCUUUCUAGAUGCUGAAAUCCAGUGGCGAAAUUAUUUCUAAAACAGAACUUUCAAUUUGCUUUAUAGAUUUUUCGCUACAUCUUUUUUGAAAUUGAAAAUCCAAUUUGACAUCUGCGGACAUAUGUAAUGUUUUAAUUCCUACAGUGACAUAUCAAUUUGAUUUACCUGAAAAAUUAUAAAUAGCUGGUUACGCAAGUUAUGUAACCAUAAUUCCACUUAUCAGCAUCUAAAACACCAUUAAUGUGGAUAGCUGCAAGAAACUAAUUAACUUCUCAUAUCUAGAGAUAUCAAAGAAAAUCUACGAAUAUGCAUAACCGGCUUGGUGGAUAGUUAUUAAUGGUUGGAGGAGGAUCCGAAUUUCAAAACCGUGAGUACAUAUUAAAUUCUAAAGUUUGAGGUCUUUUCUAUCAUGUGUCCAUCCUGUAUCUUAUACCGUUUGCCCUAUACAAUAUUUACUUAAGUAUAUAUGUAUAAGAGUGAUAAUUCGUAUGCAUAAGUUAUGUUUGUGUCAUGUCAACUUUACAGUAUACUAAAACUAGGUUAACCCAAACACGAACCCUUUCGUAACCAAGUCACAAAAGCUCGGCCAGAGCAUGACACACACAACCCAUUCAAUUAAAAUGGGUUAAAUUGGGUCACUUUACAUUGAAAUGCAUUACAACCAUCCAAAUAGCGUCUUUGAGAUGAAAUUUUAACUUUUAAAAUUCCUGUCCAUGUUUGAGUCAUGUUAUCUCAUCAUGUUGUGUUCAAAAUUGUUUCCUCUCUGUAUGCAUUAAAGAAUUGAUCAUUUUCUCUUUUCUUUGUUCAAAUAUGUGAAUGAUAGAAGGAAGCAUAUUAAUAUUGUAUCAUACUUUCCUAUUAUUGACUUAGGAUUAUGUCACAAUUCGAUUGAGAGCGUACCUUAUUAUGAAUUUACUUGUACUUAUGUUGGAUGUUCAAUACAUUAAUAAUCAGAAUAAAUAUAUUUUUAAAUUAAAAAAUACUGAAUAACAUGCAGGGUAGUAUGAGGUAGCUUGCUAGAAAAUGGGUUCCCUCCCUCCCUUGAAGUAUUCAGCAUCAUUUGAGAAAAUAUUUAUUUAGGUACGUUGUUUAGUGAAAUGUGUCUUUUGUAGAUAUAUUCGCUAUUUCAUUAUAUAGGUGUCACCAAAGUCUUUUCAACAAUCCUAAAAUGAAUGGAUUGAACGAUUUCGAAAGCAUGGACAAUGUAUGGUUGCAGCAUAAAUAGUUGGGAGGCACCCUCAUAAUUCUUGGAUGGGAGGAACAUAUACCGAUUGGCCGAAGCAACGUAUAAUUCUUGGAUAGGAGGAAUCCUUAUCAAUUACUUCCUGAAGUUCUAACAUGAGCAUUUAGAUGCAUGGGCCGAUAGAAGAGGGCGUCAUUCACAUUAUCCUUGAAGAGGUUUCAAGCUGGCUUUAGAAAGAUUUGAUCAAAGAGAGAUGCAUAAAUUUGAGUUUUGACACUCAUUGUUUGUCGUACAGUAACACAAGCGUACUCUAUUCAUCAAUUUGAUACUUUAGCUCUGGUUCUUGUUUAUGAAAGGUAGCUGCAAUUCUGGUCUUGGAGUUCAUACAUUUACUAGUUGAAACCAAGGAUCGUCAUUUCGGCAAUGUGGGGAGACAUAAAGCAAUAGCCUCACCCCUUCAGUUCCUUCAAAAACGACUUCGAAGCAGUUAAAUUUGUGUAUCUCUCUCCUCCUGAUUAAAUGCAGUGUGGACCGGACAUCAUGUUCUCGCUUGAGUUCAUGCCGGAGGAAAUGGUCAUGAAUAGAUGCACUGUGAAGACCUGCAAAUCAUACAUAUCGACCCCGAUACAGCUGAUGGAGAAAUCAUCAUGGAACCAUACUCAGUUAAAUAUCCUGAUUCUCUCUUGACAGCGCAGUAAGGAUACAUAUUAGAGAAUUUCAGAGUGAAUGUUUUGGCGACUCUAUGUUACAUAGUCUGCUCUUUAUAAUGCGCAAUCCAUGCUUGGUCGUGGGACAUUUGGAGGACAGAUUGUUUCCUAUGCCAUUAUCCUUUCCUGGCAUUUUCUCUCUGUUUGCAACACCUGCUCUUCCCGCAAUGACGAGCUUCCUUUGGUCAGCUAGAUUAACAAAUUACCUGCGCUUCGUAAUACCCAUUAAAUUAGAAUGGAGUUGAGAUGAGAAAAGGUAUAUACUAACUUAGAUAAUGCGAUUGUGUCCGCUAAAGCCAGCACAACAUAAUGUUUGAUUCAAGCCUAGCAAAAUUAUAAGUUCCAACCAUUUACUUUUUCUGAACAAGUAGUCCUAUUGAAAUAACAAAAACCAACGAAUAAAAAAAAAUAACAAGCAAGAGAUUUAAAUGGCGCACCUUAUGACUCAAUCUCUGCACCUUUUCAUCAAUGUUCUUGAGUUCAUCUUUCAAAUAGUCAAAGAAAUACUUAAUGUUUCUCAUGUCAUCUUCAAGGACGGAACCUUCAUGAUAGAAUAAGGAACAUCGCAAGUACGCUCGUUCACUCUGGAUGAAGAUCUCAUAGCUGCAAGAUAACACCUUUUUUUUUUUUUUUUUUUAAUAUCAUAAUCAGAUUGUUAAGAUGAAAAUACAAAUGAAAAUACAUACGAAUAAGAAAUCUUUCAACUAAAAAGAUAAUGCUCACCAAGCAAUACAUCUUUUUUUCUCGGAAUCAGAUUGUUAAGAUGAAAAUUCUCUUACGAAUAAGAAAUCUUUCAACUAAAAAGAUAAUGCUCACCAAGCAAUACAUCUUUUUUCUCAGAAUCAGAUUGUUAAGAUGAAAAUCCUCUUACUAAAUACUCUAAAAGCUACUAAGCAAUACACUGAAAGUGAUAUAGACAGAAUUUACAUUAGAAAUAAUAACUUAUGAAUUGAAGACAGCUCCACCACUGGCUGAAUCCUUUCCAUUCAGGAUUUAAUCAAAGAUAAACUCUCAAAAGAACAGACUCGAAAUCCUUUCGUAUGAAUUACACAAAAUUCACAAUGAUCAAGUUGAACACAUAAUGAUUGCACACCCACUAUGGUGGAAACAACCCACUUACACUCGAAGGAUGCAGUAGCGCAUGAUUGAUGUUUAACACUUGGCGAGAUCAUUUUAGCAUACAUCUUACUGAUUCGAUAAGGACUUCAUCUCACGAUUGAGUUUUCAUUUUUGACUCAUGUUUAUAGCAGUCUAUCCAACUUGCCAUUCAACAAAAAGUUACCACAAAGUAGAACCCACACAAUAUAUCUAGAACUUCUCUAAUCAAAAUGCAUCUCACGCAGACAGCUUCGUGCCGCAUGCGUCAAGUAUACAAACUGUGAGACAUGCUAGGUGAGUAAGAAUUUCAGUCUAGAGGGUUAAAAAGUUGCUAAGGCCCCAGCUAUUAUGUGGUCUAUCGAGUAGGCCAACUGAGUAAAUGUUAAAGUCCCCGCUAGAACAAGCAACUACUUCUAUUUUUCAGACCCAAAUUCAAUCUAGAGGGUUAAAAAGUUGCUAAGAGCCCUGCUAAUUCGAGCAAGAAUUUCAAUUUCGCAGACCCAAUUCCAAUCCAGAGGGUUAAUAAGCCUGCUCGAAUAGCAGGCAUUAGUAACAAUCUUCGUAGAGGGAAAAAAUGCCCUUGGUCGAUUACAGAACUCGUACUCGGCAAGGCGAAAAUUCCUAUAUAUAAGAAAUUUUUAAAUUAAAAAUGUAAUGCUCACCAAGCAAUACUUGUUUUUCUCGGAAUGAGAUUGUUACUUGGGUAACUUCAAGCUUCAAAAUCCUAAGUACUCAAUAGUUAUGCAAUUGAGCUCAUGCUGCCAGUAUCUAUUUAGCAUUAUUCAGCAUCGGACAUUCAGUUGUCUACACUGACUUCAAUUCCCUUUUAAACUCAUCAAAAGGUUCCCAUUUCAGAUGCACGUGCAACAGACUCUGAAUUUGACUCCAAUAAAGCCAGCAUUCUCCUCUGUCAAUUCUCUGUUUUGAAUUUCCAUAAUCGAUUCAAACGAAUCGACGUUACAUUAUAUAUCUCAAAGGGGAAUGCGCUAAAGCAAGUGGGAUGAAAAAGCAUACUCUUACAGCAGAAAUAACUCAAAGACUCAUACUCACAUGCACUACAAGUUAAACUAUGGAAAUUUGGGAGUGCCAGAAAGCUGACAGAAAAACAAAAAAUCCACCAAACCAGGAAUAACGAAUUUAUCAAUUCGAUGCAUCUUCUAUAACCUUAACGUCCGGCCAGGAAAGAGAGAAUCUCCCAGACAACGAAUUUCUUCCAAAGAGCCACCAAUUCCACCGGUUCCCCACAAAAGUAACACUCAAUGAUAUAAUCGCGAAAGAGGGAAAAACCCUAACCUGAGCUCGUCGGACGCAGACGACGAACCGGAGCCGCCGGUGGAGCUUCCGCAGGCGACGGCGGAGACGGAGAUGGAGGUGGAGGCGGAGGCGGCGGCGCAGUUCGUCCGAGGAAUAGAGAGAAGUAGGGGUGAGCAUGGUCCGGGUUGGUCCGGGCCACCCCCUAACCCUAGGACCAACCCGUACAGUGUCGGUCCUCAAUUUUUAGGACCGAGGACCGACCCUAUUGAGUCUGGGACCAAGGACCGGACCGACCCAAUGGGUUCGGUCCGGUUCCAGGGUCAACCCGGGACCGAUUGAUAAUUUUUUUCGUCUUAUUUUUUAUACUUCCUAAAAAAGCAAACCUACAAAUUCAAAUUACAUAUCCAUCGACAAUACGGCAUUGCGUAAUUAAACUAUAAAUACCAAUACAUAUUUAGCAAAUCUAAGAUGACACAAUAAUAAAAAUUCCGUAUUUACUAAUCGCUCAUCGAGAUAUGGGACAAGAUGAAAAGUUCUUGUAAUCAUCUAUCUUUAAUAUUCAUAAUCACGUAGAGUUCACUCAACCAAAACAUGAGCUCACACCACUUGACUAGCAAAUCACUGUAUCCACUGCAGUACUACUCUACUCUUCAAAAACUUCUAUCAUUUGACACUAAUUGAAAAGCAGAGUGCAACUGAAAUUCAUUAGUACAAUUAAACCAUAAAAAGUCAAAAUACUUAAUAUAAACUAUGAAUAUAUAACUUCACAUCUUGUUAAUUCACUUGAACUUCUAAACACUUGAAAACAAAACAAACUACAUAUAAUUAAUACUCAACAAAAGUUUUAAAUUGAAAUUACUAUUAGUGCUAUUAAUAGAACAUCUCAAUAUAAUAUAAUAUAACAGGCAUUUUACUUAGGUUUGAAUAUAUAAAAGAAUUAUAAAUAAUAUAAUACAAUACAAUAUAAUAUAAUAUACAGGGUUGGUCCAGGGUUGGACCGACCCAAAACUCUUAGGACCGAGGACCAACCCGUACAGUGUUGGUCCUGGAAUUUCAGGACCAAGGACCGACCCAGUCCCCUUGGGGACCGGACCAGGACCAGCAGGGUUGGGCCGGUCCAGGGUCGGUCCAGGGUCGACCCUAGACCGCUGCUCACCCCUAGAGAGAAGCCUGGGAUUGAGAGGGAAGAGAGCGAGGGAGAGCGAGAGAGGGAAUUUCAAAAUAUCUUUUUGGUGGGACUCUACUAUACACGUGGCGAGAUUUGAGUGGAGCGUCCUGUUGCUGGUUUGGCGACUCUCACCCACGCAAUAUUUUCUGGUGGAUCUGGCUUUAUCAUAAAGAUCCAAGAAAACCGAAAUCGUCUCCCUGUGAAUGUCCGACAUCUUUUCCUGAUCACACGAUUAAAGUUAGAGAAAAAAAAAUCAGAAAUAUAAAAUACCACAAUAAAAGAAUGAUUAAGGAUGUUACACACAUAAUUCGGCCUUGCUCACCCAUCAACUCACUUCCCAUUAUUUUUCGAGUAGUAUAUCCGGUACCCAUCAAUCUUGUUAAGUUUACAAAAAAUAAAAAUAAAUAAGAUAAGGAAUACUAGUAAUUAGCAUUAUUUAAAGAUGAGCAAUAGCAUUGUCAAAUUUAAAAGUGACGGUCAAAUCAUAAACACCAAAACCGAUGCUCUUGGUCAUAAGCAAAGCCCCUCUCUUCUUGUACGAAUGCCUACAAAUAACAUACACCUAGUUAUGAUGUUUUUAAAAUAAUAAUAAAAAACAUGCAGGAUCCCAAAUUCCGCUCAAACUAUUCUAAUCCAAAACCUACAAAGUAAUUUAAUGCAUGUCUUGAUAAAUAAAUAAAUAAAAGACAUAACAGCUUAGUAUGAAUUGGAGCGAAUGAUUGAUAACCUCACAUGUGGUUUACAGUUAACUUUACUGAUUUUUUGUAUUUGCCUCUAUUGACACAUAAAUUUUCUCCAAAAAAUCAAGCAUUGCAUUUUUGAAAAUAGAUAAAUAAUAGUAAAAAGAACAAAAAAUUAAUACAAAUUAACAAAUGACAAAAGAAGAAGAAGACGCAAAGGAGGAGGAGGAGGAGGAGGAGAAUAAAAAAAUAAAGCCUCGGCCCUAUUCAGUCCAGUCCAGUCCACAAAGCCCAUUCAAAUCCACGGCUUCAAUCCAUCAGCCCAUUCAUUGAUUGAAAACGUCCUGAACUGAUUUUGUACGACUUUGGUCUCAAAUCCGAGUUCAGCAAUGUCUCCUUUAAAUCCUCAGUCGAUGCACGUAAACUUUUCGAUGAAAUGUCGCUGAGACAGGGUUGUGUAAUAGUUCUUCCAAAAUUGUCUAAUCUUAAGGCAAAUUGACAUAGUUUACAUGAUAUUGUUUUUUAUUAGCUAUUAGGCAUGAUUUGUUAGACACGUAACCUGCGUUUCAUUUGUUCUGCGUUUCGCAUGUUUGUUUGGCGAUUUGCGGUGGACACCGGAGAUAUAAAAUUGCCGGGAGUCGAUUUCUAGUGGUGGUUGUGUGAAUCUCUCUGCUGCGUUCCUAUUUUCCCUUCCAUGCUCUGUGUUACUCGGGAAAGUCGUGGUCGUGCGUCUAGUGGCCGUACAUGAAGUUGGUGGAGAGGGACCAAGAACAAUAAGAAAACAAUAAAAAAAAUUAUAAUAAAUUAAAAAACGACGACGAUGAUGAUGAAAAAAUCUUACUAGCAUUUACGUUAGUAUUACUUUAGUUCGUUUAUGUUCUCGUCUAUAAUAUCGUUAUUGAAACCGUAGGCAAUUCUUCUUUGCCAAAAUUAGACUUUGACUUGAUUUUGAAAAUUAGCUUACUGGUUGAUGUCCCGAAACUUAAUAAUAAAGCAAUGUGUACUUUGCUCGUCUGGUUUCGGAUUUACUUUCCACACUUUAUUUUUACUUAUCCUUUAGUAUCAUUUUGAUGUGUCAUGCUGUUUUCAUUAUAUUGAUUUUGUGAUUUGAUUUCUUUAGAUUCAUUCAACGAGUAUAUUACUCUUUAGAGUCAAUCACAAGCAUGCAUGGACGCAUAGUGGAGAAUACUACUACGUGUAAUCAUAUCUUUGAAUUCUCUAGCUUAUAUAAAGUAACGUGUUCUCCCGUUAGGCUUUAACCGGUUCCAAUAGGCUGGUUACGAGUAUAUUUCUCAAUGUUAUGUGCGGUUAGGAUUUCAAAGAGUCCACACCGAAGGAGAGGGAUCACACGUUCCCGUUCAAUAAGCUAUUAAACCCACUCAUCCCGCUCGGGAGCAUCGCAAUAGCCUCUGACUGCCUUUGCACUUACUAUCGGCAUUUCUAUUUUACCAAAAUAUUACGAAGGCAAUUUAAAUUCAGCAUCUUAUCAACUCGAUUGAAUCUGUCUCAGUAUUGUGUUGAUCUUGAAUCACUUGAGCCAGUUGGAUUGUUCCGCCCUCUGGGAACCAGAUCGUCUUCUCUGGCCUGCUGCUCCUCUCUGCAACUUUGACCUUCAUGGUCGUAUCUGUUGCUCUAGUCAUUCACUUAGCGGUGAUCCUUUGGCGCGGUUUUUGGCUCCCGAUGCUCAAGGAGCUGCUGGGGAGGCAUAUGUUGGCACAAGAUCGCUAUUAGCAGGAUCCUCUGCCACGAUUAUCAUGUAACGAUGGAGUUUAACAUAAUUUCGAGCCUUUGGAUAUAGACAUCCAGCUUCAAAUUCAUUUAUAUAGUUAAAUUCAAGUCACAAAUCAUUCGGUUAUAAGCUUCUAAUAGUGCAUGAUUGUGACUUCUCCUGAAUAACAAUAAUUAGCAUGUACACAUUGCAUUUUCAACGAGGCAUAACACUAUUUCGCUUUUAGGAAUAAUAGAGGAAGGGUUUGGCUUUUGUAUAAAUUGCGCGCUCGCUCCGAACAAGUAGGCCAACUUGUUCUCUACUAGAAGGAAACAUUUGGCCGAGGCAAGCCGACUUGUCAACUUGUUUUCUAGAAGUGUCGGCUUGGAACCUCAACUUAAGAUUCACGGCUAGUUUCUCUUCCUUCUUUAGUGGGCAAGUUGACUAAGAUUUGGAGGCCAACUUUGAUUUUUCUUCUUGACGGCCAAUGUAGGAUGUUGAUUAUUCAACACCACCCUCUUUUGAUCUGCCCAGUCCCCUACAAACCUGUCCUAGUCGUAGCUCCGUCGAUAUUAUCUUCUAUCGUUGCAAGCAGUGGCCACCCAUUGCCGUAGCAGAGUUCACACGCAUACACCGUGAAUUGUCGAACCUAGCGCUCGUCCCCCCUGCUCAGCAGUUUUCUCUUCCUGCUCGUCCAAACCUGGCGCUCGUCCUUGCUGGAUUGCUGGUGUUGAUCUAAUCUUGUUCACCGGUCAGCUCCAGAAAGUCUACUCGGAAUAGGUAAAUCUCUUUUCCCCUCAAGCUGAUUCAUCCAGAACCUCACUGCUAAAGUAUCUGGUAGGCCUUUAUUACACGGGAGCAGCCACCAGUCAUUUCUGAAAUCUUUCUAUAUAUUUGAAGCAAAAGAAGAGGUGGCAGCAGCAACAAUAUUUUCGUUCUUAAACUGACUUCAUGCCUGUCUAUAUUCCCGAUUGCAAGUUUAAUAACAAAAUUUUAGUAGAAGUUUGAUGUCAAAUACUUGCUGUCCCGAUUAAAGUUGCGUCAUGGUGAUUUGUUGAAUAUUUUUGCCAUCCAUGUUUAUGAAAUUGCAUAUGGCUAGGUCACUCUCGAUCACGUCUUCACGUGUAAUUUCAUGAAUUUACAUGUGUCAAAUUUCAUAAAAGUCAUCCACGGCAUGUUAUACACAUUCGUUGCAUUCUAGAUUGUAUAUUAGGGGAGGUGUUUAACAAAACCACGUGUAGAGUUAUUAGGUGUUGCACAUUUAGGAAAUUGCAUAAAAUACAUUUACAUAUUUAGGGAAAGUCAUAUUCACAUUUUUAAGUGUGUUCAUAUUUGCUGAUUUGGACAGAACUUAGGAUUUUUCAUUUACAUAUUAGGAUGGAAUUUCAUCAUAUUCGUGUCAGGAUAAUUAUAUUCGAAAAAUUACAAUUUUCAUGGACAAGCAUUAUCAUAUCCCACAGACUCCACUCACUCAAUUCACUUCUUGCAUGCGUAUCGAUUGUCGCCGAUCACCACCAUCUCUAGUCGUCGCUCAAUCAAUACCAUCGUUCGUCGUUGCAAGCGGCGACCACGCAUUGCGUAGCUGAAUACGCACGCGUACACAGUGAACUGCCAAACCUAGUGCUCGUGCUUGCUGGAUUGCUGUUGUGGAUCUUAUCCCGUUCGCCUGGUCAGCUCCAGGGAGUCUACUUGGAAUAGGUAAAAGACAUUUUUCUACUUGCUCUCUUUUUCCCUUGAACUGAUGCAGCAAGUUUAAUAGCAAAAUUGGGGAAAGUUGAUGCCAUAUACUUGCUGGCCAGGUUAAAGUUGCAGCUUGAUUGCAUAAUUCAUGGUGAUUUGUUAAUUUUGUUUUAAUCAGGUGAUACAUCUGCACGCAUAAUUGUUUGAGCCAAAACUCAGACCUUUAUUUUUUGAUUUUUCGUUACAUAUUAGCAUAGAAUUGCAUUAUAUCCGUAUCAGGAAAAUUAUAUUAGAAAACUUAGAAUUUUCAUGGAUAAGCAUUAUCAUGCGCAUCUAGGCUUUUUGGAGUGCAUUAUUGUUAAUUCUUUUUUUUGCACAUUUCCUUUGAUAAAUCACAUGCUAUAACUUGGGAAAUUUGGGAAAAUCAUAUCUUGCAUAUUAAUAAAUUUAGAUUGCAUCUUCAUAAAAAACAAAACAAAACAAAAAUGUGAAGUGGAACUCUCCGCGAGUCACGAAGAGUAUUAUCGCCCCAUUCCUGCAUUUUUUUUUUCUUCAUCAGUUUUUUGCUGUUUUUCUUAUUUAGUUUUUCUUCUUGCUCUUUUUCCAUUUAUUAAGAUAAAUGGAAAUCUAGACAUAAUUCCAAUAGACAAGUACAACAGAGAUUAAUGAAUGAUUAAUCACAACAUGAUUAAAAAUGACAAAAGUUGGACUAAAAUUAUAGUUUUGUCAAUUUGAGCAAGAGAACAAUAAUCACUGCUAAUUUUCAAUCACACACACAUAAAAAAAUAUAAAUAAAAAUUGGCAUCCAUGUAACGCGUGGAAAACUACUAGUAAUGUAAAAAAGACAUUCACAUGGGAACGGAAGAGGAGGGAUUUGAAAAGUGAAGCGACAAAUCCAAUUUGCGUCUCCGUAAGUCUUAGUCUUCUUCGAUUUUAUUAAAUUUUCUUUCCCAUAAGCUCUUUAUCAGUUAUACUUCACUUUCAUGACAAAAAGUUCAUGAUACCCAGUGAAGUUUUGGUCUUCCCGAGUUUAUGAUUUUUUUAUAUGAACAAGUAUAUGAUCGUGGAUACUACAUAUGUAUGGGGAUAAUCUCUAAAUAUUACAGAACAAGCACUUGUGAAGAAAAGAAAAAGAAGAAAAAGUUGCAGCAAGAUGGGCGGCAAUAUCUGCUGAAAGGUGAUGGAUUAGUAGUUGAUGAUGGGGAAUCGCUUGAAGCGAGAAUCAUGGUCCUUUGAACUCGAUUUUCUUGUUCAUUGGUGUGAUUGGUAGAGUAUAAUUUUCAGUAGAUUAUACAUUGUCAUUUGGUGAUUUCUGACUAUUCAUUAUUUGCAGAGUAAAAUAAAGCAAGUUGCUUAAUGAAUUAGUCGGUGUGCUUGACCCUUUUCCUUAUUUAGCCUAAAGCACGUGUUUCUAUUCUCCUUAGUGGAUAGACAAAGUUAAUUGUCUUUGAUAACAUGUAUAUGUAUAACAGAAAAUAAGAUGCCAUUAUUGGGCGAAUCCUCAGUAUGUUAUGUUUCAAAAGCAUUUAUUUUACUAAGUUGCACAAAUAUGCUUAUUUGCUGAUCCUAUUAACUUGGUCAACUUCAUACAUCGCUAAAUAAGAAAAAAGGGAUAAGCACACCAACUAAUCCAUCAAGCAAGUUGCUUUCUCUGUAAAUGGUAAACGAGUCCAGUAUUAACAACAUAUAAUCCACUGGAUGUCACACUCUACCCAUUACACUAAUGAACUUGAUAAUCGUGUUCAAAGGAUCGCGAUUCUCCUAUCAAGGUGAUUCCCGAUUAUCAACCACUACCUCAACACACUUCAACAAAUCAUUAUCACCCAUCUUGCUAUGAAUCUUUUGCAUAGAAACUCCCAUGUAAAAGACUUCAUUAAUCUCAUAUUCAUCAAUAAAGCAGAAAACAAAGACAUUGAAAUCAUGAGGUUACUAAGAAUAUACAAACACUAAAAAAGCCAACAAAACACUCGUGAGUGAUAACACUUAUGGCGAAAAUAUGCAUACACUCUAAGUUGGUCAUGUUAAGACUCUGUUUUGGAUGGCCAAAAGUAAAGAUCCAAUAGCCAAAAAUUCUUGAUCCGAAGAAUAAAGAGAGUAAUUGAUGUAACUAGCACUUGUGGAAAAAUAGUAUUUAUUUUGAUUUGUCUAACCUUUGAUGUGCAUCCCUUGAAAGUCUUGGUCUUUUUUUUUUUAAUCUUUUUCGUAGGUCAUCAUCUCAAUCUCCUAGGACUUCAUAGUUUUCUCUCUCCAUUAGUUCAUUUUCACUUUGCUUCACCAUAACACCUUUGUUGUUCAUUACAGUGACUGAUUCACCUAUGGACAUUGGAGGGAUCGUGUUGGGUUCCUUUUUGGCUUCAUCCUUUCAGGUCCUGUUCAACAAGUUGGCUUCUUCCGCAUUAGGUUAUGCACAACAUAAAGGAAUCAGUACUACCUUGCCUAAGGUGUGGAAGGAGAAGCUAGUCAUAAUCAAUGCAGUGUUGGCUGAUGCAGAGGACAAGGAACUUAGUGGUAACCAUCAAGUGAAGCUGUGGCUGGACAAGGUUAAGGACUUGGCCUAUGACAUGGAAGACUUGCUCGAUGAGUUUGAGAUCAAAGCUGCUCAAGUUGAGUCAGAGGCAAAAUCCAGCACAAGCAAAGGUUUGGGGAAAUGGAAGUUCUCUAUAUUUGGCCGACCACCCUCGCUCAUAUCUGAAACCAAGGUACAAGAGAUCAAUGACCAGUUGGAAGAGAUUGUCACUGGAAAGGUUCAUCUAAACUUGAGAGAGAAUGUUGUGGACAAAUCCAACUACACCAGUAAAAGGAUAACCACUUCUCUAUCAGAGCCUCAAUUUUUUGGUAGGGAGGAGGAUGUAGAACAAAUACUCGAACUAUUGAUCAAUGAGGUCAAAAAUUCUAAUGCCACGCUAAGCAUAGUCCCCAUAGUUGGGAUGGGCGGUAUUGGAAAGACUGCCUUGGCUCAACAGCUAUAUAAUGAUGCAAGAGUGAAUAGAUGUUUUGAGAUGAGAGCAUGGGUUUGUGUUUCAAAUGUUUUUGAUGUUCUCGACAUAACAAAGACUAUUUUACGGUCAAUCACUAGGUUGCCCUGUGAGGGCAAAGAUCUAAACGAGUUUCAAGUUAAGUUGAGGGACAAUCUUUUCGAAAAGAAGUUUCUUGUGGUUCUAGACGAUAUCUGGAAUGAGAAGUACGAAAAAUGGACUGAUCUCUUAAAGCCAUUUGUAGUGGGUGCUAGGGGAAGCAAGAUUAUUAUUACGACUCGCAACCAUGCUGUUGUUUCAGUAACAAAAGCACCGCCAAUUCCUUUGAAGGAAUUUGUCCCUCAAUGAUUGUACAAGCUUAUUGGCCUUUCAUGCUCUUGAAGCAACAAAUUUUAAGAGCCACCCGGAAUUUGAAACAAUAGGCAAGAAAAUAGCUGAAAGAUGUAAAGGUUUACCUUUGGCAGCGAAGAUGUUUGGCGGUGUCCUACGUAAUAAAAUGAAUCCCAGUGAAUGGGAAGAUACCUUAAAUAACAUAAUAUGGGAUCUUCCAACGACAAAGAAUGAUGAGGUUCUCCCUAUUUUGAAAUUGAGCUACGUCCAUCUUCCUUCCUAUUUGAAGAGAUGCUUUUCUUAUUGUGCAAUAUUUCCUAAGGAUUACGAAAUUGAGAGGGAUGAGCUAGUACUCUUAUGGAUAGCGGAGGGAUUUUUAGAUGGACAAAAAACAAAGAAAAAUAAGUUGGAAUUAGGAUGGAAUUACUUCGAUGAAUUAGUAUCAAGAUCAUUUCUUCAAAAAUCAAGUGUUGACACAUCUAAAUUUUCAAUGCACGAUCUUUUGAAUGAUCUAGCAAAGUCAAUUGAGGGUGGGAUAUGCUUUAGCUCUGGGGAGUCUCAACCGGCAAUUAAUGAAGACUAUGCAUCUCUGGAGAGAGCUCGGUAUGCAUCAUUCAUUUGGUCGCGGUUUGUUACAUCAAAAUGUUUGAGGGCAUAUCAUGAUAUGAAGGUAUUAAGAAGUUUAAUUUUGGUGCAUAUUGGAUCUAGUGGGAACACUCUCCUUAUAUCCGAUAAGGUGCUGCAUGAGUUGCUAACAAACUUGAAGUUUCCAAGGGUUUUUUCAUUAUGUCAUUGUAACAUCGUAGAGGUACCAAAUUGUGUUCAUGAAUUAAAACAUCUUCGAUAUCUCAAUUUCUCGAACACUUAUAUCGAAAGGCUACCUGAGACUAUUGGCAACUUGUGCAAAUUACAAGCUUUGAUCUUAAGAGAUUGUCAUAAACUUUCAAAGUUGCCUAACAGUAUCACAAAGUUGGUCAGCUUACAGUUUCUUGAUGUUAGAGAUACAAAAAGUCUAAAAGAGAUGCCACUGGGUAUCGGUAAUUUGAAGAAUCUUACUAUAUUAUCCAAGUUUAUGGUAGGAACAGAGAAAGGGCUAAAGUUAAAGGAGUUAAAGGCCCUAUCACGUCUUCAAGGAGAAUUAUGCAUAUCAAAAUUACAAAAGGUGGAAGAUGUUAGAGAUGCUAUUGAUGCUAAUUUGGAAGGAAAGCAAGGCCUAAGAAAAUUAUUCUUGGAUUGGGAUAAAGAUUUUGGAAUUCUUCGGAAUGAUAAGCUCGAAUCACGGGUGCUUGAGUCUUUGCGACCUCCCAUUGAUAUUGAAAAUCUCACUAUUUUGAACUAUGGCGGUGCAAUAUUCCCAUCAUGGUUAGAUGGUUCAUCAUAUUCUCGGAUAGUGUCUUUGAGCUUGUGGGACUGUCCUUAUGUCACAUUGUUGCCUUCACUUGGACAACUGCCUUCAUUGAGAGAAUUAUCUCUUAAAGGUCUAAAUGCAAUAAGAAUAAUAGGCUCUAAUUUUUACGGAGGUUUUUCGUCCUUAAUUACUUUGCAAUUCGAAGAGAUGUUGGCAUGGAAGGAUUGGUCUCCUUAUGCUGGGGGCCCAAAAGAAGAAGUCCCAUUCUCCUGUCUUGAGCAUCUUGUUGUUCGAAGUUGUCCUUCGUUGGUCGGCACAUUGCCUUGUCAACUUAAUCAUCUUAUCAAACUUGAAAUUCAUUCAUGCCAACAAUUGAAUAACUCAACCAGUGAGUUAUGUCUUCCAUCUCUCGAUGAGUUAUACCUUGAGGAGUGCAGUAAGGAGAUCUUAAAGAGCUUGUUCAAGCUAACUUCUUUGACAGUUCUCAAAAUUAACAAGCUCAUAGAGCUUGUUUCCUUUGAUCAUCGGUUUAUGAGUUGCUUGGGCAAGCUAAGGAAGCUUCAUAUAGGACUAUGUGACAAACUAACAUGCUUGUGGCAAGAUGGAGAUGAAACACAAAAUCUCACUUGCCUCCGGGAAUUAGUAAUAAAAAAUUGUCCUCAAUUCAUAUCUUUUGUGGUAGGAGAAGGAGAGAUAGAGCUACCUUGUAAUCUUGAAAGGAUGGAAUUGGUGAAUUGCACAAGUUUAGAAAAGCUUCCAAGCAAGAUGCACACACUUAAACAUUUGGUGAUUAAGAAUUGUCCAAAAAUCAUGGCUCUAAACAUUCCUCAAGGUGACCUGAGCAGCAAUAAUUUGAUUUCUCAACUUGAAUCUCUUAAGAUACAUCAUUAUGAUUCUCCAAUAUCCUUUUCAUUUGCCAAGGGUAGACUUGCUCCUCUGAAGGCACUUCAUAUAGACAAUUGUGAGGGAGUGGAGUCGUUGGAAGGGAUUGCCGUAUUAUCGCUUGAAACAAUGACAAUUAACGAUUGUCAAAAUCUGGGAAGCUUACCACAAUGCCUUCACACGCUCUCCCAUCUCACUCAAUUGGAUAUUUAUAAUUGUCCAGCACUGGAGAUAGAGGAAUUCCCUCCCCUUCCCGUAACCCUCUCGAGUCUUGUUCUUAAUCUUUGUUCUAAGAUAAAGUCUAUUGCCAACUGUAACAUUGCCAAGUAUAACAAUCUCACUAAAUUGAAAAUACAGCAAUGUCCGAUAUUGGAGAUAGAGGACUUCCCACCCCUUCCCAUCACCCUGCAGAGUCUUGAACUUUGGGAUUGUCCGAUGAUAAAGUCCCUGCCAAAUAAGUGGCAUCAUCUUACCUCCCUCCAAGAGCUAAGUAUUAUAUAUUGUCCAAAUAUCAAAUGCUUCCCCAAAGGAGGUCUGCCUCCCAAAUUGCGAGACCUUCAAAUUAUGGGGCUCGUGGCUCUGAAGCAGCCAGUGAGAGAGUGGGGCUUACACCUGCUCACAUCUCUCGAGAUUCUGACCAUUGAUUUUAACAUGGGAGGGGAGAGAGAGAAGGAGUGGUUUCCUUCGGAGGAUAAGGAUGCCUGGAAUCUCUUUCCUUCCUCUCUAACCUCUCUUUGGAUAUAUGAUUUGAGAAACGCAGAAAGACUAUCAAGCGGUCUCCGCAACCGUCUCUCCUCUCUCCGAUGGUUAUCGAUUGGAGCGUGCCCCAAGUUGAGGUACCUGCCAGAGGAUGGCUUCCCUCCCUCCCUCCAACAAUUGCAAAUAUGGAGAUGCAAGAUUCUGAAAGAGCGAUGCGCAAAACUCACUGGCGACUAUUGGCCCCUCAUCGAAGAGAUCCCUGACGUUGACAUCUGGUGAAUUGAUUCGUGCAUCUACACUACAGUGAGUUUUCUUAGGGUUCGAGUAAGUUAUUUUUGGUUUUGAAGGCAUCCUUUUCCAUUCUACUUUCUCAAUUCGAUGCUCAAUACGAACUGAUGUUUGGGUGGGGGAUUGCGUUGGGUUGGAUUGGCUCUGUUUCGUUGGACGAUGAACUGUAGGAUGAAAUGCUCGCAAUGCUACCUCUUGCUAUGUUGAUGACAUAUCCUCAUUUCUGCUCGAUGCCCAAACCAUUUGUGAAUGAAAUCGCACCAGCACGAAGAAUCGUAGCAUUCCACAAUCAUAGUCCUCUGCAUUUUCAGCGUCUAUUGUCUGUUCUCUUCCCAACAUAUUUUUUCUUAAGCCCUUAAGCUCAUUCACUCUGGUUGUUUUGCAGAUACCAUUGUGAUCUUGCAUUGGCAGAAUCUCUUGGAAGGAUCACGUGCGAACGCUGCUAAGGUAGGGCUAAUGCUGUUGGUGUCAUUGUCUUGCUUCAUUUUUUCUUUUUCUUUUGCAACUUAUCAAUAAAGGAAGAAGCAAUUAAAUAUAUUUGUUGCACUGCUAUGUUCUGAAUUUUCCUUCUGGUGAAUAUGAUCUAAAUAAGAACAAAUCUUUUUCAAAAUCUAAAAGGAUGAUUAGUUUUGUGGAAGCUAUGAUGUGAUUGUGAAGAAAAUGGAUGCGGUUUUUUCAUUUUAUGGAUUUCUUAAGAAUAGGAACCUUCUUCUUCCUUUUUUAUGAUGAUUCUUUGUAGUAUUAAGCAGUCAAUCUGGGAUAAAAUUCCGAGGCAGCUCAUGGCUCCAAGCUUUCACGUGACAGCAUUGAUAUUCCAUAAAUCGCUUUCUGGUUGGGUCUCGAAUUCUGGUGGUUUAGGAACUGUUGCUCACAGCUUGCUAGAAAUUUUUAGCAAAUAUACUUAUGCUUGUUGGGUUGAGAUUGUUAUGAUAGGCUGCCUACCUUCGGGUUUCCAUCAUCAGCGGUGACCAUGUGGCAUUCUUCCCAAAAGGAGUUCCAGAACAAAAUGUUCGAGCUGACAUGGGUUCCUUUGGAGUAACUUGAAAUCUUGUGAUUCAACCAAUUUGUAUCUUGCCUGGUAUAUCUCCUCUCUUUGUGCUAGUGUUGCAUGUAUAAAUUUUUUGUUGAAGCAAUGUUCUUAUGACAUUGUGAAGCUCUGUUAAAAGUUAGAUAAUUUGUAAUCUGAAUUGUGGUUCACUGUGUACUUUCUCCAAAGCUUUUUGGAUGUUAUUGCACAUAUAACAUGGUGCUUUGACCACAUAAAUAGGUGGUUAGAAAAAGCAAAGUUGCAUUUGCCAAGAUAACUUUCAAGCAACCUCACAUAGUUUUGCUUGACGCCCCAUCCUAUCAUUUGGUAAGUUCUACUCAUAUUUCUCCAUUUUAUGACUUGAUUACUUUUUCAGUUAGCUUGUUAUUGUUCUUGCGCUAAUUGAACUUGUCGGAAUCUGGUUUUUACAUUAAAAAUAUAGUAGAACCAAAUGGUGGUCAUAGCUGCUGGUAGCCCUCGUCAUCAUACAUCUAGCAAAUAAUGGAACAGACACCAAUCUAAUUGUUCCAAUGUGGAAAAUAUUCAGAAUAGAGCAAUCUACAAUACCAAAUGGUACUGAUCUUUAUGCCUAUAGGCAGUAUUGGGCUUUACAUACAAAUAUGUGGACCCCUUUUUGUUUGUAAAUCCGGUCUUUAAGUUUUGCUUUAAUGACCAGUGACUAAAGAAUUAUCUUUGCAAAUUGUUAGUUUCUUGUCUAAUGAUUAGUGUUUUUGUUUUUUUGUUUUUCCUAUCCACACCCGUAGGAUUUGGAUGUGGCUGAGGCGCUCAUUCAAGGUCUGGUCUUGUUCCAAGGAUUAAUUCUGAUGGUGAGAUUGAUUUCCUUGUCAAAAUACUUCAAUUUGACCAAUGAUGGAUCAUUUCACAGCUAAUAGCCCUCUUUUCACCUUGAUUUGCAGGUUGGUCAUGAUGAGCAUCUAAUAGCUAGAAGCUUGGAUGAGGUCUGGGUGGUUUCACAAGGCAAGGUGGCACCUCUCCAUGGGAAUUUCUAGGACUAUAGGAAUGUACUCCUAUUUUUAUUGAAUCAGGUGAAUCUAGUUAUUGCCAUCGACUAAGAGUGGUUCAGUGGGUUCACAUUACCUCACAAAACAAAAAAUGAGGCUUAGCUACAUAGAGAAAGCAAAAAAGGAUGAAGAGAGGAUUGCUGCUGAUAUACAGGACGGACUCACAGUUACACCAGCCCUCAUUUGUCAUUUAUACUUGAUAAGGGCUUGUGGAACAAUGAGUCUAAGUUUUUGACAGCAUACAGUAUCAUUUGCAAUAGCUUAAGAACUGAGUUGUGAUUGUAAUCUUAGUAUAAUUUAUGAUUCUUUGCACAUUUUGUUAUAGCAAUAGGUUCAUUUGUUGUGCCCCUGGAAGUUUGAUACUCUAUUGCCACCGAAGUCAGUUUUCUCAUGCACACUAAAAUGAUUUAAUCAUUUGCAAAAGAAUAUUUUAGCACAGUAAAUUAUUUUGUAAGACAAAUCUAUUUUGUGAGAAAGCUAUAUCAAUAUAUUUUCCCCAUUUUCACUAUUUGGCACUAUUUUGGAGAAUUAAUUAUGAAACUAUUAUCAUGGCCAACAAAACCCAUUCUUAGGAUGUAGGCAAGCUCUACCACUGAAAGUCAAAGACUGACAUUUGAGCGGGAUUUCUUGUUGGGUUGGAUCAGCUCUGUUUCGUUGGACAAUAAACUUUAGGUCGAAAUUCACUCAGUGCUGCCUCUUGCUAUAUUGAUGGCAUAUCUUCAACUCUACUUGAUACUUAAACAAACUGUGAAGAAAGAUGCACUAUCACGGAGAAUUAUAGCGUUCCACAAUCAUAUGUCUUUGCAUUUUCAGCGUUUCUUGUAUGUUCUCUUCCCACCAUCUUUUUCUUGUGUCCUAGCUCAUUCAUUGUUUUUUUUUUUUCAAUGGUUUUCUUUAGAAUGGAGAACCCUUUUUUAUUUUUUUUAUUUUUAUUGAUGGUGAUCCUUUGUAGUAUUAAGUAAUCUAUUUGGGACACAUUUCUGGGGCAGCUUAUUGCUCCAAGCUUUUAAUAAAACUCCAUCAUGAUAGCAUUGAUAUUCCAUAGAUCACCAUUCUAUUUGUGUUUACAGCUUGCUAGAAAUUUUUAGCCUAUAUACUCGUGCUUAUUUGGUUGAGAUUGUAACGAUAUGUUGCCUGCCUUUGUGUUUGCAUUAUUAGCAGUGACCUCUAGGGCAAAUCUAUUCAAGUCUUUAAAGUAUCGGUUGUUUGCUUUUACUACACUACAGAAUAUGAUUUUGUUAUACAUCAUGUCGUUUUAUUUGCAAAUACCUUCUUAUGUGGCAUUCUUCUUGCAGGGAUUUUCGAUCAAAAAGCUUCGAGCUCACUUGUGUUCCUUUGGUGUAAUUGGACAUCUUGCACUUCAACCAAUGUAUACCUUUAUGAUACAUUGCCUCCCUCUCCGCUACCAUUGCAUAUGUAAAUUAUUUUUGAAGCAAUUGUUUUAUGACAUUGUGAAGCCCUAAUAGAGGUUAGUCAAUUUGCAAGUAGUUCACUGUGUACUACUCUGAGGCUUUUUGGAUGUUAUUGCAUAUGUAACAUGGUGCUUUGACCAUAUAAAUAGGUGCGCAGAAAGGCAAAGUUGCAUUUGCCAAGAUAACUUUGAAAAAGCCUCACAUAGUUUUGCUUGAUGAGCCAUCCAAUCAUCUGGUAAGUCUGCUCUUUUUGUCCACCUUAUGACUCCAAAUACUUUUCAUUUAGCUUGUUGUUGUUCUUGCACUAAUUGAACUUAUCGGAAUCUGAUGUUACAUUGAAAAUACAAGAGAAUCAAUUAGUGAUAACAACUAUAGAGAGCCUCUGUUCUGUCAUCAUAUAUCUAACUUAUAAUGGAACAUAAACCAAUCUAAUAAUUUCAACUUGGAAAAUAUUUGGAAUAGAAUAGUUAGCCUGAUCAGUUUUUUCAUAUUGGAGUAAUCUGUAAUACCAAAGAGUUGUGAUAUCUGUGCCUGUAGGUAGUAGUGGGCUCUAUUUAUAAAUGUGGUCUUUAAGCUCUGCUUUAAUGAGUAGUGACUACUGAAGAAUUAUCUUUGUAAAUUGUUAGUUUCUUGUCCAAGGAUGAGUGAGUGCAACUCUGCUGUUUUGCCUAUCCACAACUGGAGGAUUUGGAUGUGGCUGAGGUGCUCAUUCAAGGUCUGGUCUUGUUCUAUGGAGCAAUUGAGAUGGUGAGAUUGAUUUUGUUGUCAAAAUGCUUCAAUUUGACCAACCAUGGAUCAUUUUCACAGCUAAUAGCCCUCCUUUCACCUUGAUUUGCAGCUUAGUCACAAUAAGCAUCUAAUAGCUGGAACGUCAAAUGAGGUCUGGGUGAUUCCAUAAGGCAAGGUGGCGCCUAUCCAUGGGAAUUUUCAGGACUAUAGGAAGGUACUCCAGUUUUUGUUAUAUCAGGUGAAUCUAGUUAUUACCAUCAACUGAGAGUGGUUCAUUGGGUUCCCAUAUCCUUACAAAACUGAAAAUGAGGCUUAGCUACAUAGAAAAAGCCAAAAAAAGAUGAAGAGAGGAUUGCUGCUGAUGUACAGGAUAGACUCACUAUUACCCUGGCCCUCGUUUGUCAUACAUACUUGAUAAGGACUCGUGGAAGGAAGAAUCAAAGUUUUGACAUUGAGUGUGUAGUAUCAUUUGCAAUAGCUUAAGAACUGAGUUGGGAUUGUACUCCCGGUAUAAUUUAUGCUUUCUUGCACAUUUUGUUCUAGCAAUAGGUUCAUUUGUUGUGCCCGUAGAAGUUUGAUACUCUGUCGCCGUGGAAGUCAGCUUUCCCAUACAUAGUAAAAUGAUUUAAUCAUUUGCGAAAGAAUCGUUUUAGCAUAGUAAAUUAUUUUGUAGGACAAUCUAUUUUUAUAUGAAUAUAUUUUCCCUAUUUUCAUUCUUUGCAUUGUUCAGGAGAAUUAAUUAUGAAAAUAUUAUCACGGUCAACAAAACUUUAUAUUCAACUCUAAGUACAGAAUUGCGUUGACUAAUUAUAAGGUAGGCCUUGUGUCGCCAAAAAAUACUAUAAUGAAAUUCCAUAUAAAUACCUGGAUUUGUUAGAUAAAAUCCUUUUACCAUGUUCAGGUCAACAUUGAAAAUGAGAAGCUUUCUUUCUCCCAACUGCUACGGUGCAGAUGGACAAACGGAACUGAUAGCAGAGGUUUGAGUAAGCGAAUGUGACAGCUAAAUGCUGAAUUUCAUUUUUCUUUUAUUCAAAUACCCACUCCACUCCCAUCUCUUGACAACAUUUUUAGCGGUCCUACAUAUUAUAUUUCCUGUGCAGGACGGGGAAUGGGAAGAAGGAUUAAUAGCCGUGGCUACCCUCUGGAUGUUUCUUUGAGGACUUACGUCUGCUAUGAGAUAUUCUGAUUCCGAGAAGAUCGUCACUUAGCGCCACUGAUGAUUAACUCCUUGAAGGGGGCAAGCCCCACCACAUUUACCCCCAUCGAGGUGCUGAAGAUCCAGGACCAUUCACACGUGACAAGAUACACGCACUACCAUUGCAAAUGGUUUCAAUCUCGUGAGCUCACAUGUUGAAGAUAUACCUUGAAUUCAGGCAAAUGAAGGGAAUUUGAUCCAAAAAGGAAACGUGCUACUAUGGCUUCCAUGUUAUAUACAAUUUUGAGGAAUACUGUUACAUGAGUUCUAUUAAUGGACACUUCUGUUACAUUAUAAAGUUAUUGCCUGCUAUAUGAGGUUUUUGCCAUAACAAUCAUUCCCAUGUUGAGGAGCGAAACUGUUUUCUACUUCUUCAUCGUCAGACCCUGCUUGAGACACUGUCUCACGAACUACUUUUAGCAGAGACUUUUGAUCUGGAGCUGCUGCGAAUUGAGCUUGAUGUUGACCUUGGUUGAGGAAAAAUUGAGUUUGUUCUGAUGGUCGUGAUUUUGACCGGCAGGAUUUGCAGCCAAACAUGACGGCUUCUUCAUUUGCAAAUUGAGGGGCAAAUUUUGCCCACCAUUUAAUUUUUUAAUUCUCUUUCGAGAAUAGAAUAUAUCACGGUCUACUAUACAAGAUCUAACAUGCGAACAAUCGUCUUCAUAUCUGAAAAAUAUUUAACAUGUGAAGAUGAAGAGGUUCUUGAAGCGGCUUAAUUAUUGCAGAAAAUCUUUUCUCCAUGAAGGGGGCUUGAUUCUACUCUCUAAGGGACUCGACAUUUUUGUGUUAUUGUUUUAUUAGGAUUCUUGACGAUAUUGAUUUUGAGUAACUUCCACAGAGUCUAUAUCAACGGGGAUGAAUACAUAAAAAGUUUUGGUUUUAGGAUGAUGAUUUGCAAUAUAAUGAAAAUCCGGAGGGAUGUGGCCCUGCAUUAUUUUAUGAUUGAGAUUUGAUAAAACCUUCUAGUUGUUUUGAGAGAAAUUUGUUAAUAAAAAAAUGUUAUUUUCAUUUUUCACUAUUUAGCGUGGUAAAGAGCUGGUCAAAGGAAAUUAAUUUAGAAAAAAAUUAAGUGGAAGUACAAUAAUAGAACGGAUGAAUAUCUACAAGGGAAAAGAGCGUGCGACGAUGCUAUUCUAUCGCGGUCCUUCCUAGUGAUGUGGAGAUGGACCGCAUAUGACAAGCUAAUUACGGUCUGCAAAACAUGAAAAAUAGUAAGAUAUGGGGAAAGGAUAUGCAAAAAUAUCCUUCGUCGGCCUAAUUCACAAACGAAACUCAACUUCGAUCUCCUCAGGAACAAGUCAGGCGUGUCCCACCGACGAAUUCUAGUAAUUUUAUAGCAAAAAAGUUACUUUUCGUCACCACCCAAUAGUUACGGAUUUUAUUUCGUCGCUAAAGGACCAACCUCUUGCAACGAGAAUUUGGUCGGUUUUUUUGUAGAUUUGGUGAUGCAAAAUUUCAUGGUUAAUCAUACCCGUGGCCGAAGCGUCCAAUUUAGUAUUGAUUAAAUCAUCUCUACCAAUGCAAUUUUUUUUUUUUUUUUGGUAAAGGUAAAUAAUAAUAAAGCUUUGGACAAAAUACAAAAGACAGCGCCAAAGGCUUACACUCUAAGGAAGACCAAAGAGUGGAAGGGUGCCGUGAGAAAAGCCAAAGGCAAGCGGACCAAAAGGAGAAGAUCCACAGUUACAACACAAAAACCAGUACAACCACCAGACCUCCACCAAACAUUCGAAGAAUGAAGAAACGGAGUGAUGUUGAAGUUGUAGCGGAACGAGAGAAGAAGCGGGGAGACUAACGCCUGAGACGAUCCGUAAAGAUGGAGGGAUCAAGAUCCCAGCUUCUUUGGAGACGCCUAUUUCUCGGAGUAUCCGGAACACUUGUGAAUGUAGUCGCUUUAUCUUUGAUUAUCUUCAUAAGGUGGUUCUUCAAAGCAAGGACAACCAGUGCUUCCCCUCGGAAAAUAAUAUCAUUCAUUUUCUUCCAAAUCAAAUAACAAAGGCCACCGAAAGAAAAUCGCGCAAUCCGAUGGUAGAAAUCCUUACCGGAGAGCAACCUGAUCGCCCAAGCAAGGUUGUCCAUCCAUGGCCUCGAUUUCCAAGGUAAAUUGCAUCUCGUCGCCCAAAAAUAAGCAAGUGAGGCCGAGAUACGACAGUUGAAGAACAAGUGAUCAAUAGAGUCCGGAGUAGCAUUACAGUAUGCACAAGUACCCGAGACGAUUCUACUAGAAUGGAUUAGGAAUUCUUGGGUGGGUAAUCUGUUCUUGGUAAUCAACCACAAGUUAAAUUGAUUUCUAGGGACAAUAUCAGAGUUCCAAAUAAAGAAGUCCCAAGAAACUUUUUCCUUCUUUGUUCUAAUGAAAUCCCAUGCAGAGGCAACAGAAAAGGAUCCGGAUGAGUGCUGAUUCCAAGUGAAACAAUCCGGUGCAUUAGUCUGAUCCGGGACAGAGAAACCACAGCUCUGAAGUGAACUCUUAAAUGCAUGACCGAGGGGGGAGAAUAAAUCUGCAACAACAGCAUGCUUAAAGAGACCCGACAAUUCAAUGAUGGAUGUCGGAAAUAAAAGAUCAAGGGGGCCAUCAGCGAGCCAUUGAUCAUGCCAUAAAGAAACCGAAAAUCCAUUACCAAUCUUCCAAGCGAAGCAAGACCUAAACUCUGUUCUUAAUUGCAAUAUUUUUUUCCAGGCCCAAGAACACGUAGAAGGUUUUGAGGCGAUCCAGAAAUUGUCCUUUUUUAAGAAAUUAGAAUGGAUCCAUCGACACCACAACGAUUCUUUAUCGGUGAAAAGGAUCCAUAUGUACUUAAGCAUGGCCGCUCUAUUGCAGUCUUUCAAAUUCCUUAUACCGAGCCCACCUUCAUUUUUUGGGAGACAUAUGUCAUCCCACGCAACCUUAGCCCCACCUUUACCAAGUGUGGAUCCUUUCCAUAAGAAUUGUCUCAAAAUUGUUUCAAUACUAACCAGAACCGACGCCGGUAAGGUAAACACACUCGACCAAUAUGAUUGAAUAGAAUGGAGGAUUGACCUGAUGAGCUGCAAUCUUCCAGCAUAUGAUAGAAAUCUUUGAGUCCAAGAUUGAGCCCUAACAGUGAUCCGAUCAAUUAGAGCAAUACAGUGAACUUUUCGAAGUCUAGAAGAGAUGAUGGGAACCCCGAGGUAUCGCACAGGCAAGGUACCUUCUUGGAAUCCAAAGGCCAUUUGAAUAUAAUUGCGAAGAGACAGAGGUCCUCCAGACAUAAAGAUUUUGCUCUUGUUUCUAUUCGGGAUCAAGCCACUCCAUGAAGAGAAUAUAUCAAGGCCCUUUUUCAUUAAGGUGAUAGACGCCCAGUCAGCUCGACAGAAAAGGAAAACGUCAUCCGCGAAAAAAAGAUGAGUCAGCCGAGUUGCCUUGCACCUCCAAUAGGGAUUGAAUUCCUUAAGAGAAGUCUGGGAGACUAGAAUUCCAGAGAAUACCUCCAUCACAAGUGUGAACAGAUAAGGGGACAUAGGAUCUCCUUGUCGUAGUCCUCUCCCACCGGCAAAGAAUCCAUGAAGCUCUCCAUUGAUUGAAAUGGAAUAUUUGGGAGUCCGAACACAAGCCAUAAUCAAUCGAACAAAAACAUCAGGGAAGCCAAAUGCCGUGAGUGUCGAUUGAAGAAAAUCCCAGUCGAUAGUAUCAUAAGCCUUCUGGAAAUCAACUUUUAUCGCACAUUUGGGGAGGUAAGGUUCCAAAUGAAACCCAGCAAAUAAUUCUUGAGCCAAAAGAAUGUUAUCUCUAAUCCUCCUCCCUUUGACAAAGGCGUUUUGAGAGUAGUCAACUAAGUUCCCAAGGACAACAGCUAGGCGAUUGGCUAAUAUCUUUGUAAUGAUUUUAUAAAUGAUGUUGCAACAUGCAAUAGGGCAAAAAUCUGAGACAUCGCAAGCAUUAGGGACCUUUGGAACUAAAGUGAGGAUGGUAUUAUUCACCUCUCUAAGCAGACAGCCUGAUGUAAAGAAUUCCUGAACUGCCUCUGUUACGAGCGGGCCAACAGUAUCCCAGCAUCUCUUGAAGAAUUCGGCAGUGAAUCCAUCAGGACCUGGAGCUUUCCCCUUCGCUAGAGAGAAGACUGUUUCUCGAACUUCAGGGACUAGCACUGGUCUGGUUAGGUCACCGGCUUGGUCCACCGACAGGGGAUUGCGAAUGAACUUUCUUAACUCCUGCAGGGAAGGCUUGGAUACUCCAGGGUGAGAAGAAAGCAGAUCAGCAAAAAACGUUACAAAUACUUGGGGAACCACCUCAGGGUCAUCGAUAAAAGCACCCGAGGAGUCCUUCACCGUAAGGAUUCUGUUUGUAAGUUGUCUUUUCUUGACAGAAUGAUGAAAAAACUUUGUAUUUUGGUCCCCUUCCUUGAGCCAUCGGAUUCUCGAUUUUUGCCUAUAGAAGGAUUCUUCAUCUCUUCUCAAGUUAACAAAGAGCUUACGGCAAAUCUGCUCUGUAUUGGCGAGGUCAGAAUCAUUAGGGUUGAGAUGAAGAUCAAGCUGAGCAGAGCGAAGAGCUUCCCUUGCUUCCUCUGUUCUUGCUGAAAUGUUUGAAUAUGUAUCUCUAUUUAAAAGUUUAAGCCGGCUCUUUAGAGUUUUGAGUUUAGAAACAAGCCUAAACAUAGCAAAUCCUCGAACUGGAAUAUCCCAUACCUGCUGCACAAUAAGGAAGAAGUCAGGGUGCUGUGCCCAGAAAUCAAAAUACUUGAAAGGCCUUCUCCUAUGAAUCGGGUCAAUGACUCUGACUACCAUUGGGGAGUGGUCGGAGAUACCCGGGUUUAGGAAAGAGGCCUCGGAAAAAGAGAAUUCCAUAUUCCAAGAGGUAUUAACCAAAACACGAUCUAUUUUCCGCAUUUUCCUACUUGCACCCGCAGAGGUGGACCAGGUAAACCUAAGGCCAAUGUACCUGAGGUCGUCCAACUCAGUUUGAGCUAGGCAGUUUGCAAACUCAUCAAAGUAUGGAAUCCAAGUAUCAGAACUACCAAAACGGUCAGAUGGAUCCUUGAUAGCGUUGAAAUCUCCUGCAACCAACCAGGGCGUGUCUUGCAUGAGGGCAUUUAUCCGAAUAAGAUCUUCCCAGAGUGGGCGACGGCGAAUAAACGAGUGUUCACCAUAUAUAAUAGAAACACAGCACGUCUUUGUAGACGAGAUAAUCCUCACACGGCCAUGCACAGCUUGAGCACUAACCGAGAUGGGAUCAUAAUUUAUAUAGUGUGGGUUCCAACCAACCCAUAUUCUUCCACGAGGGGAAUGUUCAUAAUUCGUGAUCCAUUUCCAGCCAUUCAGCAAAAAGGAGGAUAGGGAAUCAGAAGUAUCCUCAGGGACUUUGGUCUCAAUGAGCCCAAUCAAGCACAGAUUAUGAGAAGUGACAAGCUUCCGCACUUCAGCCCGAGUAACGGAAUUCAUAAGACCUCUAACGUUCCAGGCAGCUAUAUACAUAAUUACAAAAGAAGGGGAAGAGGGUUACCUCUUUCUAGAACCCUUAUUCCUACCCACCGUCAGAGGAGGAUCCGUAAUAGGAGGAGGGUCCGGGCAUAGCAGCAGCAGCUCAUCCUGCAUUGUCACAGCUGGGGUAGUAGAGCGAGGGUCUUUCGGUGGGAGAGAGUCUACCGAAAGCAGGUCUUCAUCUUCUGUCUCUUCCUGGAAGCUGGGAUUGACAAUCUCAUCUGAAUAAUGAGGUACUAACAAAUGAGGAGCAAUUGCUUUCUCUUUAGCCGAUAUAGAGGGGCCGUGACCAGCUUUAGAGGGUGCUGCGCCCGUACCAGCAGACUUCCGAGAUGCUGGUGCAACUCUCACUCUCCUUAAAACAAAGUCUUUUAGCUUCAACGAUUGGCCUCCUUCACGAAAAGGAGCUGAGUUGGAGGAGGCAGCCUUUUUUGUGAAAGGCUUUUUCUUUCUUUUGACUUGUUUCCACUCAGAAUCGCCAGGGGGAGGGAUGCUAGAUGGAUCGUCCGCCAUCCUCAAAACCAGUCUUUCUUCCUCAGCAACGCCUUCAGUAGACUUGACUGCGAACAUAGGAUCAACUGCAUAUGUUUCUAUAGUCUUGUGUAUUUCGGCCGAGUUCCCCCCUCCCUGAGGACUUCCAGGAACAGUCCUUGUAGUAACCAUAGGGUUGAUAUGCAUCUCUGUAGUUCGAAGGUUCAUGAGGUGGGGGCUCGAUUGGCCCUGAGGCCGAGAACCAGUAGGAUCAGAGACAUUCUGAACACUAGCAGUUGCUUCAACCAGUAGGGUUGAUAUGCAUCUCUCUACCAAUGCAAUUUUCAUAACUGAAAAAUCGUGGCAAUGAGACAUUUCAUAGCUAAAAAGGUACAUAUUCUUUUUUUGGCCACCAUUGUAGCCACGAAAGUUUUCGUUACUAUUUUAGAGAAAUUUGUCUAGGAUCACCUAGUCCAGUUGAUGAAUUGAUAUCAAUUCAGUCAUAAACCUUUUGAUUGUGUUAAUUUAAUUAUAAACAUUUUGAAUUGAUGCCAAUUCAAUCUUAAACUUUUUGAACUAGUGUCAAUUUAAUCAUAAACGUUUUGACUUGAUGUUAAUUCAAUUAUUCUCAGUAAUUUUGGUUAUAUAUUGCUAACAAGGACGCCAACUGACUUAUGUGGUAUGGUUGGUACUAAUAUUAAUAAUUUUUAAUAAUAUUUCAAUAUUUUUCAAUAUUUUAUUCUUUUUUAUGAUUUUUUUUCUCUCAUUUCUUCUUCUUCCUUUUGCCAGUGACUGGCCAUCGGCCACGGUUGAGCAAGCUAGCCUCACAUGGCCAUGGUGAGGCCAAGCCUCAACAAGGGUCAACCUCACCGGAUCUAGCCUUGCAAACCUCACCAGAUCUAGCUUGGGCAAGGCCAACCUUCGCUGAGUGUCACCUUCGCCCGUGUUUUCUUCUAGAAGAUUAUCAGCACGAUGUGCACCUAUUUGAAACUAACGGAUAAGCUGGCCAUUCUUCAAUUGAACGGAAAAAAAAAAAUUGAUCUCUCUUGCAUAACGAGAUGAGAAAACUGUUACCACAGAUUGCUCCAGCACCGGUCGGCAAGCUCCUUCAGCUCUAUAUUGCUAAAAGAAAUGACUGGAGAAUGAUUUUCCCUUUCAAAGUCAUCAUGGCUGUUAGAGAAAUUAACUCUGAUUCUGUGAUUUUUAAUUUUCUAAUGUUAGGAGUGAUUCGAUUUGUUUUGAGAUUGACUCUAUGAAGAUGGCAAGAAUCGCAGUUAUAUGUAUUUGUAGUAGUUGCUAUAAUUAGCCUGGUAGGUGUUCGUUAAAAUUUCCUAGGGAAAUUUGAGUUGAUUGUCUUACUGGACAAUCAUCUUUUGUGAAUGAUAAAUGUCUUUACUUGUGUACAACAUGCAGGUGUGAGAUUUUAUCUCUUCAUUUUUCUAUAGUCCUCUGCUUUUUUUUAUGUUCCUUGCUACAUCUUUCUAGUUCUUGAGUACAAUGUUGUCAUUUCCACUUGCUCAAGUUGUUUUGGGUAGUUCUGAUAAUCAGCUUAAGUAAGCUGUCAUUGUGUUUGGUAAGCUUUCCUAGUAUUUGCUUUACAAAUUUGGUACCUUACAUCAUGUUAUGAAAAUUGAAUUCCAUAAAAUUGUAUUUAAAAUUGAUCAUAUAACAUGUAUGUCCCUUAUUGCACGAAUAGAGUAUCUCCUAAGUUUUUCUUUUUUUAACAAUAAAGGGUAAUUUUUAGUAUGAUUCCAAAUUUUAGCCAAACAUCAGGAAAUAUUAUCAUGUUCUCAAUUGACACCCGAAUUUUCGUCGAUAAAUCCAGCACACAUUUGUGUAGAAAAUAUAAUUGUAGUUAAAAAAAAAAUUACAAAUGAAAAAAGAGAGAGAGAAAAUAAAAUGGUAAAACUCAAGCUCGCUAGAUGAAAGUCAUCAAUCUAGUCGAAUCCGUGCCACCACUCCGGCCCAAAACUCAUCAAAUAGGUAAAAGCCCGCUCACCAGACCCGUGAAGCUUCAGUCCACACUUCGCACAGGCCCAGAGUCACAAGUCUGAGCUGAAGGAACCAAGCCCACAGAGGAUUUGCGUUUUCUCCCUCUCUCGCCCGAAGCUCCAUCUCCACCAUUCGAGUUUCACAAUGGUCGCUUCUAGUAUUCCGCCAUCUCCACCGCCUCGCAUCGGCUUCUCCGGCCCUCAGACGUAACUCUUCCAGUUCCUCCCACGGGGAAAAGCUUUCUGAGUCGUGCCGAUAGCUCUGCGGUUCCAGCCUCGACUCGUCUUGAAUUUCCUGCAUUCCCUUGAAGCUUCUCAAUCUCACUCGAACUGGAGCCAAUCGUAGCCAAGCGCCUCCCUCGCUCGACAACUUCAUUAUCGUUCGUUUUUGUCACUGCCUUCUCCUUCGGUUUCUGUCAUCUUCGUUCCCCGACGGAGGAGAAUCGCCGUGACUGAAACUCGAUCAGAAUUGGAUUCUUCGCUUCGAGCUCUUCAUCAUUCGGUUACUGCAACAAUUUUGAAGGUAAGCUGUCUCUCAUUCUAUGGAUUUCAUUUUACAAUUCAGUCAAUAGCAUCGAUUCUCGGUCUUUUUUCUGAAUUUCCAGAGACCUCUUCAUCCAAAUUUCUUCUCUAUUGCCCUCCGGACACUGUCGGCCACUGCCAACCUCAACCAAUCGUCACCGUUCCCAUUUCCAUGGCCACCGUCGGAAGCUCUUUCCGCCCCUGUUCUCGGUCGGUCACCAUUGCUGAAGUGCUCGGACUGUGGUCACCACUCUCUCACGACGGUUCCAGUUCAUGAAGCUGCUUCUAUAAUCACCUUAUUGAGGUCCGAUCGUUAAUCGUCACAGGUAAUCAUCCUUUAUUCAAUCGAAUCACAUAUGCUGUGUGUCCAGUUGCUCUACGUACAGACUACUGCAUGGGUAAAAUCUACUAAUUGCUUUGUGAUCAUCUCGUUCACAUGACUGAACUGUAUUGAUAUGCAUAUUUGAGGUUGAGGUGCUUUUCUUUAUCUUCAUAUCAGAAUUGUGCAGUGCGUGCUUGAGCCGAGACAUUCAUCAGUAUAUUUGUCGACUUACUUUCGUCGAUUUGUUCAAUGCAUGCCCGACCGUUGCUCUCAACACGUUGUGCUGAUCAACGCUUUAGAGAAGCUGCGCUUGGAUUUGCUGGAACCAGCUUAUACUCGACUGGUCAAGUUGAGCACUAUACUUGCUAUUAGCAAAGGUGGUCACUGCAGCAACCAUCUAGUUCGUGAAUAAUUCCCCUAGAAAUGAAAAAAUAGGUGCAAUUCUUAAGAGAAACGGCCGCGGUCCGUGAAAACAAGAUGAGAAAAAGAGAAAAUGUACCUGAUAAACCCGUAUAGAGGAUUAAGGCGUUAUAAAGCAGAAAAACCAGAUGUCACAGCUGUAUAGUCAAGCGCAAACAGCUUGUUAUGUUAAUCCUGAUAAUUAUCGGAGCAAACUGAAGCUGUUCGGCUGCUUAGAAAGACACUCCUUUGUAGAUGCCCAAAAACAAUAAAAAUAAAAACCAAGCCCACAACCAGACUUCUUAAGUACGCGCGUUUCUCUCUUCAUACUGCCGGAACAUACGAAUUAAAUGUUCUCGAAGGAGUCCUAACCAAGCCCACAGCCUGACUUACUGAUUGAAUGUUCUCUAUUUUAUUUUGUGGUGUCCCAGUUUUGUGGGUUUUCGAUUGUUGAAUUGACUGAAUUGACAUCCUCUUGUGAGAAUAUUCUCGGAUGGGACUUCGGUUGUGAGGUAAUUAGACUCGGUUUCCUUCGUUAAUCGAAUGGCAGAUUUUUUAUUAGUUUGGCUUUUUAGUUAGGGCUUCUAGGUGAAUUCCAAUUCAAUGCGACCAUGUGAACAUCAUGUUGAUAUAGCUAAUUCGAAAUUAAUAUGAUUUGACUCUUUUUGGAUACUUUUUGGUGAAAAGGGCGAUUCCUCGUAAUAAUUAAAAUAAAAAAAUUUAUAUUGAAAAUUUCAUGAUAAGAGAAAGUAUUUUUCAUGAAAUUUUGAUUUGUUUAAUAGUUUAAAAAAAAGAAGUGAUUUCCUUCUUGUUAUAAACGAAAUGCGGUUUUUCCACCACAUAUUUCAAAAAAUGCAAAAGUAAGAAACUAGCAACUAGCAAUCGUUUUUAUGAUAUGUUCAGAAAGUUUGGCACAAGAUUGUAAGAUGAACUAUUUGAGGGGGACAAAAGAGUAGUCCCUCUAAUUUGCUGGUACAAUAUAGUGGUGUUUUCUUGAUUUAGAUUGUUGGGAUCACCACUCAAAUUAUUUUCAUUUUAGUUAUUACACAGAUUUUCUUUUGAUUGAUUAGUUUGACACCAUUUUUUUUUUUUUUGGGUCGAAAGUUUGACACCAUAUUGAUUUGGGCUCCUUUGGUGUAACUAGAAAUUUUGUGGUUCAACCAAUGCAUACCCUGUUUGGCAUAUCUCCUCCCUUUCUAUUACCGUUACAUAUAAUAUUGUUUGUCUGAUCACUCUCAUAGCUUUUUAUUAUGUGUGAAAGAUAAUUUUAAUUAAUUGUUCCUUUUCGGAUUUUUUAUAUUUUCUUAUGUUCAUCUCGCACCUUAUGUUGUUCUUCUUGUUGAAGAGUCUUCGAUACAAAUGACGUCAUUAUUCCAAUUGUGUUGGUUGAUAAUGAUGGCAAUUAGCAAAAGCUAAGGAAUUAAAGAAAAAUCUGGGGCUUUUACUUUGUUUUUCAAUACAUAUUUUUUAUUUUAUUUUUGUGACUGAAUAAUUUUGGAGUUGGUUAUUAAUUGAAGCAAGAAAUUCUCAAACUAGCACCAAGAUGCAAAAAAAAAAAAGAAAAAUGCCAACUUCCUCACAUUUUGUAUGACAGGACAAAAAUUCUCUUAUCUGGAAAAGAAAAAAAAACGAGGAGGAAGUAUAGAUUGUCCAUUGAAAAUUAGUCUUUUCAAUUAAUUGGCUCCUUGAAAUUUAUUUUAUAUCAUUACACUUUAAACUUUUGCAAUAGGCAUCAUUUUACCCAAACUCCUUUGGAAUGGUGUCUUUAUAGAUUUAGAAUGUUGUAUGAUACUAUAUGUGAAUCGCAAGCCCGAUAGAAUUAGACCUGAAUAAAGUAUUUUGUAUCAUAAGCAUUCAAAGUAAUAGCACAAAUACAAUGUGCAGCCAAGCAGGAAAUUCUCAACGAGUAAUAUCACACUGAGUCACAAGUGUAAGCUGAGCCCAAGAGGCCCAUCAGCCCAAAGCCCAUAAAAAGAACCAAGCCCAGCCACAUCUUGGUUUUAUCCUCUCUCUUUCUCUCUCUUCCGUUUUCUCUCUCUAGCCCUCUAAAGCUUCAAACGAAGAGGCGCUGGGGGAAACGGGAUCGAUUCUCCAUCUCCCGCGGUUCGAGUUUCACCGGAGGUUAUUCAUGGCCGAUUCUAGUAUUCUGCCAUCUCCGCCGCCUCGCAUCGGCUUCUCCGGCCUUCAGACGUAACUCUUCCAGUUACUUCCAUGGCGAAAAUCUUUCUGGUUCGCGCCGAAAGCUCUGCAGUUCCGGUCUCGAUUCGUCUUGAAUUUGCUGCAUUCACUUGAAGCUUCUCCAUCUCUCCCUUAAGUGAUAAGCCAAUCGUAGCAAGCACUUUCUCGCUGACGACUCUUAUCUUUCGUUUUUGUCACUGCCCUCUUCGGUUUCCAUACAGGGAGACAGCCGUGACUGAAACUCUACUGAACUCGGAUUCUUCACUUCGAGCUCUUCAUCAUUCGGUUACUGCAACAAUUUUGAAGGUAAGUUCUCUCUCAUUCUCUGGAUUUCAUUUCUCAAUUCAGUCAAUAGCAUUCAUUCUCGGUCUUUCUCUGAAUUUCCAGAGACCUCUUCAUCGAAAUUUCUUCUCUAUUGCCCUCCGGACACUGUUAGCCACCACCAACCACCACCGGUCGUCACCGUUCCCAUUUCCACGGCCAACAGCAGAAGCUCUGUGCGCCCCUGUGCUCGGUCACCAUUGCUGAAGUGCUCAGACUGCGGUCACCACCGUCUCUCACGAUGGUUCCUGUUCAUGAAGCUGCUUCUAUAAUCACCUUAUUGAGGUCCGAUCAUUAAUCGUCACAGGUAAUCAUCCUUUAUUCAAUCGAAUCGCAUAUGCUAUGUUUUCAGUUGCUCUUCGUACAAACCACUGCCUGGGUAAAAUCCACUAAUUGCUUUGCGAUGAUCUCGUCCACAUAACUGAACUGUAUUGAUAUGCAUAUUUGAGGUUGAGGUGUUUUUCUGUAUUUUCAUAGCUGAAUUGUGUAGUGCAUGCUUGAGCCGAGACAUUCUUCAGUAUAUUUGUCGACUUACUUUCGACGAUUUCUUCAAUGCAUGUACGACCGUCAGUCUCAACACGUUGUGCUGAUGGAACCAAGCUUAUACUCGACUGGUAAUGUUUAGCACUACACUUGCUAUCAGCAAAGGUGGCCAUUCGGUUCCAUGUCGGAGCAAACCGAAGCUUUUCGGCUGCUUAGAAAGAUAUUCCUUGCAAUUAAGAUGCAAAAAAACCAGACUUAGUAAUUUUGCUAAUGAAUUGGCUGAGUCACGACUAACCAAGCCCACAAUAGAGAACAAAAUCUUCUUAAGUACGCGAGUUUCUCUCUUCGUUCUGCUGGAACACACGAAUUGAAUGUUCUCAAAGGAGUCCUAAUUUUUUUGUAAAGAAAUCCUCAGGAAGCAAUGACAUACCUACAGGAUGUAGACGCAUACUAUCUAAGUUUAAUAUAAAGAGUUAGAAACUAUCAAAAUAUAUCAGGAAUAGGACGUGCUUACAAUCCGCAAAAGUAAAAGGAAUUAGAAGAAAUUGUUACGUGUAAUGAUCCGUUAGAAUUACUUUAAUGUUACUAGCUAAACUUCAUCAAUGAAGAUCACGUCAUUUAAUUAUAAACUGAAAUGUGUGGAAAUGGUGUAAUUUAGCUUAUCAAAUAGAGUUGUGUUUGGCACCGCUCUUUCUCUACAAGGUUUCCUUUCUUUUCCCUUGAAGCCACCUCCUAUCUGCAGUGUGUCCCUGAGGGGGAGAGGUCCCUUCCUCCCUUCCUCCCUCCUUCCUUUCUUCCCUUUUUCGAAGUUUUCCAUAUUUCUUUUUCUCCCGAUUUGUUCUAGGAGUUUGUGUAUAAUUAUAUUUUUGCAGCUGAUUUUGGAUGAGUGUGGAGACUAGCUUGGCCAUCCAUCUAGUCGACAACCACUGAGGAUGGUGUUCAUAAUAUGGCUCCACAACCUCUUCAAGGUUAUGCUGUUUUCUUCUCUCGAUUUGGACUUAGGUGAAGCUUGGGUUUUACUCUCUCAAACUCGAUCAAAAUAUAGAUAUGUGAGCUCCUUAUAAGUACUUGAUCCGUGUUCUUUCAACAUUUUGAUGCUGGUGUCUUUGCAAGAUAAUUUUGCAAGAUAAUGGUGAUGAAGACAUUGGACCUAGAUGUGCACCCCAAGCCUUUGCAAAUAAAGUGGGAGAUUUUGGCGUGUACUCAUGAUUGAAUCUAGUGACCAUCCAUCAAUCGUUUAUGGUGUCAAAGUUGUUCUUAAGGGAUGAAAGUGUGCUUCUAGCUAUAAACUAUACUUUCUUAUUUGCUUUCUAACUUUUGAUUUGUUUUGCAAUUAUUUGGGAUUUAUUAAGCUUGAAAGCCUUCUAUGUACCUCUCGAGUAUUAUUUUGAUAUAUGAAUAGUAUCUUUCUUUUCACAAAAAAUAAAUAAAUAAAUAGAGUUGCGCUCGUCAUUUACUUAAGGUACAAGUAGUUACAACUGAACUUUUGGACAGGAGACACGACAACCAGAAAGAUUACAUAUAAAAUGUUGCAAACAACCGACAACUAAAAAGUUUUACGUAUCAGAACUUUUGAAUUGGAAACAACUUACGAAAAAUAUGAUAAGAACAAAGAUAUGCACUAAAGAUGCUCUAAUACUCUCCUCAAUAUGAUCAGGAUACCACCUCGAAGAGAUUGUUCUUCAAAAGACGAAACAUAAUCAGUUGCAAAGAUGUCAAUUGAAAAAUCAAUAGUUGGAAUUGCCAGAUAAAAUGGAUAUUAAUGUCAAUAUACUUCGUGUGAGCAUGGAAAAGCCGGAUUAGCAGCUCGAUAAGUGGCUCCAACAUUAUCACAAAUGACUUCAACAGGUUUAGGCAAAAAUAUAUGAAGAUCAACUGAAAUCUGCCGAAUCCAAUCAAGUUUCUGCAACUCCAUCGGCGAAACUCCUGUAGCCAGAUUUCGCAAGUGGGUUGCUCUUUUAGCAUGCCAGAAUAAUGUCGGACCCAAGAAAAGUCACACAUCCAGAUGUUGAGACGAGUAUCAAGACAACCAGCCCAAUCAGCAUGAGGGAAACGUCACUAAGGUGCUGUCAAGUACGGCUUCAAAAAACAGACUACCAACUCAAGUUCUACUACUCACAUAUCGCCGUAUCCUGGCUGUGAAUUGCGGUUUUUGCUUUUCUCGACUUGAUUUAGUUGACCACUUAUUUUUUGGUUGCCCUAUUCCUAUUGCCUUAAUCAUUUUUUGGGCUGCUAGAUUUAAUUUCACUUGGCGGAAUAAAUCUUGGGUGGAUAAUCUACUCUGGGCGAUCAAGUACUAAUCCGGUGCUUCUUUUCGCUCCUCUCUUGCUCGGUUCGGGUUUGCUGCUCUUUGCAAUAUCAUAUGGAUGGAGCAGAAUAACAUACUUUUCCGGGGUAGACCUCCUUCCCUCUCCGCCAUGAAAGGACAUCUUGAAAGAGUUAUAAAGGAAAAAGCUUUAUCCUUCCAUCAUGUUCCUCCCACUGCUGCAAAUAGAAGACUGCUACAAAGCUGGGCACUCAAUCAUUCCAUUUUAGCGGACUAAUCUUUUUGUUUGGUCAUCCGGCUUUUGAGUAGGAGGUUUCUCCUUCAACCUUUAUUGUUCGGAGGUUUUUUCGAAUUCCUAGAUGCUGCUAUGGAAGCUUGGAGUGGAGGUCUUUUGCUCCUCACUAUGGCAACCGUCGCUUUCUUAUCUACCUGUCCUAGAGCGGGCUUUUGGGUUUCUCUUUUGUUUUGCUGUACCCUCUCUGGUCUCUAUUUUGGGGUAAGCUAGCUGGUUCUCUUUGGCUGCUGUUUAGUCCUUUCCUAUAGCCGCUUGGCUUAUUUCCGUUUACCUUGGCCCUUUUCCACUCGCUCUGACUUCUAUCUUUGUGAGUGCAAGUUUUUGGGUCCGAGAUCUCGCUGUAUAGCUCUAUAUAGCUUUCUGGUUUAAAAUCAAUAUAAUUCUUACCUUUACUAAAAAAAAAAAAAAAACGGCUUCAAAAAGAGUCCAUAAUCGGUAGUUCCAUAUAAAAAUCUAAUAAUGCACUUUACCGCUUGUAACUGAGGUAUACGAGGGCAAUGCAUAAACUGAUUCACAAUACUAACAGCAUACGAAAUGUGUGGUCUAGUGAUAGUUAAUUACUAUAAAGCCCCCCAUCGUGCUUCUAUGUUCGAUAGGAUCCAUCCAUAAAUCUUCUUCCACCGCUGUCCCAUUGGACUUUCUAUUUUUGGUAGUGGAUUAUCAGUGAUUUAUUUUCCCCUAAGUUUUAAUUUGAAUAUUUCUUUAUUAAUGUUAUGGUUUUCUUCCUUUAUAGAGAUCUUGAAUAGUCAACCCGCGCCUCUAUUAUUCUUUGUUGUUGUCAAAAUUUCUUGCAAAUCGUACAAUUUUUCUGAAUUUUGAGGCAAUCUCUUAAUCUGUGUAAGUACUUCUUUCUUUCUGAACUUCCGCUUGCUAUUUUUAUCCUACCGUUAUUACAUUUAUAAUCGGAGUACCUAAUCCACAUGUGAAAUUAUCUUUAUGAUUACAUUCUUGAAUUUCUUCAUCUUCCACUAAUUCAUAGGCGUAUUCUUCCUCUGUUUCUUAUGACAAUGACACAGUUUCUAGAAUUUCCAAUUGAUAUAUGUUCUUUUGAAUUUGCAAUUUGACUCAUAACAGACUACUUCUUUGUUUCUUUUAUUUAUGAAUUUCUUUCCAUACUUUUCUCUAUUGUUCUUAUAUGAUAUGAGCCAUUGAGAUGAAUGACAUGAGCAAGCCACCGUUCGGUGAAAAGUACAAGUUACUGUAAAGCAAAUUGAGCAUCCACCAGGCACUUAUAAAUGCAAAUGGUACUAUAAGCACUUUUUUUUUUCAGUACAUGACAUACAUGCAAGAUCAAAGAGAAGUUAUAUCACUUCAACAAAACUUUAUAUGUAUCUGAAAUAGUUAUUCAAUUAAUAAUAUCAAAGCAAACAUCAACGAGUUAGUUUAUUAAUCAAUCUAAUGCUUAAUAUCGAACUAUGGUCACGUUUAACACUCCGUGACGAGACCUAGCAAGAUUCCCUUUUGACGUAGGUCUCCACUUUAUAUAAGCUAGCGUCUCGACCAAAACAGGACAUAUUGAGAACUGUAUACAUACUCAUAACCAUUGAAUGGGUUCAAAUUAUAGCUGCAAGAGCAUAAACUCCUCCAACCAAUCACGUAAGUAUUUCGCCAUUCAUAAACUAGUUCACUAAUCAAUAUAUGUAUCGUUGCACAAUUCUUUCCAUAAGGAAGAAUGCAUUUCACAUGGCCCUUCUCAAACCAUAUCACAAAUAAUUAAUUUUCAAACUAUUUCAAGAGAUACUUUGCUAUGCCAUUUCAGUAACAAAAGCAUAUUCAAUGUUAGAUCAUGUUUUAUGCAAAAAAAUAUACUCUAAACACCACUGUUUUUUUUUUCCUUUUUAAAUGAAUAGCAUACCAUGUGUUACCUUUUUCAUUGCUUAUGGCAUAAGUAUUUUUUGUCAUUAUCAGGACAUGAGUUCACAAAUCACACAAUAAAUAAGCACCGCUCACCUGAAUAUGCGAAACCAAACAAUGAAAGCUACCUUACAAACAGAAAAAUCAAGUGAGAAAUGUAGAUUGAAAUUAAGUAUUAACUACCUCAACUAAAAGUACAACUAAGCUUAUUUGGCAACAAAACAACUCCAAUGUGCUAACAAAAAGCUCACUUAAAGUAGAACUCACGAGCGAUUUUCAAAAAAAAUGAGCUCUAAAGAAUUUUGUCACAAGUGGGUCCAAAGUCAUUAGAAAUUUAACCCGACCUUCGACCCAAAAGAGGUCCAGCAAAGGGUGAAAACUGGUGUCAAACACAGUAGUUCAUACAUGGUUCCAACAGUGCACAAUGAACUUCAAAAUUUCAUCCCGACCAAAUCGUACUCCCAAAUUUACUUCCAUAAAAUCCCAUAUUUCCGUGAGACGGUAAAUUUCAUCGCAAUAUGAUUUUAUAGCUCAACAACUUCUAGAAUCAACUCACCAACCUAAAUCCCAAAUUGAGUUGAAAUUAUAGCUUAUCCAAGAAAUUUUUUUCAAUUAGAUAAUUUAAGUCCUUGAAUUUUAUCGAACGGUUCGCAAUGGCGCUUAAGAUGACCUAAACCCUCUAUCUCUGUCUCAUAACUAUUCUACUUUCUCCUGUUAACCUAGCUCCAACAUUUACAAAUAAGCUGAAGGAAGUUAGUCCGUUGGGCUUCUAAGAUGGAGCUUCAUGGGAUAAAAUGAGAAUUGGCCCAAUUGGGUCUCUUGGGCCUAAACCCAUUUUCUUUUCAUGGUGGCGGCCUGUAAAGUCUUAGACACAGGAUGAGGGGAAAAUAAUGAAUGAACCCUGAGCAUUUGAGCUCGGCUCAAAUCGACCAUCGAAUGGUGUGGGCUCCUUGUGAAAGCUAACUUUUCACAGUUGCACCUGAAUAAUUAUGAACCUAAAAUUCAUUAUUUACAAUGCAAAAUUUCCCUAUAGAUGGAGUCAGGUUAGUAAUUGGGUAAUUAAAUGUGAGAUGAUUAGUCUAGCUAGUAGCGCCAGUGACCGCGUUGGAAUAAGUUGUCCUGGCGGUGGUGUUGAUGACCACAGCGUGGCAAUGGCCGUGGGAUCGGUGGCGCUCUCUCGGUCGCCCCAUUCCUAAUUUUUUUAAGUUUUGCUGUUUUGUCUUCUCCGUUUCUCUUUAUGCCAUUUUUAUUUUAUCGAACUUUAACUUGUAAACAUAAAUGGAAACCUAGACAUAAUUUUAAUAGACACGCGCAAUAGAGAGUAAUGAAUGAAAAACCCCGACAUGAUUAAACAUGAAAAGAGUUGAAUGAAAAUAGUAUUAUUAAUUAUAUAUAAUACGUGAAAAUUCUGCUAGUAUUGGAAAAAGAGUCACGUAGAAAUGGUAGAGGAGGGAUGCGAAAAGUAAAGCAGCAAAGCCAAUUUGCGUCAUGCAAUCUCUUGAUCUUUGUGGAAUUUUAAAGUUUCUUUCCAUUGGUAGUCUUUCUUUAAGUGCUUCACUUUUGCUUCACAUGUUAGGCAUAGAAAUUACCAAACAAGAUAGCACAGGAUAUCCAAUAAAGUCUUUGGGGUAUAUUCCCCGAAUAUUACAAAACAAACUGUUGUGCACAAAAAAUAUUUUAUUUUGUUGGCUAUAACCUCUAAUAGGCAUCUUUGAAAGUCUUGGUCUUUGAUUAAUCUAUGGUCGUUUGGUGUGGCAAGUAUAUUAUAUGUGUGUGAUGUUGUGUAGUGUAAUUUUCUAUACAUUAUAUGGUAUUAAUUGGUGAUUUUGACUUAUUCAGUAUUGCAAAGCAAGUUGCUCAAUGGACUAGUUGGUGGGGGAAAAUUAUUCAAAAUUCCUAAAUUUUAUUGCACUUUUUACCGAUUCAUCAUAAAUCUUUUAAUUAAGUCAAUUUUUUUGGUCAAAAUUGUAUCAAUUAAAUCCUUAACCUUUUCAUAUUUUGUUAAUUAAAUCCAUUUGCCCAAUUUUAAUCAGAAUUCAUUGAUAUUGACACCAGCUGUCCUAUGUAGCAGGACAACUAGCGUUGAUGUGGAUAAUUUUAAUAUUAUUUUAAUAUAUUUUUGGAAAGAUUCCAAAUAAGUGUCUGAAGUAUUUUCAUUUUCUAAAAUAAAAGUUUGAAAUAGACUUUGUUUCAAACAAAGACUUGAAGUGCCAUUGUUUUCACAAAUAAGGGCUUGAAAUGGCUAUAUCUAUUUCAAAUAAGAGCUUGACUGUUUAAUUACCUAGGGCGCGUUUGGUAACAUUUUUGUUCAAAAAUUGUUCUAGGGAACAGAAAUAAAAAAAAAAAAAAAAACUAUUUUUAUUCCGGGGAACAAUUUUUGAACAAAAGAAGGCGUUUGGUAAACUUGUUCCGGGAAUAAAAAAUAAACAGAAACACGUUUGGUAAAUUUGUGUUCUUUUUUUGUUUCUUUUAAUUUUUUAAUAUAUUUAUUUCUUUUUUCUUUUUUUUUUCUUCUUUUGGCCUGUCGUCGACCUCAGCCAUGGCCGGAGACCGGACGACAAGGGCCGGCGGCCUUGCCUAGCCACGGCGAGGCUCGCCGUGNNNNNNNNNNNNNNNNNNNNNNNNNNNNNNNNNNNNNNNNNNNNNNNNNNNNNNNNNNNNNNNNNNNNNNNNNNNNNNNNNNNNNNNNNNNNNNNNNNNNUGGUGCGGGGCGAGGCUAGGUGUGGCUUGGCCUCGCCGGGGCCACCCCCAGGCCGGUGAGCUUUCCGGUGGUUGGGUAAGGCGAGCCUCGCCAGGGGCCGGCGACGCUCCAGGAGGUCGCCAGCCCUAGACGGCGUCACCGGCUCUCAACGACCGGUGGUCGGCCAUGGCCAAGGCCGACGACCGGUCAAAGAAAAAAGAAAAAGAAAAGAAGAAAAAAAAGAAAAGAAAAAGAGUGGAGAGAGAAAAUUGUUCCAGAAACAAGAAACAUUUGGAACAAAGAAGAUAAUAAAAAAUAAUUUUGUUGAUAAACAAAUGUUUUUCUUGUUUCUCGUUUCUGUUCCAAAUGUGUUUCUAGGAACAAACAAAUAGAUUUGGAACAAAAACGCAAACAAACGCAUUUCUGUUCUUUUUUUGUUCACUGGAACAAAAAAAAUAGAAAUUUUGUUGAUAAACAGAAAAAAAGAACGUUAACAAACAGGGCCCUAAUGGCAUUUUCAUCAUCUAUAUUUUUUACGUUUUUCCUUUUUCUAGUUUUUCUUUCUUCUCUGUUGGUGGUCAGCUGGGCACUGGCAAUGCCCAAAGAGAGCUAGAUGAGGGCCACCCUCACCAGCCAUAAGUAAGGGAUGGCCUCCCCUUAGGAGAGACCACCUUUGGAACCAUCGGCGAGGCUGAUGAGGCUAUCUUCACCCUAGGGGAGGCAGCCCUCUCGACCAUUGGUGAGGUCAGCCCUCGCUAGUGGCAAACAAGGGAUGGCCUUGCCUAGGCGAGGCGACCCUUGCCUCAAGUGAGGUCGACGAGGGUCGUCGAGCCCUCACUAGCCCUUACCAGUCGUCGGCAAGGGCCACCUAACCCUUGUUGACCCUCGCUAGAGGUCGCAUGAUCCUUGCUCAAAAAUAUAUAAAGAAAAAAGAAGAUAAUAAAAAAUAAUUUAAAAUUAAAUUUUAUUUAGAUGAAGACGCCCUUUAACUAGUCAAAAUACAAAGUCGACCAACGAUUGACAUAGUUAGACCCUUAUUUGAAACAAUCAUGACUAUUUCAAGCCCAUAUUUGAAAUAAUUAUGGUCACUUUAGAUCUUUAUUUGACACAAAGUCUAAUUCAUGCUCUUAUUUGAGAAAAUGCUAGCACUUAGGCCAUUGUUUGGAAUUUUCCCUUUUUUAUUCAUUUGUUUUAUUUUCCUUUUUUCUUUUCUUAUAUAUUCCUUCUUUAUUUAUUUUUUUAAAUUUUAUUCUCUUUUACCUUUUUUUCUUUCUUUCUUUUUCCCUUUUCCCCUCCGCCCUUACCUUUUUUUUUUUCUUUUUUUCUUUUUCCCUUUUUCCCUUCGCUAGCCAUCACCUCGUCAAUGGUCAAUGAAAGGAAAAGAAAAAAGAAAAGAAAAGAAGAGAAAUGGAAAAAAAUAAGAAAGAAUUUCGAAAAAAUAUUAAUAUAUUAAUUGCUCAUGUCAAAACCCGUUGUGUCAUGUAGAACAGCCAAUGCCCACAUAAGUGAUUUCUGACCAAAACUAACUAAAUAGACUCAAUUGGCAAAACGUGAAGAUCUGUAGAACUAAAUUGACAUAAUAUUAACGUUUACAACUGAAUUGACAAAAAUACAAUAAGAUUAGAACUUUUGGACCAUUUUUCCUUAAUGAUUGUGCCAAACCUUUUUUGUUGUUUUGCCUUAAGUAAUUAUUUCUAUUUUCCUUAUCCAACACAGAACGUUAGCCACCCAUGAUGACUUGUAGAUGUAUAACAAAAACUAAGCUGCCAUUGCUUGGUGUAUCAUUUGUUUAUCUGAAGAUUCAGUCAGUGCAAGCAGCACAAAGAUGCUCAUUUGCCAGUCCCAAUUAUGAUGGUUAGCUUCAUUCAUCUUAAAAUAUUUGCUAAUCUUUUGGCAAGAACUUUACGUGUUCGUCCAGAUUAAAGGACUAAUCGAGCACCUUCUUAUUUAUCCAUAAUAUACUCAAGGUAAUUGUUUUCUUAAACAUUUGGGAAUUUCUAGGGCUGUAACGGCCACGAAAAAGCCCACGUUGAUUGCAUAUUCAACGAUAUGUAGAAAUCAUUAGGAUACUAGAAAUUUACAGAUGCAUUCAAAGCCAAAAAGCAAACAAAACACAGGUAAGGAAAGAAAAGAUGCGUGGACUAGGUCAUAUUAAAAAAAAAAAAAAAUCUUUUGUCCUCUGUUCUGGACGCCCAAAAGAAAAAGGUCCUCUGCAUCAAACGACAGCGAAAAAUCUUGAUAUGAAGAAAAAGGCGAACAAUUCACGAAAUAAGCACUUGUAGAGAGAAAAUAUUUUACUUUGAUUUGUCUAACCUUUUAUGUACAUCCUUGAGAGUCUUGGUCUCUGUUUAAUCUUUUUGAUUGGUGAAAGUUUUGGUCAUCUUGAACUCUAUAGUUUCUCUCUCCAUAGGCUCAUUAUCACCUAGCUUCACCAUAUCGCGUGUCGUUUUCCACAAUGACCAAUUCAACAUAUAGAGAGAUCGUUCCUGGGUCUUUCAUGGCUCCCUUCUUAUGCUAAUUUAUAGUAUUGUUAACUUUAAACAAGACAUAUAAUAUGUCAAAGUGCUAUUUGUACUGAAANNNNNNNNNNNNNNNNNNNNNNNNNNNNNNNNNNNNNNNNNNNNNNNNNNNNNNNNNNNNNNNNNNNNNNNNNNNNNNNNNNNNNNNNNNNNNNNNNNNNNNNNNNNNNNNNNNNNNNNNNNNNNNNNNNNNNNNNNNNNNNNNNNNNNNNNNNNNNNNNNNNNNNNNNNNNNNNNNNNNNNNNNNNNNNNNNNNNNNNNNNNNNNNNNNNNNNNNNNNNNNNNNNNNNNNNNNNNNNNNNNNNNNNNNNNNNNNNNNNNNNNNNNNNNNNNNNNNNNNNNNNNNNNNNNNNNNNNNNNNNNNNNNNNNNNNNNNNNNNNNNNNNNNNNNNNNNNNNNNNNNNNNNNNNNNNNNNNNNNNNNNNNNNNNNNNNNNNNNNNNNNNNNNNNNNNNNNNNNNNNNNNNNNNNNNNNNNNNNNNNNNNNNNNNNNNNNNNNNNNNNNNNNNNNNNNNNNNNNNNNNNNNNNNNNNNNNNNNNNNNNNNNNNNNNNNNNNNNNNNNNNNNNNNNNNNNNNNNNNNNNNNNNNNNNNNNNNNNNNNNNNNNNNNNNNNNNNNNNNNNNNNNNNNNNNNNNNNNNNNNNNNNNNNNNNNNNNNNNNNNNNNNNNNNNNNNNNNNNNNNNNNNNNNNNNNNNNNNNNNNNNNNNNNNNNNNNNNNNNNNNNNNNNNNNNNNNNNNNNNNNNNNNNNNNNNNNNNNNNNNNNNNNNNNNNNNNNNNNNNNNNNNNNNNNNNNNNNNNNNNNNNNNNNNNNNNNNNNNNNNNNNNNNNNNNNNNNNNNNNNNNNNNNNNNNNNNNNNNNNNNNNNNNNNNNNNNNNNNNNNNNNNNNNNNNNNNNNNNNNNNNNNNNNNNNNNNNNNNNNNNNNNNNNNNNNNNNNNNNNNNNNNNNNNNNNNNNNNNNNNNNNNNNNNNNNNNNNNNNNNNNNNNNNNNNNNNNNNNNNNNNNNNNNNNNNNNNNNNNNNNNNNNNNNNNNNNNNNNNNNNNNNNNNNNNNNNNAGUCUAGGUUUUCCUGAUGAAAAGUAUUUUAAUAGAGCAUAUUAUCACGACAAGCUGUUUGAGUUAGACCGAAGAGAGGACCUUGAUGCACAUUAUGUCCUUGAGUUUAGAUAAAUCAAUCGUUGUCCUUUUUCUCUAUAUCAAGACUUUUGGCUGUCGUUUGUAAGAGAUGGCCCUUUCUUUUGGCAUCAAAAACAGAGGAUAAAAGGUGAUUUUUCUUCAUAUGACAAACUGAGGGUGCAUGCAUAUCUACAUCUAGAAUUUAUAACUUCUAAGUGUGCUGUUAUUAUUAUUAUUAUUAUUAUUAUUAUUAUUAUUAUUAUUAUUAUUAUUAUUAUUAUUAUUAUUAUUAUUAUUAUUAUUAUUAUUAUUAUUAUUAUUAUUAUUAUUAUUAUUAUUAUUAUUAUUAUUAUUAUUAUUAUUAUUAUUAUUAUUAUUAUUAUUAUUAUUAUUAUUAUUAUUAUUAUUAUUAUUGGCUUUUACAUGUCAGCUAUAAGAGCUAAAAAAAUUUGCAGAAAGAUCGGCGGCAAUGAUCCGUUGCAGGGUGCUAAAGAAAAUUGAUAAUCAUGAAUUGCUUGUUAAGAGAAUUGUGAUCCUUUGAACAGACAAAGUUAGUCCAAAGCAACUUGCUUAAUGGAUUAGUUAAGAUGCCAUUGUUGUGUGGAUCCUUAAUAUUUUUUUUCAUCUUUCAAAAAUAUUUGUUUUAGUCCGUGCAAGUUGCACAAAGAUGCUUAUUGUAGUCUACGCCAGUUGCACAAAAUGCUUAUUUGCUGGUCCUUUAAACAAUGGUCUGCUUUAUUCAAUGCUAAAUAAAAAAAGGGUCAAGUAUUGCCAACUAACAAGGUAUAAUCUACUAGAGAUUAUACUCUACGCAUCACACUAAUGACCAGGAAAAUCAUGUGAAGGAUCACGAUUGUCUUAUCAAGCGGUUCCCUAACGUCAACUACUGGCUUAUCACCCUUCAGCCGAUCACUGCUGCUCAUCUUGCUGCAAAUUUUCAGCGCGUAACUGCCACGUAAAGACCUAUAUCGAUCGUCUAUCCACCAAUAGCGCAUAAAACAAAGACAUUAAAACAUACGGUCAUUGAGAAUGUAUGGAUGAAAAAAAGAAGAAGAAAAAAAGAGAAGCCAAUGAGACACUUGUAAUAAAUGUUUAACGAUAAUCCGCAUGCACUCUAAGUUGGUCAUGUGAAGAAAAAUCACAUUUUCUCCUCUGUUUUGGAUCAAGACUUUUGGCUUGUUUUUGAAAUAGGGGAUCUUUUCUUGUGGCCAUGCAAAACAGAAAAUAAGAGGUGAUUGUUUUCCAUAUGACCAACUUAUAGUGCACGUGUAUUUUUCUCCAAAAAGCUGUUGAUUACUAUUGGCUUUCUGGCUCUUUUAGCAGUCAUAUAUAGUCAGUAUCCUUGUUCCAAUAUCUUUAUUUCAUGCUUUAUUGGUGAAUAUGCGAUCGCGGCAAGCUUUCACAUGAUAGUUACAGUAUAAAGAAUUCACCUACAUUUGAGAAAAUAAUACACUCAAAUAAUUUGAGUAUGUUAUGGAAAUAUAAGAAGUUCCUCGGUUCCUCAAAUGGGCGCGAACAUACAAAGCUACCUUUUUCUUAUUCAACGGACAAAGGUAACAAAUGUUAACCUGGAGUAUGUGAACCCAAAUUCACUGUUGAAUGAUGUGAGCUCAACGUGGAAGCCAAUUUUUCACGAUGCCCGUGAGAAACUGAUAACCCUAGAAUUAAUCCUUUACAUAUGAAAUCGCCUCUAGAUCAAUUUAGGUCAGUUAUUAGGUAAUCAGAGGCAAUUGCCUGUGAUGGUUGCUCCGCUUAGAAGCGCCGGCAGGGACAGUAGUGGCGGCAUUGGAUGAGUUGCCCAGGCGGUGGUGCUAACACAACGGUGCGGCCGUGACAAUGGGAUUGAUGGCACGCUCUCUCGCCCCAUUCUUGCAUUUUUUUUUUGUUUUUGGGUUUUUGGGUUUUUCUUUUUCUUUCUUUUAUUGAACUUUAGCUUGGAAAGAUAAACGAAAAUGUAGACAUAACUAUAAAGACAGGUACAAUAGAGAUUAAGGAAUGGAAAACCAGAGUGACUAAAAAUGAAAAAAGUUCGACAAUAAUUGUAUUAUGGUAAAUUUUAAGCAAGAGAAUAACAAUCAAUACUAAUUGUCAAAUAAUAUUUCAUUCAAACAAAAAAAUCACUUAGAAUCCAUGUAAUGAUUGGAAAUUCUACUGGUAAUGGAAAAAAAAAAAAAAAAAGACAUUCACAUAGGAUGGAAGAAGCGAGAUGUCGAAAGCCAAGCAACAAAUCCAAUUUGCAUCCCCUGCAAAGUCUUGGACUUCCUGGGUUUCAUUAAAGUUUCCUCCCCACAUAGGGAUUGAACACGAUUUUCCAGUUCAUUAAUGUAAUGCUUAAAGAGUUAUUUUCAGUAGAUUAUAAGUAUUCGUCGGUGGCUUUCUUAACUUGUUUACUCUUUUCAGACCAAAAUAAACCAAGUUGCUUUAUGGAUUAGUUAGUGUGGCUGACUUGUAGAUGUUUAGGUGCAAAGAACGUUCUUUUGUUUUCCUUGUUGAUCAGACAAAAUUAGCUGUCUUUGAUGACUUGUAGAUGUGUAACAAAAAGUCUUGGUCUUCACUUAAGAUAUCUUGGGAUAAUCUCUAAACAUGAGGAGACAAGCACCCAUGGAUGAAAAGAAAUUUAUUUUUUAUUCCUCUAACUAUUGGCGUGCACCCUUCAAAGUCCUGGUCUUUGUUUAAUGUUUUUGGUAGGUGAAAGUUUUGGCCUUCCUAGACUUUAUAAUAUUCUCUCUCAACUAGCUUAUUAUCACUUUGCUUCACCAUAAUCCAUGCCCGUUCCCUUGCUCAACAGUGUUCUCCUCCAACACGUCUGAACCUAGCUCUCGUGCUUCCUGGAUUGCUGUUGUUGAUCUAAUCCAGUUCGCCAAUCUGCUCCAGGAAGUCCACUCGGAAUAGGUAAGAGAUAUCCAUCUACUUGCUUUCUUUUUCCCUCAAACUGAUGCAGCAAGUUUAACAACAAAAUCGACGGAUUUUGAUGUCAAAUACUUGCUGGCCAGAUUAAAGUUGUCGCUUGAUUGUUGAUAUGGCUUAGUUGUUUUAAUUAGGUGAUGCCUCUCCACGCAUACUUGUUUGAGCCCAAACUUGGACCUCUAUUUUAUGAAUUUUCAUUACAUAUUAUAAUAGAAUUGCAUUAUAUUAGUAUCAGGACAAUUAUAUUAGAAAACUCAGAAUUUUCAUGGACAAGCAUUAUCACGCACAUCUAGGCCAUUUAGAGUGCAUUAUAUUUAAUUGUCAUAUUUGCAUGUUUCCUCUCAUAAGUCACGAAGAGUAUUAUCGCCUCAUUCCUGCAAUUUUUUUUUUCAGUUAUUUAUUUUUUGCUCUUUUUUCUUAAACUUAAAUUUGAAAAUAUAGAUGAAAAUCUAGACAUAAUUCCAAUAGACAAGUAAGACAGAGAUUAAUGAAUGAAAAAUCACAAUAUGAUUAAAAAUGACAAAAGUUGGAUAAAAUUUUUGCCUUUUGUUAGUUUUGAGCGAGAGAACAAUAAUUAAUGCUAAUCGUCCAAUAAUAUCUCAUACAAAAAAAAAAAAAAAUAGCACCCAUGUAAUGCGUGGAAAUUUUACUAGCAAUGGAAAAAAGACAUUGACAUAGGGAUGGGAGAGGAGGGAUGGGAAAAGUGAAGCAACAAUGCCACUCUACGUCUCCAUAAGUCUUGGUCUUCACGGAUAUCAUUAAAGUUUCUUUCCCAUCAGCUCUCUCUCAAUUUUCCUCCCCUUUCGCGACAAAGAAGUUCAUGAUAUCUAGUAAAGUCUUGUUCUUCCUAAAUUUAUGGUUUGCUUACAUGAACAAGUAUAUGAUUGUGGAAACCACAAAUACCUUGGUAUAGUCUAUCAAUAUUACAAAACAAGCACUUGCAGACAAAAAUUCCCAGCAAGAUGGAUGGCAAUAUCUGCUGAAGGGUAAUGAAUUAGCAGUUGAUGAUCGAGAAUCGCUUGAUGGGAGAAUCGUGAUCCUUCGAACAUGAUUUUCCUAUUCACUUGGGUGAUCGGUAGAGUAUAAUUUUCAAUAGAUUAUACGUUGUUAGUUUUGACUCGUUCACUAUUUGCAGAGUAAAAUAAAGCAACUUACUUGCUUAAUGGAUUGAUUGUUGUGCCUAAUUAUUUUUCUUGUUCAGCUCAAAGCAAGUGUGUUUGUUCUCCUUAUCGAUUAGACAAAGUUAGCUGCCUUUUAUGCCAUUGUUGAGUGGAUCCUCAAUAUUUUAUAUUUCAAAAACAUUUAUUUUGGUCUAUGAAAGUUGCACAAAGAUGCUUAUUUGUCAAUCCUAUUAAUUGUGGUCGACUUCAUUCAUCACUAAACAAACAAAGGGGUUGGAUAUGCCAACUAAUCCAUUAAACAAGUUACUUUAUUUUACUUUGUAAAUAGUGAAUGAGUCAAAAAGCAUCAACUAACAAUGUAUAAUUUGCUAGAAAUUAUACUCUAUGCAUCACACUAACAGGAAAACUUAUGCAAAGGACCAUGAUUCUCCUAUCAAUCCCUGCUCGAUUAUCAACUACUGCCUCAACACUCUUCAAUAGAUCAUUGCUGCCCAUCUUGCUACUAAUUUUCAGCACUUCAACUGCCAUGUAAAAGCGUACAUUGAUGGCAUAUUCACCAAUAAAGCAGAGAGCAAAGACAUUGAAAUCAUCAAGAUACUGAGAAUAUACAGAUGCAAAGAAAAAAAAAAGCCAACAAAACACUCGUAAGUAGGAAAUUUUAAAGAUAAUCUACAUAAACUCUUAAGUGAUUUUCCUCUAAAAAUUUAUUACUUUGUUUUGUCAGCUUUUUUUUUUCCAUCCGUAUAUUCUCAAUAUCUUUAUGAUUUCAAUGUCUUUGCUUUCUAUUUUAUUGAUGAAUAUGCCAUCAAUAUAGGCUUUUACAUGGCUGCUAUUGUGCUAAAAAUUCUCAUAUGGUUAAGAAAAAUAAUAUACUCAAAUAAUUUGACUAUAUUAUGGAAAUAUAAGAUAUUCCUCGAUUCCUCCUUCAAAGUGGAUGAACAAACAAAGUUAGCUUUUAAAAGUUAGCUGUUGUAGAUUUAUAACAAAAAGGCUGGGCUUCCUGAGUUUAUGAUUUUUUUAUAUUAACAAAUAUGUGAUUGUAGAAACUACAAAAAUCUAGGGAUAAUCUCUAAAUAUUACGAGACAAGCAAAAUGGCUUCUUCUUUUAAAAAAAAAAAAUUCCUCUAACCACUAAUAUUAAUCCUUGAAAGUCCUAGUCUUUGUUUAAUGUUUUUGGUAGGUAAGAAUAUGGUCUUCUUGGACUCUAUCAUUUUCCCUCUCCAUUAGCUCCUUGUCACUUUGCUUCACCAUAACCCUUUUUAACUGAUCCACCCAUUUUCUCUCUCCAUUAGCUCAUCAUCACUUUGCUUCACCAUAAUCCUUUUUGUUCUCUAUAGUUGACUCAUUCACCCAUGGCCAUCGGGGAGAUUCUUUUGAGUGCAUUCCUUCAGGUCUUAUUCGAAAAUUUGACUUCCCUCGGAUUGGGCUAUGCACAAAGGGAAGGAGCACCACCCUUCUUUGGAAUCAGCACUGACCUGCUUAAUAAGUGGAGGAAGAUGCUAAACACAAUCUAUGUGGUGCUGGAUGAUGCAGAGGACAAGCAACUGAGUGGUAAAGGUCUAGUGAAACUAUGGCUGGAUGAUGUUAGGGACUUGGCCUAUGAUAUGGAAGAUUUGCUUGAUGAAUUCGAGAUCGAAGCUACUCAAGCCAAGUCGAAGGGAAAAUCUAGCACAAUUAUAGAUCGUGUGAAGUUUUCUUUCUUUAGCCAACAUAAAUCCUCUGAAUCGAAUCCAAACCCAUGCUCUCUAAUGUCUAAAACAGUAGUACAGAAGAUCAAUAAUAGGUUGGAAGAGAUUGUCACCAGGAAGGCUGAUUUAAGCUUGAGAGAGUAUUAUGUGGACAGAUCAGACUACACCAACAAAAGGCUACCAAGCACAUCUCUACCUGAGCCUCGUUUUUAUGGCAGGAAGAAGGAAGAAGCAGAUAUACUUGAACUAUUGAUCGAUGAUGCCAAAAAUGGUGAUACCACCAUGAGCAUUGUCCCCAUAGUUGGGAUGGGUGGUGUUGGAAAGACGGCCUUGGCUCAACGGUUGUAUAAUGAUACAAGAGUGAGUAGCUAUUUUGAGAGGAGAGCAUGGGUUUGUGUAUCAGAUGUUUUUGAUGUUCUUGACAUAACAAAGACUAUUAUGCGGUCGAUUACGGGGUAUUCCUAUGAGGGCGAAGAUCUUAAUGGGCUUCAAGUUAAGUUGAAGGACAAUCUAACUAGGAAGAAGUUUCUUAUAGUUUUGGAUGAUGUAUGGAAUGAGAACUACGGAGAAUGGACUACCCUCUUAAAGCCAUUUGAAGUGGGGGCUAAGGGAAGCAAGGUCAUUGUCACGAAUCGCAAUCGUACUGUUGCUUCCACAACAGGAGCUUUGCCAUAUCUAUUGGAGGAGUUGUCCCUUGAUAAUUGUACAAGCUUGUUAGCCUUUCAUGCUCUUGGAGAAACAAAUUUCGAGAGGCACGUAGAUCUUGAAAUAAUUGGCAAGAAAAUAGCUGAAAAAUGUAAAGGUUCACCUUUGGCCACAAAGGUUUUGGGCGGUCUCCUACGUAAUAAAGGGAAUUCUGAUGAAUGGGAAGCUAUCUUAAAUAACAAAAUGUGGGAUCUUCCAAGUGGAGAAAAUGAUGAGGCUCUUCGAGUUUUGAAACUGAGCUAUGUCCAUCUUCCCUCUUAUUUAAAGAGAUGUUUUGCUUAUUGUGCAAUAUUUCCCAAGGAUUACGAAAUUGAGAGGGAUGAGUUGGUAUUUUUGUGGAUUUAAGAGGGCUUUUUAGAUGGACUAAAAGCAAAGGAGAAUAUCUUGAAAUUGGGACGAACUCAAUUCGAUGAGUUAGUUUCCAGAUCAUUUAUUCAACAAUCAAGUGUAAAUGCAUCCAAGUUUUCAAUGCACGAUCUUUUAAAUGAUCUAGCAAAAUCAAUUGCAGGCGGAACGUCCUUUAGCUAUGGGGAGUUUCAGCUAGUAGGUAAUGAAGAUGAUACAUCUCUUGAGAAAGCUCGUUAUGCAUCAUUUGCUUCUUGGAGUGCUACAUCAAAAUGUAUGAGGGCGUAUCACCGGAUGAAGGUACUAAGAAGUUUAAUGUUUUUGCAUAUUGGAUUUAGUUGGUAUGACAAGUUCCACAUUUCCAACAAGGUGCUGCACGACUUGCUAACAGAAUUGAAAUACUUGAGGGUGUUCUUAUUAUGUCAUUGUUCCAUUGUAGAGGUACCGAAUUGUGUUGGUGAUUUAAAACAUCUUCGAUACCUCAAUUUCUCAUACACAAACAUUGAAAGUUUGCCAGAGUCAAUUGUUGGCUUGUGCAAAUUACGAGCUUUGAUCUUAAGAGAUUGUCAGAAGCUUUCUACAGUGCCUUCAAGUAUCACAAAAUUGGUCAGCUUACAGGUUCUUGACAUUAGAGAUACAAAGAGUCUAAAAGAGAUUCCACUAGGUAUUAGUAAUUUGAAAAAUCUUACUAUAUUGUCCAAGUUUGUGGUUGGACAAGAGAAAGGGUCGCAAUUAAAGGAGUUAAAGAACUUGCCACAUCUUCAAGAAGAAUUAUUCAUAUCAGACUUGCAAAAGGUGGACGAAGUUAGGGAUGCAAUUGAUGCUAAUCUGUUUGAAAAGCGAGGCCUUAGAAACUUAUUCUUGCACUGGGGUGAAACUUUUGGAAAUCUACGGAAUGAUAAGCGUGAAGCACAAGUGCUUCACUCUUUGCGACCUCAUACUAAUCUUGAAAAUCUCACUAUCUCCAACUAUGGUGGUGCAAUAUUCCCAUCAUGGUUAAAUGGUCCAUCUUAUUCUAAGAUAGUGUCUUUGUGCUUGCGAGGCUGUCCUCAUGUUGGAUCGUUGCCCUCACUUGGAGAACUCCCUUCACUUAGAAAAUUAUCUCUUGAGGGUCUACAUGCAAUAAGCAUGAUCGGCUCUGAAUUUUAUGGAAGUAAAAGGCCUUUUUUAUCCUUAACAACUUUAAAGUUCGAAGAGAUGUUGGCAUGGAAGGAUUGGUCUCAUUAUUCCAACAACCAAGAAGAAGUCCCAUUCUCCUAUCUUAAGCAUCUUGUAAUCCGAAGCUGUCCUUCGUUAAUUGGGACAUUGCCUUGUCAACUUGAUCAUCUCAUAAAGCUUGAAAUUCAUUCAUGCCCGCUAUUGAAUAACUCAACAAAUGUGAUUUGUCUUCCAUCUCUCCGUGAGUUAUGCAUUGAGGAUUGUAGCAAGGAAAUCUUAAAGUGCUCGGUCAACCUAACAUCUUUAACCACUCUCAAAAUUGUUAACCUUGCAGAGUUUGUUUGCUUUGAUAAUGGGUCUAUGAGUUGCUUGGUCAAGCUAAAGGAGCUCCAUAUAGCACAAUGUGACAAGCUAGCAUACUUGUGGCAAGAUGGAAAUGAAACGCAAAAUCUUACUUGCCUUCAAAGUGUGGUCAUCGAAAGCUGUCCUCAAUUCACAUCUUUUGUGGCAGGAGAAGAAGAGAUAGAGCUACCUUGCAACCUGAAAAUAAUGCAUUUGAAGGAUUGCACAAGUUUAGAAAGGCUUCCAAGCAAGAUUCAAAAUACACUCAAAAUUCUGCGGAUUAUUAAUUGUCCAAAAAUCAUUAGAAUAACCAAUCAUCUGGAUGACCUCAAUAGCAAUAACCCAACACCUCAAUUGAUAUCUUUGUAUUUUUUUAAAUGCAUGAAUCUAAGAAGCCUAACACAAUGCCUUUAUAGGCUAGGCCAUCUCACCAAUUUGGAUAUAAGAUUCUGUCCAGCAUUGGAGAUAGAGUACUUCCCUCCUCUUCCCAUCUCCAUGUCACGUUCCAACUUUGUGAUGCCCGAAGANNNNNNNNNNNNNNNNNNNNNNNNNNNNNNNNNNNNNNNNNNNNNNNNNNNNNNNNNNNNNNNNNNNNNNNNNNNNNNNNNNNNNNNNNNNNNNNNNNNNCGAUUUGAUGAUUGCAAAUAUUAAAUGCUUGCCUGAAGGAGGUUUGCCUCCUAAUUUGCGGGGCCUUUCAAUUACGAGGUGUGAGAAUCUGAAGCAACCAUUGAGAGAAUGGGGCUUACCCCUGCUCACAUCCCUCACAUUUCUACAUAUUGACGGAAGAAGCAUGGGAGGGGAGGGAGAGGAGGCGUGGUUUCCUUCGGAGGACGAGGAUGCAUGGAGUAUUCUCUUUCCUUCCUCUCUAACCGGUCUUGACUUUAGUCAUAUGAGGAAGGUGGAAAGACUAUCAAGCGGUCUUUGCAACCAUCUCUCCUCUCUCACCAAAUUAUGGAUUAUGGAUUGCCCGAAGUUGAGGCACUUGCCAGACGAUGGCCUCCCUCCCUCCCUCCAACAAUUGUACAUUGAAGAAUGCGAGAUUUUGAAAGAUCAAUGCUCAAAGCUCACUGGCGACUAUUGGCCCCUCAUCCAAGAAAUCCCUCUCAUCAUCAUUGAUGGCAUUCAAAUCCAAUGAAUUGAUUCUUCUAUGUACAGUUAGUUUUCGAGGGUUCAAGUAAGCUUUUGGUUUUGAAGGCAUCAAUUUCCGUUCUGCUUACUCAAUUCGUUGUUGGGAAUGACUGAUCCCCAAAAUACCGGAUUUGACACUAAAUCGAACCCCUAAAUCAAUGCGGAAGACGAAGCCCGGGAAAAAACAACACGCAUCACCGAUCCUAAAGCACACCACGGAUUCGAGCGUACCUUUUAGCCACAGAUUAAACACCGACGUUGAUGGAGGAAGAGAAACUGAGCAAUUCGAUCCGAUGAAGCCUUGAAAGGAGGAAGAACAAGCCGUAUGCGUUACUGUUCUUUCUUUUUCUUUUUGAGAGAGAAUACGCGCGGGAGAGAGAAGACGUGAAUUCUGAUUUCACGUUAAUGACUUUCUCUCUCUCUCUCUUCCCUUUUAUACCUCCCUCUUUCCACGGGCCUUAUUCCCAUGGGCCGGGCUUUCUGGGCCCAACUUUGGCGGAUGGGCCUUAAGCCCAAAUCAAAUAAAGCCUUCAUCUCCCACUCGCACAUGGUGGUCCAAAACCAACAUGGGCGGACAGGCCCAUAGACUCUCUCUUAACAUGGUGGGCCGAACAGGAUUCUCUUCACCUCUCUUCAACAUUCAUACUGGUGAAUAAUCCGUGCGACCAGCAUACUUUGAGAGCUCGUUACUAUACAUCUGUUAGGAAUAUAUAGCAGCUCAUAAUGGGCGUCACACUCCGAGUAGAUUUAGUAUGCAGUACCCUAGAUCGAUCGAUCACAUUUAUAUCUCUCUUAAUCUCUUUUAAACAAUGAUAUAUAUUGUAUUCACAAUUAUAAUUAUCACAAAAACAAUCAUAAUUGGUCGACCGGUGAAUACAAAAACUACAAUGUGAUUCUCCAAAAUCGAUCUUCCUCUUUCCUUCAAACUCUCAAUUUCAGUCCAGCUUGCUUUUUCUAAAAAUGCCCCAUUAGAUCGAAUCAUCUCAUGACCAUUGGCAACACCCUAAGAUAGCAAACACUAAAUAGAAAUCUUGAGAAUAAGUAAGAGUCCUGAGGGGACUAAAAAAUUGAGGAACUCUUUUCCUCAAGAGUCUCACACGUCAUAAAAGUUGAGAUCAAACUUUUUGCCACUCUUAUUGGUCGUCUCAUGCAUACGUAGUAUGAAAUAUGUAUUACGGUAUUAACUCCUUUCCCAUGGAGCGUAUGUCUGCACUUUUCAAUACCGUACAGAUGAUAGUUCAGACAUACCUAAUGUCUAACUUGAGUUCACAUAUCUACUCAAUCACAAAAUUCAUAGAACUCACAUCUGGAUCGUAGACAGAUAAAGCAAAAUAUGUGGGGUAUUUUACUUUCGGACAUCGUAAGUAUUAUGUCCUCAUCUUAACACUUAGUUAAUGCGACAUACGUAUUUUAAGCUUGAGCUCUCGAUUAUCACCUAGAUAAUAAGCUUAAAAUCAGUCUCAUCUCUAUUUAUCACACAGUAAACAGAGGCGAUUACCCGUGUGAGUGGGCUAAUCUUUUAUCUGUCCGACAUACUUCUCAACUUAAAAUAAUACACUAAGUAUUAAGAUGCAUAAAGAUCAUACAAAGAUUCAUAGGCAUUAUGAUGAAAACACAAAUUCAUCAAAUUGUGAACACUCAGGGAAAUUAAAAAAAUUCAGUACAUCAGCCUCUACGCAAUCCUAGAGAUUUCAUAUAGCCACAAAACACAUCUCUAGGUAUUGGCUUUGUCAUAGGAUCUGCUACCAUUCUAUGCGUAGUAUGUACUAUAAGUUCACAUCUUUUCGUGCAAUCAUAUCCAUGACAAAAUUAUACUUGGUAUCUAGAUGUUUGGUCUUGCCAUGAUAUUUUGGAUCUUUGGUGUACGCUUUUGCUGCUUUGCUAUCAUAAUUAACCAACAAUUAAUCUGCAGCACUUCUAAUAACACCUAAAUGAUCCAAUAAUCUCUUAAGCCAAACAUCUUCUUUUAUUACUGCUGAUAAUGCCACGAACUCAGUUUUCAUCGUGGACAAGGCUAUACACUUUUGUUUCUUACUACUCCAACAUAUGGUGCCAUUAUUCGGUAAGAAAACAAACUCAGAGGUAGAUUUUCUUUCAUCUAAAUCUCCUCCCCAAUCUGUAUCACAAUAGCCUUUGAGUUGCAGAUCCUUUCCUUAAUAACUCAACGUAUAAUCAGCAGUCCCCUUUAGAUACCUUAGUAUUCUCUUAACAGCUUUCCAAUGUGCUUGACCUGGAUUGGAUUGGUAUCUGCUCACCAUUCCAACUGCAUAACAUAUGUCAGGUCUUGUACACAUCAUAGCGUACAUCAAGCUCCCAACAGCACUAGCAUGAGGAACAUAUUUCGUUUGUUCCUUCUCUUGUGGAGUCCUUGGACACAGUCUAUGGCUCAAUCCUUCACCUUUUGCAAUAGGAGUGUCUUUGGGUUUACUAUCCCAUAUCCUUCAAUUCAAAGUUGGAAGACAACCGACUUUUGACAAUAUUGACAGGCUCCAUAUUGCUUCCGGCAAUUGGUAUAUCAUCAACAUAUAAUGAUAUGAUCACAAAUUGAUCAUUGGAUCUUUUGAUAUAUACACAAUGAUCCUCACUAUCAUUGUAAAAUCAUAUGCCAUUAUGGUAUUAUGAAAUCGUAUAUACCAUUGUCUUGACGACUGCUUAAGGCCAUAUAUCGACCUCGAAAGUCGACAUACCUUUUCUUCUUGGCCUUUCACUAUGAAACCAGCAGAUUGUUCCAUAUAUGUUUCUUCCUCUAAUUCUCUAUUGAGGAAAGCAGUCCUCACAUCCAUUUGAUGUAACUCAAGAUCCAUACCAAACACUAUUGCCAGAAUUAUGCGAAUCAAGGUAAAUCACACUACAGGAGAGAAUGUAUCUUUAUCAUCAAUAUCUUCCUGUUGAUUAUACCCCUUCGCCACAAGGUAAGCCUUAUGCCUUUCUAUCGAGCCAUCAGCCUUUCGCUUUAUUUUGAGAACCCACUUGUUCCCAAUAGCUCUGCGUCCCUUUUGAAAGACCAACCAGUUCCCAGACUUGGUUUGAUUUCAUUGACUCUAUUUCCUCUUUCAUUGCAUAAAUCCAUUUUUCCUUACUAGGGUAUUUCAGAGCCUCAUUAAUAUUUCUUGGCUCAUCCUUAUCUCGUGGAGCAAUUAUAAAAGUUUCCCCUUCAAUGUCAAAACGUCGACGGGGAAUACUUUGACGACUUGUUCGCUAUAUGGGAGAUUGUACACUUAGCACAUCAUUUCCCAUUAUGCUCCCACUCGGAUUAGAUAAUGACGAUAUCAUCUCAUCUUGUGGUUGUAAUUAAGAAUGAGUUGAAUUCAAUUCAUCACUUCUCAUAUUACUCCCACUUGGACGAACUCCACUAAUAUCAUUAUCUUGAUCCAAGGUUUCAAAUAGGGAGUAAUAUUCCCCUAUUUCGCCCUUCUUAGGAAAUUCAUCCACUAAGAAUGUGAUAUCCCGUGAUUCAAAUUUAGUUAUACUCCCACUUUCCUGCUCACCUACGAACACAUACCCUUUCGAGUGUUCGGAGUAUCUCAUGAAAAUACUCUUCUUUCAUUUGGGACCAUAUUUUCUAAAUUUGUGAGAGGAUUCAUUAUAGGCAGCACAACCCCAUGACUUAAGAAAACUUAAGUCCGGUUUUCUACAUGUCCAUAACUCAUAUGGAGUGGAACUAACUGAUUUGGAAGGCACUCGGUUAAGUAUAUAGGCAGCAGUUAACAACGCAUCACUCCAAAAAAGUGAUAUGUAAGUUAGCAUGCGCCAUCAUGGACCUAACCAUUUCCAGUAGGGUUCUGUUUAUUCUCUCUGCAACACCAUUUUGUUGAGGAGUAUUUGGAAUAGACAACUGUCUUUCUAUUCCUUUUUCAUCACAUAAUUUUCUGAACUUAUCAGAUAAAUAUUCUCGACCUCGAUCAGAUCUCAAUGCUUUUAUUUUCUUGUCUAAUUGAUUUUCAACCAAGUUCAUAAAUCUUUUGAAACAACUUAUGCUUCAGAUUUAUGAGAAAUCAAAUAGACACAUCCGAAUCGAGUAUAAUCAUCUAUUAAAAGUGAUGAAGUAAACAGUCACAUGCCUUCCUCUCACAUUCAUUGAACCACAAACGUCAUAAUGGAUUAAAUGCAGAGGAACGUCAGCUCUUUUACCUUUUCCAAAUGGUUUCCUUGUCGUUUUUCCCUUCUAAGCAAUGCUUACAUAUGGACAAAUCGACUUAUUCAAUAUUGCCCAACAAGCCCUUUUUGGCAAGUCUAUUCAUAUGUUGUUGGCCAAUAUGACCAAGUCUAGCAUGCCACACAUUCACAUCAUUAUCACAUGAAGUAAAAGACGUGAAACAAGGGAAUAACAUAUUGACAUCACCACAGUCAACAUUCAGUACAAUGAAACCAUCCAGAAAGUGACCACAACCAUAGCAGUUUGUAUCUAAACACAAAUCUACACCUAUAUUAUGGAAGUUCAUAUAAAAAAAAACAAGUUUAACCAACACCAAAAAACAGACGUUAAAUUUCGACGAAUCUCUAGAGCAUAUGGAACGUCAUGUAGGAACAAGAUGCGUCCACCACGCAUGUUCAAUUGGCAGGUGCCAAUCCCUUUAACUUCAUUUCUGGAGUUAUAUCCCGCAUAGAUCCACUUAGUUCCAGUCGGUAUCGUCGGAAUUCCACGAAGGAUUCUCUAUCCUUCGCUACAUGGUCUGUCUUUCCUGAAUCUACAGUCCACAAAGGAUUGAAUUCAGCCAAUAAUUCAGAACUUGACACAUAAUCAAAGUUCUCAAAUGUACAAGAGGUGUUUACCUUCUUUGGCUCACAACAGUCGCGAGCAUAGUGACCCUUCUUGUCACAAUUGUAACACCUCACCCUUGACAUUUUCUUCACUUGAGGACGUUUUCCUCACUUGUGUUGGUUAACUCUUGAUCUCUUGCAAUAAGGACUUGAUCCUUUGCUUUUCCACAUAUUGAACGAAUCAAUACGUUUGCGCUUAGAGCUCAAAGCCCUUUCUGAGCUAGAACCAGCAUAGCCAAUGUCUAUUUUCGGCUCAAAUGCCAAUAGGCAGUCCUCUACUAGCUUAAGGUGGCGCACAACAUCCUCUAGAUCUUCCAUAAUAUGGUCAAGAGCUUCUAGUGCUUCUAGCUUUUCCAGCACAUAUUGAAUCUUCGUAUUCAAUAUUCCACAAUCGUUGCCGUUCAUAUUAGCAAUUAUGUUCUUAGUUGCUGAAACCAUCGAUCUGAACACAUCAGACUUAUAUGCACGAAUUAUUAAUGCCUAUCAUUUAUGCAUCCUUAUUUACAUAGACCCAUCAUAUUAAUGAAUAAUUUCAAGUAAGGUUUCAGAAUCAAAAGGUCACUAUGUUUCCAAUCAUCCUCCAAAAUCCUAACUUAAAACUAUCAUCAAUAUAAUUGUCUUAUGCAAAAUCAAUUCUAUGAAGCUACAAAAACUUCUAAAACUACCCACAGCUAAUUACCCACAGCAACCAGCAAUAACAGAAAGCAAUAUAUAAUAGAACAUCCAAUAAAAAACAAUAAUGCUUUCAAUUAACACAAUUAGGUAGUAAUCAUUACAUAAUAUGUCCACAAAUCACACUUAACAUAUAUCAGCCAAUACAACUAACACCAAGUCAACACACGAACUGGGAAAGAUCCUCUUUUGUUCAAUUUCUUGAUCUUUUCCCUUGAAACAAUACAAUAAUAUUCAUUUACAAAAUCCAUCACAAUUUUCUUAUAGGAAGCAGCUCCGUUGACAUCCCAUAUGCGAUUCAACACAUCUUGCCAUUCAGGUGGAAGAGUCUUUAUGAAAAAUCGCACCAUCUCUGACUGUGACAUAGGACGACCAUUCCAUACGACCUGUUGAAUUUUCCCGUUGACUUCAAGGACAUGAUCAAUUAAGUCACCUCUCUCCCAUCGAUGAUCAGUCAGCUCAGCUAUCAUCUUAGACAGCCUAUCCUUUUGUUCAUCGGUAAUUGCGCGAAUAGGUGUGCGCAACCUCAAGGGAGGCAUUGUUCCUGCAACAAAUGCAGAACAAAUAAGGGAUCACAUUAUAAUCCACAUAGACUUAAUUGAAAAAGAAACAUAUUCUUUUUUUUUCGGGUCAACGGUCAAAGUCAACGGUCAACGGUCGUCGGUCAACGGUGGUCACCGGUCAACGGAGUUCAACGGUCAACGGAGGUCACCGGUCGUCGGUUGUCGCACCGGUCGGGUCGGACAGACCGGUCCGACCGGUCGGGCCGGUGGGCCCAGUUCGCGCGAACCGACGGCACGUGCCGUGCGUGUGCGCGGGAUGACGUCACGCAGACGUCAUCCGGCACGUGCUGCACGCGUGCCGGGUCUCGCGCGGGUCGGGUCGCCGGCCGGUGACCGUCCGACGAAGCUGACGUCAUCGAUGACGUCACCCUAGCGGUUAUUGACCGUUAGGUGACGUCAUGCUGACGUCAGCACGCGUCGGUCCGCGGACCGGCACGUGCCGGCUCGCCGGCCGGCGGUGCGCACGCGCCGGUUCGUCACCGGCGCGUGUGCCGCACGCGCUGGGCGACGCAACGCUUCUGAGCGCGUCGCGCCCACGCGCAGCGGCUUCUGGCCGCGUGCGGCGUCGCCCGGCGGCGCACGACGUACCUCCAGACUCGUCUCGACGUCGCCUUUCUCCCCAUCUUGUUAGAAAACAGUUUCGACAUACGAAAACUCAGUAAAAAGGCAUUAGAACGCUCGGGUGUCGGGAUUUUUGUCCCGAUCUGUACGGCCGAAAGUUUCUUCGCGAAAAGUCAAUCAAAGAACAUGAAAUUGAUCGGGAAAACGUGAACUAGGGCUCUGAUACCAAUGUUGGGAAUGACUGAUCCCCGAAAUACCGGAUUCGACACUAAAUCGAACCCCUAAAUCAAUGCGGAAGACGAAGCCCAGGAAAAAACAACACGCAUCACCGAUCCUAAAGCACACCACGGAUUCGAGCGUACCUUUUAGCCACAGAUUAAACACCGACGUUGAUGGAGGAAGAGAAACUGAGCAAUUCGAUCCGAUGAAGCCUUGAAAGGAGGAAGAACAAGCCGUAUGCGUUACUGUUCUUUCUUUUUCUUUUUGAGAGAGAAUACGCGCGGGAGAGAGAAGACGUGAAUUCUGAUUUCAUGUUAAUGACUUUCUCUCUCUCUCUUCCCUUUUAUACCUCCCUCUUUCCACGGGCCUUAUUCCCGUGGGCCGGGCUUUCUGGGCCCAACUUUGGCGGAUGGGCCUUAAGCCCAAAUCAAAUAAAGCCUUCAGUUGCUUAAUAUGAACUCAUUUUUCCCAUUACUUUUUAGAUUAAUCUAUGUAAACCAGCCAUUGGAGGUCAAAGACUGACAUUUGCGUGGGUGUUCUCAUUGGAAUGGAUCGGCUCUGUUUCGUUGAAUAAUAAAGUGCAGGACAAAAUGCUUACGGUGCUGCCUCUUGCUAUAUAAAUGACAUAUCUUUGACUCUGCUUGAUGCCCAAAAAGUUUGCUUAUUUUGCACUCGAGCAACCCACCAAACAAAUUGUGAAUGAAAGUGCACUAUGCUUUGCAUGAAAAUCACCAAGAAUCAUAACGUUCCACAAUCAUAUUCCCCUGCAUUUUCAGCAUUUGUUGUGUGUUCUCUUCCCAACAUCUUCUUUUGUUCUAGCUCAUUCACUGUGGUUGUUUUGCAGAUACCAUUAUGAUAUGUGUUGGCAAAAUCUCUUGAAAGGAUCACUUGCAAAUGUUGUUGAGGUAGGGCUAAAGCUGUCAAUGUUAUGUGCCAAAUUUUGCAACUCGAAAGAAAGAAAAGAAGUGUUGGAUUUUAUUUGGUGCGCUAAUAUGUUCUAUAUGUUCUUCUAGUGAAAACUAAAAGGAUGAUUAGUUAUGGGAGGCUGUGAUCUGAUUGUAAAGAAAGGAAAUGCAGUUUCUUUUUUUCUUAAUGGUUUUCUUUAGAAUUGAGAACCUUCUUUUUGUCAAUAAUUAUGCUUUGCAGUAUCAGGCAGUCAAUCUGGAAUAAAAUUCUGGGGCAGCCCAUUGCUCGAAGCUUUCAACACAACUCCACUUCACAACAGCAUUGAUAUUCCGUAAAUCUCCUUCUGUUUGGGUCUUCAUCUUGGGUGGGUUAGUAACUAUUACUUGUAGCUUGCUAGAAAUUUUUAGUCAAUAUACUUGUGCUUGUUUGGUUGAGAUUGUAAUGAUAUGCUGCUUGCCUCUGUGUUUGAAUUGUCAGUAGUGACUUUUGAGGCAAAUCUAUUCGGUUCUUCAAAGUAUCAAUUGUUUUCUCUUACUCCACCACAGAGUAUGAAUUCAUCGUAAAUUAUGUCAUUUUAUCUGAAAAUAACUUCGUAUGGCAUUCUUCCUGUGGAGAGUUCCCGAGCAAAAGCUUCGAUUUCACUUGGGUUCCUUUGGGGUAACUAGAAAUCUUGUGCUUCAACCAAUUUAUACCUUGUUUGAUGGAUCUCCUCCCUCUCUGCCACUAUGGCAUAUGCCGAAACAUUUGUUGAAGCAAUUUUAGCAUGACAUUGUAAAGCUCUAAUAGAGGUUAGUCAAUUUGUAAUAUGAAUUGUAGUUCACUUUGUACUUUCUCUGAGGCCUUUUGGAUGUUAUUGCAUGUAUAACAUGGUGCUUUGACCAUAUGAAUAGGUGGUCAGAAAAUUAGAGUUGCAUUUGCCAGGAUAACUUUCAAGAAACCUCACAUACUUUUGCUUGACAAGCCAUCCAAUUAUCUGGUAAGUUUUACUCAUUUUUCUCUGCCUUAUGAUUUUAAUUAGUUUUUCAGUUAGUUAUUAAUGUUCUUGCACUAAUUGAACUUAUUGGAAUGUGGUCUUUACAUUGAAAAUAAGUUAGAACCAAUGAGUGCUCAUAGCUACAGGGAGCCUCUGUCAUCAUAAAUCUAAGUCAUAAUUAACGAAACCAAUCUAAUUGUUCCAACUUGGAAAAUAUUGGGAAUAGAACAGUCAUGCUAGCCUGAUCAGUUUUUUAGUAUUGGAGUAAUCUAUAACACAAAAUAGUUCUGAUAUCUGUCCCUAUAGGUACUAGUGGGCUCUGCAUAUAAUUAAUGUGUUCCUCUUUUUGUUUAUAAAUGUGGUCUUCAAGUUCUGCUUUAAUGAUCAAUGAUUACUACAGUAUAAUCUUUGUAAGUUGUUUGUUUCUUCUCUAAGGAUGAGUGAGUAUGAUUCUGCAUUGUUGCACACCAACAACUGUAGGAUUUGGAUGCGGUUGAGGCACUCAUUCAAGGUCUGGUCUGUUCCAAGGAGGAAUUCUGAUGGUGAGAUUGAUAUUCUUGUCAAAAUACUUCAAUUUGACCAAUGAUGGAUCAUUUUCACAGCUAAUAGCCCCCCUCUUUCACCUUGAUAUGCAGGUUAGUCACAAUGAGCAUCUAAUAACUGGAAGCUUGGAUGAUGUCUGGAUGGUUUCUCAAGGCAAGGUAGCGCCUUUCCAUCGGAAUUUGGAGGACUAUAGGAAGAUAUUUUAGUUUUGGUCGAAUCAGAUGAAUCUGGUUAUCGUUAUCAACUAAGAAUGGUUCACCGGGUUCACAUUACCUUACAAACCGAAAAUGAGGCUUAGCUAUAGAGAGAAAGGGAAAAAAGACAAAAAGAGGAUUGCUGCGGAUAUACAGGAAGGAUUCACAGUUACACGAGCCCAUGUUUGUAAUUUAUACUUGAUUAGGGUUCGUGGAGGGAUGAAUCUAAGUUUUUGACAUUAAGCAUGCAGCAUCAUCUGGCAAUAGCUCAAGAACUGAGUUGGGAUUGCAGUCGUGGUAUGAUUUACAACCCUUUGCGCAUUUUUCCCUCGCAAUGGAUCAUUUGUUGUGCCCCUGGAAGUUUUAUACUCUGUCACCGCAGAAGGCAGCUUUCUAUACACAGUAGAAUGAUUUAAACAUUUGCAAAAGAACCAUGUUAGCACAGUACAUUAUUUUGUAGGAGAGUGAGAGUAGUUUCCAAGAAAUUAGUUGUAUUAAUAUAUUUUUGUUGUUCGGCACUAUUUAGGAAAGUUAAUUACGAAAAUAUAAUCAUGGUCAACAAAAACUUUGUACAAAUACCGUUGGCCUUGCCUAGGCAGAAAAUGCUAUAAUGAAACUCUGUACAAAUACCUGAAUUUGUUAGAUAACGUUCUGGUCAAUAUUCAAAAUAAGAAGUUUUCUUUCUUCCAACUGCUACGAUGCACAUGGAAGAACGGCACCGAAAACAGAGGGUUUUGAAUAUGCUAAUGUAACAACUAAAUUCUGAAUGAGCCGUGCAGGUCAAAACCUAUUUCACAAACUGGUUGCCUGGUCAAAGAUUAAAGUUCAUCUUUCUUUUAUUUAAAUACCCACUCCAUCUCUUGGCAACAUUUUUAGCGGUCCUACAUCUUAUAUUUCCUGGGCAGGAGGGGAAACAGGAGGGAGAUCUAUAGGUGUGGCUACACUCUGGAUUUUACUUUGAGGAUUUGCGUCCGCUAUGAGAUAAUCUUAUUCCAAGAAGAUCGUCACAUAGCACCAGUAAUGACCAAUUCCCUGAAGUAGGCAAGCCCCAUUACAAUUUCCCUCAUUAAGGUGCCAAAGGUCCAGAACCAUUCACAUGCAAAGAGAUACGCGCACUACCAUUGCAAAUGGUUUCAAUCUCGUGAGCUCCCAUGUUGAACUUAUAUCUUGAGUUGGAGCAGAUGAAGGAAAUUUGAUCCGGAAAGGAAGUGUGCUUCUAUGGCUUCAUGAUAUACGACAUUGAGGAAUGUUGUUACAUGAGUUCUAUUAUUGGACACUUCUGUUACAUGAUAAAAGUUAUUGCCAGCUACAUGACCUUUGUGCCAUAACAAUCAUUUUCAUGUCAAGGAGCAAAAACUGUUUUCUACUUCUUCAUCAUCGGAACCUGCUUGAGACAUUGUCUCACGAACUAUUUUCAGCAGUCUUUUGAUCUGAAGCUGCCGCAAGUUGAGCUUGAUGUUGACUUUUGUUGAGGAAAAAUUGAGUUUGCUCUGGUAGUCUGCGACUUUGACUGAGUAGGAUUUGCAGCGAACCAUAAACGCUUCUUCGUUUGCAAAUUACGGGGCAAAUUUUGCCCACCAUUUAAUUUUUCAAUUGUCUUUUAAGCGUAGAGAAUGUCACGGUCUAUUGCACAUUAUCUAACAUGUGAACAAUCAUCUCCAUCUCUUAGAAGUAUCUAACAUGUAAAGAUGAGGAGGUUCUUGAACAUUUCGAGUGAACUAAUUAUCUCCAUUUGAAAACUCUGGAGGUAAAAUAUGAGAACCUGGACCAAAUUAGAGUAAACCAGCCUUGGAACCAAAUAGGACUCGUUUCCAGAAAUUUUUUUAUCAAAGAAGAAGAAACAUAAAUGAUCAAAAAAAUUUCUGACUUGAAAAGUUAUACCAUGUUUGCAUAUAAUCGUAGUAACUAUAUGAUUGAGGCUUACAUGAAUUCAUAAAAAGUUCUGAUUUUAAGAGGAUGAUCUGUAAUAUAAUGAAAAUCUGGAGGGAUGUGACCCAACAUUAUUUUUAUGACCGAGUUUUUAAAAGUUCAUCUAGGAUUUUGUUUGUUCGGAGAAAAAUAUUUUAAUCAAAAAUUAUUAUUUUCAUCUUUCACUAUAUAGAGGGGUAAAAAAUGCUUGUCAAAGGAAAUUACUUCGGUCAAUCAGAAAAUCAAAUCAUAUAUAUAUAUAUAUAUAUAUAUAUAUAUAUAUAUAUAUAUAAACAACCUUUUAAUUUUAAAAGUCGAAGUACAAAAAUAGCAUGGACACAAGAAUCUAAGCCGAACUAUUUUAGGCAAAAAUAAAUAAAUAAUGGAGUUCCUCUGGUUUGCUGUCACAAGAAGUUGCCGCCGGAUAUAGUGGUGAUUCCUUGAUUUACAUGAGGGGGAUCACCACUCAGAUGAUUUUCCUUUUUGUUAUUAUGUAUAAAAUCUUUUGAUUGAUUAGUUGAGGCGAUAUUGAACUCACUAAAUUAAGACCAACUUGACCAUAUAUAAACCCAUGUCAACUUGUUUAAGAUUAGUAGGGGAUAAGAAUGUCGAAUGAAAGAGAAAAUCAACGUCGGUUCAGUUGAUUUGAGAAAAGUAAGAACGUCGUUUCAAGUUGUAUGUCUACAAGACUAGAGUAUGUUUUCUUCGCAAAAGAUAGUAUAAAAGUUCGCUCCGAACUUUGCUCGUUUGAAUCAAUUUUUACAUGACUUUCCAGAUGAUUUUACCAUUUAUGAUUAACUUGUUCAUCCUGAAUUUGUUACACCAUAGAUGAUAAAUCGAUGAAGCUCCACUACUACCUAAUAUCAGUUCACUUGUUUCCUAAAAUGGACUCGUUUGAUUUAGUCGAGUCUAAAUAAUAUUUUCUCAUUCUUUUAAUAAACAAAGUACGUAUCUUUUCAUGAUUUACUAGUUUGUUAUUCAGAAAGGGACAGACUGAAUGUUUCGCUAUUUACCUACUUUCCCCCUUUUUCUGGACUAGUAAUGGAUCAGUUGCUCCAUUUGGUUUUUCUUUUGGUCUUACUUACCCAGCCGGUUGCCUUAUCUUGGUGUAAGAUAAUUGUGGUUCAGAGGUUCAAUCCGAUCAAGCUGCGGCAAAUUCCGAUUGCACACUGUCGAUUCUCAAGGUAUCACAAUGUCUUUUCGUUAAAUUUUUGUUGGUGAUAUUAUUUGUUUGUCGAUUGGCUGCUGUUUUUGUGUCGAUGAAUGAGUUGAAGAAGAACUAGUUCGAGAGAUAAGUCCCCGUUUUAGCUAUUAGCAUCAUUUUUCGGAUAAAGUUGGUUAGGAUCACCGAGUUUAUUUGAUGAGUGGACAUAAAGCUGAUUUAUGCCUGCUUAACAUCGUCUGCUUAGCUGGCCAAGCCCCUUUCGUUGUGCUUUUUGAGUCGUUGAAUCGAAUUUCAAAAGGUUCGCUGGAUUUUUUUUAUUUAUUUCGAUACUCGUUUCUUUUCUGGCUGGAUACUGCUCAACUAAAUCUGUCCUAAGGAGCAAAAUUAGCAUUUGCAGAGUGAAUUGGGAAUUGGUUUUAGCCUAUAUCUCUCUCAUUUUCAUCGAUUUGAAGUUCCCCUCUUUUCGAACUUGCCUGUUCUAUCUAGCUUGACUCUGAUGGGAUUUUGUUAUCUUUAACACCAAAGCUGCUAGUGGUUCAUCAUACGCUAAAUCAUUUGUAAACAUAGGAAGCAUGAUGAAGAUAAUUCAACGAUACAAUACGAUAUCCUUGAAGUUUUUCUAGUUUCUUUAGCUAUACGGCUCUAUGUUUUGUUUGUUUACCGACUAAGACGGUUCUUAAAUUGGUGGUUGACACCUCUCACUGAGAAUCCAAAUCAUAUGCUAAUUAAGGGCAUUUCCAUCAUUUUGUUUGCUUGAUCUAGGCGUGGAUGGUGAGGACAUAACCAAUUUUGACUGUGCUUUCGUCCAGAAGAUUAUCAGCAUGAUGUUCACCUACUUGAGACUAAGGGAUAAGGUGGUCCUUCUUCUAUUGAGUGGCAAAAAUUUAUCUUUCUUGCAUAAUGAGAUGAUAUAAAUGUCACAACAGAUUGCUCUUGCGCCAAUGGUCGAGCCCCUUCGGCUAUGUAUUUCUAAAAGAAAUGACUGGAGAGUGAUUUUCCUUUUUGGAGUCAUCAUGGCUGUUAGAGAAAUUAACUCUAAUUCUGUGAUUUUUUUUUUCUGAUGUUAGGAGUGAUUCUAUUUGUUUUAUGAGAUUGGUUAGAAGCGUAGCUGUAUGUUUUUGUAGUUGUUACUAUAAUUAGCUCGAGAGGUGUUCGUUAGAAUGUCCUAGAAAAACUUGAGUUGAAUAGCUUUUGGGAUAAUCAUCUUUUAUACACACACACUUUUGUACAAAGUGGAGGUGUGAGAUUUUAUCUCUUCAUUUUUUCUAAUUCUUUGCUUAUUUGAGUUCUUCACUACGUUCAUCUUGGGUAUAAUGUUUAUCAUUUCAACUUGCUCAAAAAAAAAAAAAAAAACUUGCUCGAUAUCUUUUUUGUGUAAUUCUAAUAAUUAGUUGUCUUAGUGCUUAUAAAAAAAAAAAAAAAACAAGCUUUCUAAUCAUUGUUUACAGAUUUGGGACCUUAUAGCAUCUCCUUGGAAAUUUGAAUUCAAUGAAAAUGCAUUUAAAAUUUGAUAAUAUAGCAUGAAAAUUCCUUAUAUGACGUGAAUAAAGUAUGUCUCUUUAGGCAAAUUUUUCUUUUCAAACAAUGAAAAGUAACAUCCUGUUCAUUUUCAUAUUUCAGCCCAAACGUCACAAAUGUUGCUAUUUUCCUGGUUGACAUCUGAAUUUUCUCCAAUAAAUUUAACAUACAUUCGUCUAAAAAUUCAAAUAUAUAAAAGAAAAAAAAUAAGUUCAAAUUAAAAAACAAGAGAGAGAAAAUAAAAUGGUAAAAACUCAAGCUCACCAGAGGAGGUUCAUAGAUCUUGUCCAAUUUGCGCAACCCAAUUCGGCCCAAAACUCAUCAAAUACGUAAAGCCCGCUCAUCAGCCACACCAAGAGGCCCAUCAGCCCAAAGCCCACGAAAGGAAUCAAGUUCGGCCAUUUCUUUUGGCUUUUCCUCUCUCUCUCUCUCUCUCUCUCUCUCACCUUCGGAAGCCCCAAAGGUCACGCAGAGGAAGGGGUUAAGGGAAUUGAUCCUUCGCUGGUUUUAAUAUCCUGCAUCUCCGCCGCGUCGCAUUGGCUUCUCCGGUCUUCAUUACUGGAAAAUCUACUAUGUGCUCGUUCAUACCCCUGAACUGUAUUGAUAUGCAUGUUUGAGGACUGUUUCUUCAUUUAAGAUAUCCCAUUGUGUAGUGCGUACUUGAGCUGCGACAUUCUUCAGCAUACUUGUCAAUUUACUUUCUUCAGUUGGUUCAAUGCAAGUAUGUAUAACCGUCAAGUCUCUCAACACGCUGUGCUGACCAACAAUUUAGAGAAGUUGCGCGUGGAUUUGCUGUAACCAGCUUAUACUCAACCGGUAAUGUUAAGCUCAUUGAUGUUUAGAGCGUAUGUGCUAUUUUAGAACUGAACGCGUCAAUGGAUUGCAAAGUAUACAAUGGUCGUAGUUUGUCUGCCGCUGCUUUGUCGAUCAUGCGGCCACAGGAAAUCCACUCUUAUAGAUUCAAGCAGUAUGCAGAAAGCUUGCACUAUACUUUGCUCUCAGCAAAGGCGGCCAUUAAGCUCCACGAAAGUGCUCCCAGAAGACCUGGUAAAACCAAAGUAAUGAUCUUCUUCAGUAACCAAAAAGUGGGACGGAGUCACCGCAACAGCCAUCUAGUUCGUGAAUAAUGUCCCUACAAAUGAAAGUAAAUGCGAUUUUUUACGUGAAAAAAACGCCGUCCAUAAAAACAAGAUAAAAAUAAAGAGAAAAUGUACCGGGUAAUUCCGUAUAGAGGUUUGAUGAGCCGUGAUAACUGGUAACGCAGAAGAACCAGAUAUCAUAUCACGGCUGCCUAGUCCAGCGCAAACGGAUCGCUAGUCCUGUUAAGUAUCAGAGCAAACGGAAGCUGAUCAGCGCAAACAGAUUGUUAGAUCUAAUUUUCCAUUAAGAAAACCUUCGAUCUAGAUGCCAAUCAUCUUUCGAAUAAAAAUGUAUGAAGGGCCCAAGACACCUUGAACAACAUAAAUCAUCGCAACUGCAACUUUGUCCGGGGACAAGUUAACCCCGAAAAACUCUACUGAGCUUGUAUAGUUCUUUUCUUCCGAAGAAGAUUUUUUCUGGAAGUGGCUGUUUCUUCGUCAGUGUUUGUCGUCAACGUAUCCCCGUUCCUACACCUAAAUUACUAAUGGAAAAGGAUAAGGAAACACGGCAUCAGAUCAGCAGUGGCAUUAGGGAAGCAGCAUCAAGUUUUGUGGAUACAUGUUAGAGAAAAGACAUGUUCGUGAGUAAAAUCUAACAGCUGCCAAAACGAACAAAAAAAGAAAAAAAAAAAAAAAAAAGCCACUUCAGAUCGGUGACCUUGACAGAGAAGUCUGCUUCGACAUAGGUUGUAAAGUUGCAUCAAAUAUACAAGUCGACUCUUUUUUCAUGUUCGAAAAGAUUGAGUGACAAGCUUGCGCUCAAUUCCACGCAACCAAGAAGCAGCACAUAUUUGGCCGAUAAAAUUCGAUAUUUCAGCAGGUUUUUUACUUCGCUCGAGCAGUAUUUUCCGUUGCUCGAAGAAUACUCUCGUCUCUAUUUGUGGAACUUCAACUAGAUUAGACAGGUGAUAGAUCAGCUCAAAUUAUAUCAGAGACGUGCAUGAGCAAAGACGAUCGGCCAGGAGCACCAAUAUCCAGCAGAGUGAAUUGAAUUAUAACCAUCACCACUUAAACCAGUUAAACGAGCAACAACUACAUUGCCAAUGUCACGUAAGUGGGUACUUAACAAUCAUCCUAAAUUCAGGCAUAAAUUCCCCAAAAGGAAAACAAAUAUUUCACCAAAGAACAAAAGGCUAUUAUUAUUAUCCACAGUUGGGGUAAAUCGGUGAGAAUAACCAUCGGAGACUGAAAAAUUUUGACGCAAUAAAAAGUUAACGAUUCUGGAAUUCGGAAGCCAAUCACGAUCCUCUUUGAAAUGGCAAGGCGCCGCCGACAUCAGGACGGCAGCGGCAUGCGGUUGCCCAGUGGCUCCGGUGGACUUUUCCGGGGAGCACGUCUCCGGGAACCGAGCGUCGAGGUUCGACGACGUCCUGCGAGAUGGAGGACAAAGGUAGAAUCUUCGGGGAUCGGCAGUUCGAAGAACGAGAUGGUUGUUAGGAAUUUUAUCUUGUCGCCUUUUGGAUGGUUGGAUUGAUUGAACUGCCCUCCUCGCGUGGGAUUAUUCAUGGGCGGACCUUGGUUGUCACUGUAUUGAUUAAAUCACCUUUACCAAUGCAAUUUUCAUAACCGAAAAAUCGUGGCAAUGAAACAUUUCAUAGCUAAAAAAGUACAAAUUCUUUUUUGGCCACCAUUGUAGCCACGGUUUUUUUUUUUUUUAGUGACCCAAGAACCGCUGUACAGCCGACAGCCGACGACGUAAAUUCGGGGCGGUGCCGCAGGGACCCACCUCCCAUGACGUCACAGGUUAGGCGAGCAAUGCGCACGCCGGGACUCGAACCUCCCCCCUUCCGCAAUUAGAGGGGGAAAGGCCCAAGCCAGCACACCCACAAGCGGGUGGGUGUAGCCACGAAAGUUUUCGUUUAUAUUUUCGAAAGAAAUUUGGUUAGGAUCACCUAGUUCAAUUGAUAAAUUGGUCUCAAUUCAGUCCUAAACCUUUUGAUAGUACUAAUUUAAUCAUAAAUCUUUUGAAUUUGUGCUAAUUUUGUCUUAAACUUUUUGAACUAUUGCUAAUUUAAUUCUAAACGUUUUGACUUGAUGUUAAUUCAGUUCUUCUAGUUAAUUUUGAUUGUAUAUUGCUGACAAGGAUGCUGGCCAGCUUACGUGGCAUUGUCGAUGCUGAUAUAGAUAAUCUUUAAUAAUAUUUCAAUAUUUUUCAAUUUUUUUUGUUCCUUUUUACUAUUUUUUCUUCUUCUUCCUUUUCCCAAUGACUGGCCACUGGCCACGGUUGAACAAGCUAGCCUCACCUGGUCAUGGCGAGGCCGAGUCUCGACGAGGGUCGACCUCACUGGAUUUGGCUUAGGCAAGGCCGACCUUCCCUAAGCGUCACCUUCGCCCGUGUUUUCUUCUAGAAGAUUAUCAGCACGAUGUGCACCUAUUUGAGACUAAGGGAUAAGCUGGCCAUUCUUCUAUUGAAUGGAAAAAGUUGAUCUUUCUUGCAUAAUGAGAUGAGAGAACUGUUACCACAGAUUACUCUAGCACCGAUCUGCGAGCUCCUUGGGUUCUGUAUCGCUAAAAGAAUUGAUUGGAGAAUGAUUUUCCCUUUCAAAGUCAUCAUGGUUGUUAGAGAAAUUAAGUCUGAUUCCGUGAUUUUUGAUUUUCUGAUGUUAGGGGUGAUUCAAUUUGUUUUGAGAUUGAUUCUAUGAAGAUGGCAAGAAUCGCAGUUAUAUGGAUUCGUAGUAGUUGCUAUAAUUAGCCUGGUUGGUGUUCGUUAAAAUUUCCUAGGGAAAUUUGAGUUGAUUGUCACACUGGACAAUCAUCUUUUGUGAAUGAUAAAUGUGUCUUCACUUUUGUGCAACGUGCAGGUGUGAGAUUUUAUCUCUUCAUUUUCUAUAGUCCUCUGCUCAAGUUAUUUUGGGCAGUUCCAAUAAUCAGCUUAAGUAAGCUGUCAUUGUGUUUGGUAAGCUUUCCUAGUAUUUGCUUUACAAAUUUGGUACCUUACAGCGUGUUAUGAAAAUUGAAUUCCAUAAAAUUGUAUUUAAAGUUGAUUAUAUAACAUGCAUAUCCCUUAUAUUGCACGAAUAAAGAAUGUCCAAGUUUUCCUUUUUUAACAAUGGAAAAUAAUUUCUAAUACGGUUCCAAGUUUUAGCCAAACAUCAGGAAAUAUUAUCAUUUUCUCAAUUGACACCUGAAUUUUCGCUGAUAAACCCAGCACACAUUUGUGUAGAAAAUAUAAUCGUAGUUAAGAACAAAAAUAAAAUAAAUAAUUACAAAUGAAAAAGAGAGAAUAAAAUGGUAAAAGUCAAGCUCGCCAGAUGAAAGUCAUCAAUCUAGUCGAAUCCGUGCAACCGCUUCGGCCCAAAACUCAUCAAAUAGGUAAAAGCCCGCCAGUCCACACUUCGCACAGGCCCAGAGUCACAAGUCUGAGCUGAAGGAACCAAGCCCACAGAGGAUUUGCGUUUUCUCCCUCUCUCGCCCGAAGCUCCAUCUCCACCAUUCGAGUUUCACAAUGGCCGAUUCUAGUAUUCCGCCAUCUCCACCGCCUCGCAUCGGCUUCUCCGGCCCUCAGACGUAACUCUUCCAGUUCCUCCCACGGGGAAAAGCUUUCUGAGUUGUGCCGAUAGCUCUGCGGUUCCAGCCUCGACUCGUCUUGAAUUUCCUGCAUUCCCUUGAAGCUUCUCAAUCUCACUCGAACUGGAGCCAAUCGUAGCCAAGCGCCUCCCUCGCUCGACAACUUCAUUAUCGUUUGUUUUUGUCACUGCCUCCUCCUUCGGUUUCUAUCGUCUUCGUUCUCCGACGGAGGAGAAUAGCCGUGACUGAAACUCGAUCAGAAUUGGAUUCUUCACUUUGAGCUCUUCAUCAUUCGGUUACUGCAACCAUUUUGAAGGUAAGUCGUCUCUCAUUCUCUGGAUUUCAUUUUUCAAUUCGGUCAAUAGCAUCGAUUCUCGGCCUUUUUCUGAAUUUCCAGAGACCUCUUCAUCGAAACUUCUUCUCUAUUUCCCUCCAGACACUGUCAGCCACUGCCAACCGCAACCGAUCGUCACCGUUCCCAUUUCCACGGCUGCCGUCGGAAGCUCUGUUCGCCCCUGUUCUCCGUCACCGAUGCUGAAGUUCUCGGACCGCAGUCACCACCGUCUCUCGUGACGGUUCCAUUUCAUGAAGCCGCGUCUGCGAUCACCUUACCAAGGUCCGAUCAUUAAUCGCCACAGGUAAUCAUCCCUUAUUCAAUCGAAUCACAUAUGCUCUGUUUCAAGUUGCUCUACGUACAGACUACUGCAUGGGUAAAAUCUACUAAUUGCUUUGUGAUCAUCUCGUUCACAUAACUGAACUUAUUGAUAUGCAUAUUUGAGGUUGAGGUGCUUUUCUGUAUCUUCAUAUCAGAAUUGUGCAGUGCGUGCUUGAGCCGAGAGAUUCAUCAGUAUAUUUAUCGACUUACUUUCGUCGAUUUGUUCAAUGCAUGCCCGACCGUUGCUCUCAACACGUUGUGCUGAUCAACGCUUUAUAGAAGUUGCGCUUGGAUUUGCUGGAACCAGCUUAUACUCGACUGGUCAAGUUGAGCAAAGGUGGUCACUGCAGCAACCAUCUAGUUCGUGAAUAAUUCCCCUAGAAAUGAAAAAAUAGGUGCAAUUCUUAAGAGAAACGGCCGCGGUCCGUGAAAACAAGAUGAGGAAAAGAGAAAAUGUACCUGAUAAACCCGUAUAGAGGUUAAACGAGCCAUGGUAAAGCAGAAAAACCAGAUGUCACAGCUGUAUAGUCAAGCGCAAACAGCUUGUUAUGUUAAUCCUGAUAAUUAUCGGAGACUGAAGCUGUUCGGCUGCUUAGAAAGACACUCCUUUGUAGAUGCCCAAAAACAAUAAAAAUAAAAACCAAGCCCACAACCAGACUUCUUAAGUACGCGCGUUUCUCUCUUCAUACUGCCGGAACAUACGAAUUAAAUGUUCUCGAAGGAGUCCUAACCAAGCCCACAGCCUGACUUACUGAUUGAAUGUUCUCUAUUUUAUUUUGUGGUGUCCCAGUUUUGUGGGUUUUCGAUUGUUGAAUUGACUGAAUUGACAUUCUCUUGUGAGAAUAUUCUCGGAUGGGACUUCGGUUGUGAGGUAAUUAGACUCGGUUUCCUUCGUUAAUCGAAUGGCAGAUUUUUUAUUAGUUUGGCUUUUUAGUUAGGGCUUCUAGGUGAAUUCGAAUUCAAUGCGACCAUGUGAACAUCAUGUUGAUAUAGCUAAUUCGAAAUUAAUAUGAUUUGACUCUUUUUGGAUACUUUUUGGUGAAAAGGGCGAUUCCUCGUAAUAAUUAAAAUAAAAAAAAUUUAUAUUGAAAAUUUCAUGAUAAGAGAAAGUAUUUUUCAUGAAAUUUUGAUUUGUUUAAUAGUUUAAAAAAAAGAAGUGAUUUCCUUCUUGUUAUAAACGAAAUGCGGUUUUUCCCCAAUUUAAAAUUGUUGCUUUUCAAAAAAUAUUUUUUUAUAAAUUAAUUAAUUUUCCGUCAUCUAAACUUUAAAAAGUCAAAAAGGAAUUUCCCGAAAAAUAACUUUCCUUCGAACAAACAACCCUAAGUUUAAGUAAGUUCAGCGACUAUUUAAAAGAAAGGAUCUUGUAACUCUGUAGAAGACUACUAGAGACGUUGGCAGAGGCUUUCAAACACGCCCAGGCGCCCCCCCCCCCCCCACCCCCCUAUUAAUGGGCAAGAUCGGAGUCACUUGAAUCUAAGUUUAAUUCAGCUCAGAGAAGUGCUAAGAUGUUGGCAAGAGGCCCUUGAACAGGCCCUCUCUAUCUCUUUAUGAGCAAAAUUAGCGUCACUUAAAUCUAAGCUUAGUUUGACGAGUAAGAAACUAUCAAAAUAUUCGGAACAAGACAUGCGCUUAAAAUAUCACUAGAACUAGAGGAGAUUAUUACGUGAAAUGAUUCCCUAGGAUUCAAGAAUUGGACGUGCUCUUACAAUAUCACUAGAAUUAAAAGAAAUUAUUACGUGAAAUGAUUCCUUAAAAUUACUCCAUGUCACUAGCUAAUCUUUAUGAACUAAGAUCUUAUCAUUUCAUUGUAAGUUGCAAAAUGUGAAAUUGGUGCAAUUCAGCUUGUCAAAUUAAUAAAUAAAAAAAAAUAGAGAUGUGCUUGUCAUUUUAUAUACAGUAUAGGUAGUUACAAUCAAAUCUUUUGCAAAGUAUACAUGGACACUGAAAAGAUUACAUAUUAGAAAUUGAAAACCACUGACCAAUAAAAUUACAUACAAAAAACUUGUAAUUGAAAAAUAAAUAACAAAACAUAUAUUAAAGAUACUCUGAUAGUAACCCUAAAUUUGAACUAGGUGCCACCACAAUGAGAUUGUCCUUCAAAAGAUUAAACCAAUAUAAUUUAUAAAAGUGUCAGCUAACUAAUUAGCAAUUGGAAUACAUAUUGAAAUAAUUUCACCAGAUGCGAUUUUGUCCUGAAUAUCAAUGUGCUUGGUGUGAGCAUGGAAAGCCAAAUUAGCAGCUAAAUAAGUGGCUAUAAUAUUAUCACAUAUGAUUUACAGCCGGUUUAGGUGAAAAUACAUGAAGAUCAUAUGACUUCUCUAAAAUCCAAUAAGUUUCUACAACUGCAGAGGCGAAAACUCCUGUAUUCAGAUCCCGCAAUGUCAUAUUGUACCCAAUAAAAGCUAAGUAUCCAGAUGCUAAGUGAUGAGUAUCGGGACAACCGACCCAAGAGCAUGAGUUAAUGUUACCAAGGAGCUGUCGAAUGAUGGCUUCAAUAACAGUCCAUGAUCAAUUGUUCCAUUAAAAUAUAUAAAAAUGAGAUUAAUCGCUUGUAAGCGAGAUGUUUGAGGGCAAUGCAUGAACUGAUUCUCGACACGGGCAGCAUAAGAAAUGUCGGUAGGAUCCAUCAGUAACACACCAUCAUGUAAAGAAGGUUGAGACUUAAAACUGUAGAAGAUUCCUAGUGUAAUGUGUUCGAGACAGCAAAAUUCCCGUACCUCUGGACUGGUCCUCAACGCCAAGGAAGAAUGCGAUGGAAAAAAAAACUUUCAUGGUAAAAGCAAAAAGAAGUUUCCGAAUGAAACUAUGUAACUCUGUGGCACUACUACCUGUUAAAAGAUUACCAUCAACGUGACGUAGUAGAAUCAAGAUUCUAGAGCUUGAAUUAUGCACAAAUAUGAGUCAUAUGCCUUGCUGUAAAUAAAAGUGUUCGAAUGCUUAAAGAAGAACUCGCCUUUGACCUAAAAGAGGUCCAUAAACAUGCGAAAAGUAGUGCUCAACACAAUAAUUCGAAUCUGAUUCCAACAAUGCGCAGUAAAUUUCAAAAUUUCAUCCCGACCAUACCAUAAUCCCAAGUUGACUUCCAUAAAAUCCCAUAGUUUCACGACACACCAAAGUUUCAUUACAACAUGAUUUCAUAGCUCAACAACCUCUAGAAUCAGCCUAGUAACCUAAAACCAGAAUAGAAUUGAAAUUGCAGCUUAACCUAUAAAAUUUCCUUCAAUCGGGUGAAUUAAGUCUUUGAAUUCUUCUCAAGCGCUUCACGUACCACAUUAAUCCAAUGCGUUAUGAACUUGAACUGAACCCUUUCUCUCUCUACCGCACAGUUCACUUCUCUUUUCCAGUUUUCUUGAUUCUUCUUUCUCCCUCUUGACUAUUCCUCUUUUCUCUAAUAAGCCAACUACAACAAUUAUAACUAAGCUGAAGGAAGUUAGUCUGUUGGGCUUCAAAGAUGCAGCCUCAUGGGCGCAAUAAAUGAGAAUUGGUCUCUUGAGCCUAAGUCCCUUUCUUUUUUUCUUUUUUUUUGUAAAGGGAAGACUAUCGUUAUGGCUGCAACUCUGGUUAAAGUCUUAGACAUGGAUGGGGGAAAUUUUUUGAAUGAACCCAGAGCCCAACUUGCAUCCACUAUUGAAUGAUGCGAGCUCCACGUUGAACCCAACUUUUCACGGUGCAUGUGAGAAAUUGUGAAUCCCGAAAUUCAUUCCUUCCAUUGUGAAUAUAUCUAUAGAUUAAGUUAGUUAAGUCAUUAAGUAAUUUAAGGUAAUUGGCCGUGAUGGUUAGUCCAACUAGUAGCACCAAUUGCUACGGUGAUGAUGGAAUGAGUCAUCCUACGGAGCUGUUGACGACAUUGGCAUGCCAUCGGCCGUUGGAUGGGUGGCGCUCUCUAUGUCGCCCCAUUCUUGAUUUUUUUUUUUUUUCAUUUUCAGUUUUUUGCUUCUUUUUUUUUUCUUAUUUGCUUUUCGUUUUGCCUUUUUUCUUUUAUCAUACUUGAACUUGUAAACAUACAGUAAAACCUAGAUAAAAUUCUAAUGGAGAAUUACAAUAGAGAUUAAUAUGAUGAAAAACCCCUAUGAUUAAACAUGAAAAUAGUACAACGAAAAUUAUAGUAUUGUUCUUUACCGAAAACAAAAAAACAAAAAAAAAAACAAGAAAAAACAAAAAAAAAAUUAUAGUAUUGUUAAUUUCACAUGUAACACAUGUAAAUUUCACUGGCAAUGGAAAAAAAGACAUUCACAUUGCGAUGAACGAGAGAUGUGAAAACUGGAGGAACAAAGCCAAUUUGCAUCCUGCAAAGUCUUAGUCUUCUUGGAAAUGAUUUUUCUCCCAUUAUCACUUCUUCUUCUUUUCGCAAAGUCUAGAUCUUCGUGGUUGAUUAAAUUUUUUUCUCCCAUUAUCACUAUUUUCACAAAGUCUUGGUCUUUCUAGAAAUGGUUAAAGUUUUUCUCCAAUCAUCACUUUUAUUUUUUUGCAAAGUCUUCAUCUUCGUGCAAUUGAUUAAAGUUUCUCUCUCAUCGUUAGAGCCGUUAAACGGGUGGGUCGGGUCGGGUUUGGGUCGGGUCAUUAAUGGUCCGACCCAAAUUGACCCAUUAACCCAUUUAUGACCCAUUAAUGUUUAAUGUAAAUUUUUCGACACAAACCCGACCCGACCCAUACCCAACCCAUACCCGACCCGACCCAACUCAUAUUAAUAAAAUAUUUUCAUAUUUAACAAAUUUAGAAAAACUUAUUCCCAUGUUUUUUUUAAAGAUUAUAUUAUUAAAAUACUUCCAAGCUUUUAUAUAUAUAUAUAUUAUUUUUUUUUUAAAAUUGUAUUGCUAAAAUAGUUUUAUACAAUAUAAAUUUAAUGGAAAAUUUUUAUAAAUUUUAAAAUAAUUAUUUAAAAAAAAAUCGAAAUUUAAUUAUUUAAAAAAAUUAAAAUUUUUAUUAUUUUUAAAAUAUAAUUUUCUUUUUCUUUUUCUUUUUCUUUUUCUUUUUUCUUUUUUCUUCUCCUUCUUCUUCUUCUUUGGCCGGCCGCCGGCCACGACGACGGCUGGCGACCGGCCACGACGACGGCCGGCGACCGGCCACAGGUGAGCCUCGAGCUCGAGCUCGCCGACGCCGGCGAGCUCGAUCUCGCCCGACGCCGAGAGCUCGAGUCUGGCCAGAUCGGCGAGGCUCGAGCCUCGCCAGAUCUGGCGAGCCUCGAGCUUGCCGACGCCAGCGAGGCCUCCGCCUCGCCAGAUCCGGCGAGCUCGAGCUCGCCCCUCGCCGGAACUGGCGAGGCUCGAGCCUCGCCCGACGCCGGCGAGCUCGAGUCUCGCCAGAUCUGGCGAGCCUCGAGCUCGCGGACGCCGGCGAGGCCACCGCCUCGCCAGAUCCGGCGAGGCUCGAGCCUCGCCCGAUGCGGGAGAGCUCGAGGCUUCGGCAGAUCGGCGAGGCUCGAGCCUCGCCCGACGCCAGCGAGCUCGAGGCUCGCCAGAUCGGCGAGGUUCGAGCCUUGCCGACGCCAGCAGGCUCAGGCUCGCCAGAUCAGCAGGCUCGAGUCUCGCCGGGCGUCGGCGAGGCCUCCGCCUCGCCAGAUCGGCGAGCUCGAGCUCGCCCGACGCCGGCGAGCUCGAGGCUCGCCCUGGCCCGGUCGCCGGGCUGUCGUCGUGCCGGCGACCGGAAGGAGGAAGGAGAAAGAAAAAAAAAGAAAGAAAAAAAAAAAAGAAGAAAGAAAAUAAAGGAAGAAAAAGAAAAGAGAAAAUAAAAAUAAAAAAAAUUAUAAUUUGGAUUUUUAUAAAGUUGAAGAGAGAAGGGAGGAAUUAUAAUGUUUUUGUUAAAGAUGAGUUUUCAACCCAACCCAUUUAAAAACCCACUUAAGACCCACCUAUCUUAAGCCUAUAAUUGUGAAACCCAUUUAAUUAUCUUUUGUUAUAAACAAGUGACCCAUUUUAACACCUCUACUCAUCGUCACUUUUUGUCCGGCAAAGUCUUGGUCUAUUUGGAAUUUAUUUAAAUUUCUCUCCCACCAUCACGAAUUUUUAUUAAAGUGCUUCACUUUUGCUUUACAUGUUUGAGUGAAAAUUAUGUAAUUUUGCUUCAACUUUCCCAAAAAAAGACACAUGAUAUCUAGCAAAAUCUUUGGGCAUAUUCUCUAAAUAUUGUGAAAAAUGCACUUGUGGACAAAAGUAUUUUAUAUCGAUUUCUCUAAUCUCUACGUGCAUUUUUGAAAGUCUUGGUCUCCCUAUAGUUUGUAGUUUUCUCUUUCCAUUAGCUCAUUAUCACUCAACUCUUGUUUUUCUCUUUAGUGACUGAUUCACCCAUGACCAUUGGAGAGCUCUUUUUGAGUUCCUUCUUGGCUUCCUUGUUGUACUAAUUUCUAGUAUUGUUAAUUUUAAGCAAGACAUGUAGCAUGUGGAAAUGCUACUAGUAAUGGAAAAAGAGACAUUGACAUAGGGAUGGAAGAGGAGGGAUGUGAAAAGUGAAGCAACAAGGACAAUUUGUGUCCUGCAAAGUCUUGAUCUUCCUAGCAUUGAUUAAAGUUUCUUUCCCAUUACCGCUUUUUCCCUUUGGCUUCACUUUUUACACAAAAAACUUGAUGAGAUCCAGUAAAGUCUUGGUCUUCCUAAUACGCCAAAAAGCUUGAGUUAGAUGGAAGAGGGUAUGUUUUGAUGCACAUUCUGUCCUCGAGUUAGAUUGUUCCCCUUUUUUUUCUUUUGACCAAAGCUCAUGAUUUUAUCUUCCUUAUCAAACAAACAAACAUAACAGUCUUUGAUGACUUAUGGAUGCAUAACAGAAAAUAAGAUGCCAUUGUUGGCUUUAUCCUCAAUAAUUUAGGUUUCAAUUACAUCAACAAAGUGGAGAUCCUUUGAUGCGAUUUUGGCCCCAUGAUGCAUGAGGAACUGUUGGGGAGGCAUAUGUUGGCACGAGAUGGCUAGCUGCAGAGUCCUUGCGACAAGUACCAUGUCAUGAUGGAGUUUGACAUAAUUUUGAGCCUUCGGAUGUAGAUGUCCAGCUUCAAAUUCAUUAUAUGGUCUUAACUCAAUUCUCAAAUUGUUUGUGUACAGGCUCUUAAUAGUGCAUGAUUGUAAAUUCUCUAGAAUCAUUAUAAUCAACCUAUACACCAACACAUAAUACUAAUUCGCUUCAAGUAAUAUUAGAGGAAAGGCAUAAUACUAAUUUGUAUGCUCACUCAAAAUAAGUUGGUUGAAUCGCUCUCAAAAUUCUAAAAUCAUAGAUAAUCUAGAUUCAUUGUCUAGAAAAUAUUCCAUACCAAAUGGUUUGUUCUCCCCAUUGAAAAAAGAAGACCAAUCUUGCUUUAAGAAAGCAAAAUUCAUGCAAGACAUGCUAGACUCCAACUUGACAUGAUUCGAUGGCUCUCUCUCUCUCUCUCUCUCUCUAAUUGGUUAAACCCCCUGAGUCGUUCCAUAUCCACACACAUUACAUGUUCCGUUCAUGCAUAUUUAGAUUCUCAACUUCUGUUAAUUCUUAGAACCUACAAUAUCUAAAACAUGAUUGAGGAAAGCAUUCGAAAUAGUAUGGACUAAAUUUAUAGUAACCAAUUAGUGCCAAACACAAUAGUUCAAAUAUGGUUCCGACAGUGUGCAAUAAACUUCAAAAUUUCACCCCAACGAAACCGUAAUCCUAAGUUGACUUCCAUAAAAUCUCAUAGUUUCAUGACCCCAAAAUUUCAUUACUACAUGAUUUCAUAGCUCAACAACCUCUAUAAUCAACCUUGCAACUUCAAACCCGAAUGGAAUUGAAAUUACAACUUAAUAUAGAAAAAAUUUCUUCCAUUAGGUUUAUUAAGUCUUUGGAUUCUUAUCAAGCGCUUCUUGUACGACAUUAAUCCAACGCAUUAAGAUGUACCCAGCGAACUUGAACCGAACCCUUUCUCUCUCUAGCGCGCAGUUCACUUCACUUUUCCAGCUUUCUUGAUUCUUCUCUCUCUCUUAACUAUUCCUCUUUUCUCUGAUAUGCCAACUACAACAAUUAUAACUUUCUUUGGAGCAACUUGCUUUUGCUGCGGGUUUGAGGGUUUAACGUCGUUGGGGGCUGGUCCGUUCAGUGGUUGCCGCUUUUGCUGCUGUGUGGAAUGCUGCCGGUUGCUGCUUCCCCUCACUGUCCCUUUUCCAUUCCUUUUUUGCCAUUGUUUGGCUGCCCUCUUUUUGCUGGUUGGCUGUUUCGCUGCCUUUGUUGGGCUGUUGUGGCUCUUUUUCUUGGGACCAUUCCACUUGUCUUGACAUGUAAGUCUUUAUGAGUGUAAGUUCUUUGGUGGCGAGAUCCAUCAGUUGUACAUUUUGUGGUUAAAAGUCAAUAUAAUUCUUACCUUACCAAAAGAAAAAAAAAACAAUUAUAACUAAGCUGAAGGAAGUUAGUCUGUCAGGCUUCAAAGGUGCAGCUCCAUGGGCGUAAUAAAUGAGAAUUAGGUCUCUUGAGCCUAAUUCCUUUAAAAAAAGAAAAAAGAAAAAAAGAAAGACUCUUUUGUUGCGGUAGCAACUAUUGUUAAAGUUUUAGAUACAGGAUGAGGGAAAAUUUUUGAAUGAACCCAAAGCAUGUGAGCCUAGCUCACAUCCACUAUUAAAUGAUGUGAGCUCCACAUUGAACCCAACUUUUCAUGGUGCUCGUGAGAAAUUGUAAAUCCCAGAAUUCAUUAUUUCCAUUGUGAAUAUAUCUAUAAAUUAAGUUAGUUUAGUCAUUAGGUAAUUUAAGGUGACCGGUUGUGAUGGUUAGUCCGGCUAGCAGCGCCAACUGCAACGGUGGUGAUAGGGUUGGAAUGAGUCAUCCUACGGAGGUGUUGACGACAAUAGCAUGCCAAUGGCCAUUGGAUGGGUGGCGCUCUCUAUGUGGCCAUACUCGUGAUUUUUCUUUUCCUUUUCAUUUUUUUCGCUUUUUUUUGUUCGCUUUUUUUUUUUUUUUGGCCUUUUUUCUUUUAUCAAAUUUCCAUGGAUGAAAACCUAGAGAUAAUUCUGAUAGACAAGUACAAUAGAGAUUAAUGAAUGAAAACCCCAAUAUGAUUAAACAUGAAAAUAAUUAACCGAAAAUUAUAGUAUUGUUAAUUUUACAUGUAACACAUGGAAAUUUCACUAGCAAUGGAAAAAGAGACAUUCACAUGGCAAUGAAUGAGAAAAGUGAAAAGUGAAGGAACAAAGCCAAUUUGAGUCCUGUAAAUUCUUGGUCUUCCUGCAAAUGAUUAAAGUUUCUCUCCUAUCAUCACUUUUUCGCAAAGUCUUGGUCUUUGUGGAAUCGAUUAAAGUUUCUCUUCCACCAUCACCUUUUUUCGCAAAGUCUCAGUCUAUCUGGAAUUGAUUAAAGUUUCUCUCCCAUUGUUACUUUUUCUUAAAAAGCUUCACUGUUGCUUCCUAAAUAUAACCGACAUAGACACGUGAUACACGACACGAUUUACCGACAUUUCAUUUUUCAAAAAACAAAAAAUUCCGACAUGUUGAAAUACGUUAUAUAUUAAAUAAAUAUUUUUUAUAUAUACAUAAUAAAUUAUUAUUUUUAUGAUAAAUUUACAAAUAGAUAAAUAAUAAAAAAAAAAAGCCUAAAAUGAGCUUACAAGUCCUCUAUCCCGCCUUGGCUACCGCGCCUUUUUGGCAAUUCAUUUGAACACACGUUCUUAGAACAAGAUAGAAAUUCUUUUACAUUUUCUUUUGAAGAUAAUUCAUAUAAUAAUAUAUUAAUCUAAUGAUUAAUAAAAAUUAAAAAUCUACUCUGACCAUCUCUCUCGUCCUCUUCUUGGGGUUUUCCAGACCAAGAAGCUUGCCCUCAACAAAUAACUGUGGACUUUAACCGUCAAGCGUUGCUUGUCGGGAGCCCCAAGUGAAAGCAAGGGAUGCCGUUCGUGGAACCUCACCAUGGUCGCGAUGGGCGAGGUCAAGAUUCCGACAACGGACUUCCAGAUCUGGAGGUGAGAUCGAGAUACGGUUGUGAUUGUGCUCCAUCUUCCCCGUUGUUGCCAUGGUUGCUGCAAAUCUAACUGUUUAGAUCGGAUCUGCAGUGGCGGAGGCAUUGGGUGGGGACUCACUAUUGGGCGCGGCGGCCAUGUGAGUCCUCCACCUCCCGCUUCUCCGCCUCCCUUAAGAACACCAACCCCCACCUCCCCUAUGGUGGCACAUGGCGGAAACUCUCAUAAUUACUUGAAUGCCCCUACGCGUGUUGGAAUCGCAUGUCGAAAUUUUGGACUCGCGUGUCGGAGUAUAUCAAGAAGAGUUGACCAUUUGUCGAAUUUUCCGACACUUAUUGACCACGUGUCGAAACAUGUCGAACAUGUGUUGGAGUGUCGGACACGACACAAAAGCUUUUGAAAAGUGUCGGUACUUCUUAAGUUACUUCACAUGUAUUGCGUGGAAAUUAUCUACUUUUGCUUCAGCUUUCCGUAAAAAAAAGCACAUGAUAUCCAGCAAAGUCUCGUGAAAUAUUCUCCAGAUAUUACGAAACAAGCACUUGUAGACAAAAAGUCUCUGGAAAUAUUCUCCGGAUAUUGCGAAACAAGCACUUGUAGACAAAAAGUAUCUUGCAUCUAUUUUCUCUAACCUCUGAUGCGCAUCUUUGAAAGUCUUGGUCUUGCUAAAGCUUAUAGUUUUCUCUCUCUACUAGCUCCUUAUCACUCAAACCUUGUUUUUUCUUCAGUGAUUCAUUCACCCAUGACCAUUGGAGAGAUCUUUUCGGGUUCCUUCUUGGCUUCCUUCUUAUACUAAUUUCUAGUAUUGUUAAUUUUAAGAACGGUUAAUAUCUUGAAAAAUUCCAAACUGGUACACAUGUGACAAAUUUACCUCAAAUUAUUUUUUUAAUCACCGAAAACUCUAAACUGAUAUACCUUUGAUAAAUUUAUCCCAAAUUAGUAUACUUAUAACAAUUUUACCCUAUGUUAGUUUUCGUUAAAUUUUAUUAUCAAAUUAUUAAGUUAAAUAAUAUGUGACAGUUGAUUGGUGUACCGAUUUGGGAUUUUACGCUCCAUUUGUCAAAGUUUACAAAUUUUGUAAUUUUUGUGGUAUUAAUUUAAUUUAGCGAAGGGUAUGUUUGUCACAAAUUUAUUAGUUUCGGGUUUUUUACGAUCGAAUAAAUUAGUUUGGGCUAAAUUUGUCAUAAAUGUACCAGUUUAAGAUUUGUUAUGAUUAGUUAGGGUAAAUUUGUUACAGGUGUACCAGUUUGGGCUUUUUCAUAGUCAAAAAAAUAAUUUAAGAUAAAUUUAUCGCAUGUGUACUAGUUUUGGAAUUUUUCAAUGUAUUAACCCUUUUAAGAAAGACGUGUAACGUGUGGAAAUUCUAUUAGUAAUGGAAAAAGCGACAUUCACAUAGAGACGGGAGAGGAGGGAUGUGAAAAGCGAAGCAACAAAGCCAACUUGCAUCCUGCAAAGACUUGGCCUUCUUGGAGUUGACUAAAGUUUCUAUCCCAUUGUCACUUUUUCCCUCUUGCCUCACUUUUUACACAAAAAAGUUGAUUCUCCAAAUCAAGACUUUUGGAUGUCGUCUAAAACAGAGGACCAUUUCUUUUGGCCAAAGCACAUGAUUUCGUUUUCUUUGUCAAACAUAUAAACUUACCCAUCUUUGGUGACUUGUAGAUGUAUACAAAAAAAACAUAAGAUGCCAUUGUUGGUUGUAUCCUCAAUAAUUUAGGUUUCAAAAACAUUGAUGUCGAUCUGACUUGAUUUCUACUAUUUACCUUGUAUAAUGUAGGAAAAAUAAACUUCAAAUAAUUAAAAUAUAUUUUUUUAAUUGAAAACUCAAGAUUUAGAAAAUAUUUUCAAAAAACUGAUUGAGUUUUUUGAUUUAUUGCUCACAAAAAUGAACAAAUCAAAUUUUUUCACCAUUUACCGAAAUAGGUAGGUAUAAAUUGAGGUUGGCAAUGAAAGAUAUCUUGUGUUGGUCAAUUUUUUUAAAUGAUGUAAAUUAUUUUUCGGAAAAUGUUAUCCAAAUCUUAAGUUUUUCACACUCUAGGUGCAUUUGGUAUGCUUCAUGGAUAAUUGUUUAGAUUUUUUUGUUCCCGAAAAUAGAAAUGGUAUAAAAAUGUAUUUGACAAAUUUUUUGUUCUUGAGAAUAAAUGUGUUCGCAUAACAUCUUUGAAACAGAAAUCAAACAAAAGAAAAAAGAAGUAACUAUUGCUCCAAGAACAAAAAUAAAAAAACGGAGUUAAUUCUCAUCCUUUUUAAAACUUCUUGGCAGACGUCUUUCUGUCUCUCUCACCUUUCUCUCUCGCGAAGUUUGUUUCUCCUCCACCUCCUCUUCGCAUCGUUCGCCGGAGAAGACAGAGUCGCGACACCUUUCCUCCUCCGUUGUUGCCGCAACUAGUCUUGAGAAACGGUAGGCGUCUCUCUCCUUGGCAAUUCUUGCUCUCUCUCUCUCUGGCGAUUCUCGCUUUGUUUUUCAUUGCUCCCCUUUGCCUUUUUUAUUUGGGUUUGAUUUGUCGCUCGAUUGAGCGAGAGGGUUAGUCGUAGAUCGUUUGCGUUUUGCUGUUCGUUCGAUUUCUUCCUGUCGUAGCUCGUCUCGUGUCGUUUUUGGAGGUGCUCUCACUUUCGCCAUUGACGUACGGACCACCGCUCGUGCUCUCGCUUCCCGUUCUUCUUAACAACGAAUCUGCAAUUUGGGUGUUCCCUGCAAUUCUUCUUUCCUCGUGGGUUUCUCCCCCUUUGCGGAAUCGAAGUAGUGGGUAAAAGGAAAAAUGAGAUUUUGGGGUCGAUGGUUCGUGUGUUUCACAAGUGUGGUAGAAGCGGUUGCUUGAGAAGAUUACCAGUGUCACAAAGCGGUGGGUUCUCAAAUAGUGCCGUCAAAUCCUCGAACAUUCUCGAACUCGCUCGAAAGGCUCCCCUUACCUUAUCUAUGCUUUUAUACCUGUCUGUCCCCAGCAGAGUUUUGGCUGGGCUUUUUCUCGAAUAUACGUUUUCCAGCAUCCAUUCUUGAAGUUUCAUCCCUUUCUAUUCUCUUGUACGAGGUUCUUUGAAUUGAAAGAUUUGAAGCAACGUAUUUUUGUUCACGGUUCUCUGGGUUCUAGCAAUUUCAUGAUAAGCUCUUCAUGUUUUGAUUGUUUUCAAUUUGCUUUGAGAUUUAUUAUGUGAUGAAUAAAAGUUGGGUUUUUGUUUUUUUUUUUUUUUUUUUUGGUGUUUUGCUUCUUUUUGUUGGGUGGUGGUGUUUCAGAAGCGCACCUGAAGUUCGGAUUUUGGAGUCGAAAGACCAGGAGAUAAAGUAGCAUUUUUUGACUCGAAGCAGGUAUGAUCAUGAAAACUUUCACCCGCAAUCAGACAUGCAAAGUUUUAAUUUUUGGAACUGUGUUGGUGGCUUAUUUGGAAAUGAGCAUGUAUAUGCGUGGAGUGGCCUCUUGUUACAACCUUUUUUAAUUUCUGUCUGUUUCAUCUUGAUUCUCCUGCUCCUUUCUUUAAAACCACACCGCCUCACUUUUUCUUCAUCCACCACCACCACCAUCAUCAUCAUUAAACUCACGCCCACAGACUUCACCCUCAUUCAAUUCAUUUAUUGCGUGCAUAUCGAUUGUCGCCAAUCACCACCAUCUCUAGUCGUCGCUCAACUAAUACCAUCGUUCGUCGUUGCAAGCAGCGACCACGCAUUGCCGUAGCUGAAUACGCACGCGUACAGUGAACUGCCAAACCUAGCACUCGUGCUUGCUGGAUUGCUGUUGUGGAUCUUAUCCCAUUCACCUGGUCAGCUCCAGGGAGUCUACUUGGAAUAGGUCAAAGACAUCUUUCUACUUGCUCUCUUUUUCCCUUGUGCUGAUGCAGCAAGUUUAAUAGCAAAAUUGGGGAAAGUUGAUGCCAGAUACUAGCUGGCCAGGUUAAAGUUGCAGCUUGAUUGCAUAAUUCAUGGUGAUUUGUUAAUUUUGUUUUAAUCAGGUGAUACAUCUGCACACAUAAUUGUUUGAGCCAAAACUCAGACCUUUAUUUUUUGAUUUUUCAUUACAUAUUAGCAUAGAAUUGCAUUAUAUCCAUAUCAGGACAAUUAUAUCAGAAAACUUAGAAUUUUCAUGGAAAAGCAUUAUCAUGCGCAUCUAGGCUUUUUGGAGUGCAUUAUUGUUAAUUCUCUUUUUUGCACAUUUCCUUUGAUAAAUCACAUGCUAUAACUUGGGAAAUUUGGGAAAAUCAUAUCUUGCAUAUUAAUAAAUUUAGAUUGCAUCUUCAUAAAAAACAAAACAAAACAAAAAUGUGAAGUGGAACUCUCCGCGAGUCACGAAGAGUAUUAUCGCCCCAUUCCUGCAUUUUUUUUUCUUCAUCAGUUUUUUGCUGUUUUUCUUAUUUAGUUUUUCUUCUUGCUUUUUUUCCAUUUAUUAGACUUAUAUUUGAAAAGAUAAAUGGAAAUCUAGACAUAAUUCCAAUAGACAAGUACAACAGAGAUUAAUGAAUGAUUAAUCACAAUAUGAUUAUUAAUGACAAAAGUUGGACUAAAAUUAUAGUUUUGUCAAUUUGAGCAAGAGAACAAUAAUCACUGCUAAUUGUCAAUCACACACAUAAACAAAUAAAAAUAAAAAUUGGCAUCCAUGUAACGCGUGGAAAACUACUAGUAAUGUAAAAAAGACAUUCACAUGGGAACGGAAGAGGAGGGAUUUGAAAAGUGAAGCGACAAAUCCAAUUUGCAUCACCGUAAGUCUUAGUCUUCUUCGAUUUUAUUAAAUUUUCUUUCCCAUAAGCUCUUUAUCAGUUAUACUUCACUUUCAUGACAAAAAAGUUCAUGAUACCCAGUGAAGGUUUGGUCUUCCCAAGUUUAUGAUUUUUUUAUAUGAACAAGUAUAUGAUCGUGGAUACUACAUAUGUAUGGGGAUAAUCUCUAAAUAUUACAGAACAAGCACUUGUGAAGAAAAGAAAAAGAAGAAAAAGUUGCAGCAAGAUGGGCGGCAAUAUCUGCUGAAAGGUGAUGGGUUAGUAGUUGAUGAUGGGGAAUCGCUUGAAACGAGAAUCAUGGUCCUUUGAGCACGUGUUUCUAUUCUCCUUAUCCACUGUAAAUGGUAAACGAGUCCAGUAUUAACAACAUAUAAUUUACCGGAUGUCACACUCUACCCAUUACACUAAUGAACUUGAUAAUCGUGUUCAAAGGAUCGCGAUUCUCCUAUCAAGGUGAUUCAUGAUUAUCAACCACUACCUCAACACACUUCAACAAAUCAUUAUCACCGAUCUUGCUAUGAAUCUUUCGCAUAGAAACUCCCAUGUAAAAGACUUCAUUAAUCUCAUAUUCACCAAUAAAGCAUAAAACAAUGACAUUGAAAUCAUGAGGUUACUAAGAAUAUACAAACGCUAAAAAAGCCAACAAAACACUCGUGAGUGAUAACACUUAUGGCGAAAAUAUGCAUACACUCUAAGUUCGUCACAUUAAGACUCUGUUUUGGAUGGCCAAAAGUAAAGAUCCAAUAGCCAAAAAGUCUUGAUCCGAAGAAUAAAGAGAGUAAUUGAUGUAACUAGCACUUGUGGACAAAUAGUAUUUAUUUUGAUUUGUCUAACCUUUGAUGUGCAUCCCUUGAAAGUCUUGGUCUUUUUUUUUUUAAAUCUUUUUCGUAGGUCAUCAUCUCAGUGUUCCCAGGACUUCAUAGUUUUCUCUCUCCAUUAGUUCAUUUUCACUUUGCUUCACCAUAACACCUUUCUUGUUCAUUACAGUGACCGAUUCACCUAUGGACAUUGGAGGGAUCGUGUUGGGUUCCUUUUUGGCUUCAUCCUUUCAGGUCCUGUUCGACAAGUUGGCUUCUUCCGCAUUAAGUUAUGCACAACAUAAAGGAAUCAGCACUACCUUGCCUAAGGUGUGGAAGGAGAAGCUAGUCAUAAUCAAUGCAGUGUUGGCUGAUGCGGAGGACAGGGAACUUAGUGGUAACCAUCAAGUGAAGCUGUGGCUGGACAAGGUUAAGGACUUGGCCUAUGACAUGGAAGACUUGCUCGAUGAGUUUGAGAUCAAAGCUGCUCAAGUUGAGUCAGAGGCAGAAUCCAGCACAAGCAAAGGUUUGGGGAAAUGGAAGUUCUCUGUAUUUGGCCGACCACCCUCGCUCAUGUCUGAAACCAAGGUACAAGAGAUCAAUGACCGUUUGGAAGAGGUUGUCACUGGAAAGGUUCAUUUAAACUUGAGAGAGAAUGUUGUGGACAAAUCCAACUAUACCAGUAAAAGGAUAACCACUUCUCUAUCAGAGCCUCAAUUUUUUGGUAGGGAGGAGGAUGUAGAACAAAUACUCGAACUAUUGAUCAAUGAGGUCAAAAAUUCUAAUGCCACGCUAAACAUAGUCCCCAUAGUUGGGAUGGGUGGUAUUGGAAAGACUGCCUUGGCUCAACAGCUAUAUAAUGAUGCAAGAGUGAAUAGAUGUUUUGAGAUGAGAGCAUGGGUUUGUGUUUCAGAUGUUUUUGAUGUUCUCGACAUAACAAAGACUAUUUUACGGUCAAUCACUAGGUUGCCCUGUGAGGGCAAAGAUCUAAACGAGUUUCAAGUUAAGUUGAGGGACAAUCUUUUCGGAAAGAAGUUUCUUGUGGUUCUAGACGAUAUCUGGAAUGAGAAGUACGAAAAAUGGACUGAUCUCUUAAAGCCAUUUGUAGUGGGUGCUAGGGGAAGCAAGAUUAUUAUUACGACUCGCAACCAUGCUGUUGUUUCAGUAACAAAAGCACCGCCAAUUCCGUUGAAGGAAUUGUCCCUCAAUGAUUGUACAAGCUUAUUGGCCUUUCAUGCUCUUGAAGCAACAAAUUUUAAGAGCCACCCGGAAUUUGAAACAAUAGGCAAGAAAAUAGCUAAAAGAUGUAAAGGUUUACCUUUGGCAGCGAAGAUGUUUGGUGGUGUCCUACGACAUAAAAUGAAUCCCAGUGAAUGGGAAGAUACCUUAAAUAACAUAAUAUGGGAUCUUCCAACGACAAAGAAUGAUGAGGUUCUCCCUAUUUUGAAAUUGAGCUACGUCCAUCUUCCUUCCUAUUUGAAGAGAUGCUUUUCUUAUUGUGCAGUAUUUCCUAAGGAUUACGAAAUUGAGAGGGAUGAGCUAGUACUCUUAUGGAUAGCGGAGGGAUUUUUAGAUGGACAAAAAACAAAGAAAANNNNNNNNNNNNNNNNNNNNNNNNNNNNNNNNNNNNNNNNNNNNNNNNNNNNNNNNNNNNNNNNNNNNNNNNNNNNNNNNNNNNNNNNNNNNNNNNNNNNAUGCAUGAUCUUUUGAAUGAUCUAGCAAAGUCAAUUGAGGGUGGGAUAUGCUUUAGCUCUGGGAGUCUCUACCGGCAAUUAAUGAAGAUUAUGCAUCUUUGGAGAGAGCUCGUUAUGCAUCAUUCAUCCGGUCGCGGUUUGUUACAUCAAAAUGCUUGUGGGCAUAUCAUGAUAUGAAGGUAUUAAGAAGUUUAAUUUUGGUGCGUAUUGGAUCUAGUGGGAACUGUCUCCUUAUAUCCGACAAGGUGCUACAUGAGUUGCUAACAAACUUGAAGUUUCUAAGGGUUUUUUCAUUAUGUCAUUGUAACAUCGUAGAGGUACCAAAUUGUGUUCAUGAAUUAAAACAUCUUCGAUACCUCAAUUUCUCGAACACUUAUAUCGAAAGGCUACCUGAGACUAUUGGCAACUUGUGCAAAUUACAAGCUUUGAUCUUAAGAGAUUGUCAUAAACUUUCAAAGUUGCCUAACAGUAUCACAAAGUUGGUCAGCUUACAGUUUCUUGAUGUUAGAGAUACAAAAAGUCUAAAAGAGAUGCCACUGGGUAUCGGUAAUUUGAAGAAUCUUACUAUAUUGUCCAAGUUUAUGGUAGGAACAAAGAAAUGGUUACAAUUAAAGGAGUUAAAGACCCUAUCGCAUCUUCAAGGAGAAUUAUGCAUAUCAAAAUUACAAAAGGUGGAAGAUGUUAGAGAUGCCGUUGUUGCUAAUUUGUCAGGAAAGCAAGGCCUAAGAAAAUUAUCCUUGCAUUGGGAUGAAGAUUUUGGAAUUUUUAGGAAUGAUAAGCACGAAUCACAGGUGCUUGAGUCUUUGCGACCUCCCAUUGAUAUUGAAAAUCUCACUAUUUUGAACUAUGGCGGUGCAAUAUUCCCAUCAUGGUUAGAUGGUUCAUCAUAUUCUCGGAUAGUGUCUUUGAGCUUGUGGAAUUGUCCUUAUGUCACAUCGUUGCCUUCACUUGGACAACUCCCUUCAUUGAGAGAAUUAUCUCUUAAAGGUCUAAAUGCAGUAAGAAUAAUAGGCUCUAAUUUUUACGGAGGUGAUAGGCCUUUUUCGUCCUUAAUUACUUUGCAAUUCGAAGAGAUGUUGGCAUGGAAGGAUUGGUCUCCUUAUGUGGGGGGCCCAAAAGAAGAAGUCCCAUUCUCUUGUCUUGAGCAUCUUGUUGUCCGGGGAUGUCCUUCGUUGGUCGGGACAUUGCCUUGUCAACUUGAUCAUCUUAUAAAGCUUGAAAUUCAUUCAUGCCAACAAUUGAAUAACUCAACCAGUGAGUUAUGUCUUCCAUCUCUCGAAGAGUUACACCUUGAGGAUUGUAGUAAGGAGAUCUUGAAGAGCUUGUUCAAGCUAACUUCUUUGACAAUUCUCAAAAUUAACAAACUCAUAGAGCUUGUUUCCUUUGAUCAUUGGUUUAUGAGUUGCUUGGGCAAGCUAAGGAAGCUUCAUAUAGGACUGUGUGACAAGCUAACAUGCUUGUGGCAAGAUGGAGAUGAAACACAAAAUCUCACUUGCCUCCAGGAAUUAGUAAUAAAAAAUUGUCCUCAAUUCACAUCUUUUGUGGCAGGAGACGGAGAGAUAGAGCUACCCUGUAAUCUUGAAAGGAUGGAAUUGGUGGAUUGCACAAGUCUAGAAAAGCUUCCAAGUAAGAUGCACACACUUAGACAUUUGGUGAUUGAGAAUUGUCCAAAAACCAUGGCUCUAAACAUUCCUCAAGGUGACCCGAGCAGCAAUAAUUCGAUUUCUCAACUUGAAUCUCUUAAGAUAUGUUGCUGUGAUUCUCCGAUAUCCUUUUCAUUUGCCAAGGGUAGACUUGCUCCUCUGAAGGCACUUCAUAUAGACAAUUGUAAGGGAGUGGAGUCAUUGGAAGGGAUUGCCGUAGAAUCGCUUGAAACAAUGACAAUUAACUAUUGUCAAAAUCUGGGAAGCUUACCACAGUGCCUUCACAUGCUCUCCCAUCUCACUCGAUUGAAUAUUCAUAAUUGUCCAGCACUGGAGAUAGAGGACUUCCCUCCCCUUCCCGUCACCCUCUCGAGUCUUGAUCUUAGUUCUUGUUCUAAGAUAAAGUCUAUUGCCAACUGUAACAUUGCCAACUGUAACAAUCUCACUAAAUUGAAAAUAAAGAAGUGUCCGGUAUUGGAGAUAGAGGACUUCCCACCCCUUCCCAUCACCCUGCAGAGUCUUGAACUUUGGUAUUGUCCGAUGAUAAAGUCCCUGCCAAAUAAGUGGCAUCAUCUUACCUCCCUCCAAGAGCUAAGAAUUUACUAUUGCGAAAAUAUCAAAUGCUUCCCUAAAGGAGGUCCGCCUCCCAAAUUGCGAGACCUUGCAAUUAUGGGGCUCGUGGCUCUGAAGCACCCAGUGAGAGAGUGGGGCUUACCCCUACUCACAUCUCUCGAGAGUCUGACCGUUGCGUUUAACAUGGGAGGGGAGGGAGAGAAGGAGUGGUUUCCUUUGGAGGAUAAGGAUGCUUGGAGUCGCUUUCCUUCCUCUCUAACCUAUCUUUGGAUAUAUGGUUUGAGAAACACAGAAAGACUAUCGAGCGGUCUCCGCAACCAUCUCUCCUCUCUCCGAUGGUUAUCUAUUAAGGAUUGCCCCAAGUUGAGGUACUUGCCAGAGGAUGGCUUCCCUCCCUCCCUCCAACAAUUGAAAAUAUGGAGAUCCAAGAUUCUGGAAGAGCGAUGCGCAAAACUCACUGGCGACUAUUGGCCCCUCAUCGAAGAGAUCCCUUCCAUCAUCGUUGAUCACAAACAGAUCUAAUGAAUUGAUUCGUGCAUCUACACUACAAUGAGUUUUCUUAGGGUUCGAGUAAGUUAUUUUUGGUUUUGAAGGCAUCCUUUUCCAUUCUACUUUCUCAAUUCGAUGCUCAAUACGAACUGAUGUUUGGGUGGGGGAUUGCGUUGGGUUGGAUUGGCUCUAUUUCGUUGGACGAUGAACUGUAGGAUGAAACGCUCGCAGUGCUGCCUCUUGCUAUGUUGACGACAUAUCCUCAUUUAUGCUCGAUGCCCAAACCAUUUGUGAAUGAAAUCGCACCAUCACGAAGAAUCGUAGCAUUCCACAAUCAUAGUCCUCUGCAUUUUCAGCGUCUAUUGUCUGUUCUCUUCCCAACAUAUUUUUUCUUGGGCCCUUAAGCUCAUUCACUCUGCUUGUUUUGCAGAUACCAUUGUGAUCUUGCAUUGGCAGAAUCUCUUGGAAUGAUCACGUGCGAACGCUUCUAAGGUAGGGCUAAUGCUGUUGGUGUCAUUGUCUUGCUUCAUUUUUUUUUUCUUUUGCAAUUUAUCAAUAAAGGAAGAAGCAAUNNNNNNNNNNNNNNNNNNNNNNNNNNNNNNNNNNNNNNNNNNNNNNNNNNNNNNNNNNNNNNNNNNNNNNNNNNNNNNNNNNNNNNNNNNNNNNNNNNNNUGAUGUGAUUGUGAAGAAAUGGAUGCGGUUUUUUCAUUUUAUGGAUUUCUUAAGAAUAGGAACCUUCUUCUUCCUUUUUUAUGAUGAUUCUUUGUAGUAUUAAACAGUCAAUCUGGGAUAAAAUUCCGAGGCAGCUCAUGGCUCCAAGCUUUCACGUGACAGCAUUGAUAUUCCAUAAAUCGCUUUCUAGUUGGGUCUCGAAUUCUGGUGGUUUAGGAACUGUUGCUCACAGCUUGCUAGAAAUUUUUAGCAAAUAUACUUAUGCUUGUUGGGUUGAGAUUGUUGUGAUAGGCUGCCUACCUUCGGGUUUCCAUCAUCAGCGGUGACCAUGUGGCAUUCUUCCCAAAAGGAGUUCCAGAACAAAAUGUUCGAGCUGACAUGGGUUCAUUUGGAGUAACUGGAAAUCUUGUGAUUCAACCAAUUUGUAUCUUGCCUGGUAUAUCUCCUCUCUCUGUGCUAGUGUUGCAUGUAUAAAUUUUUUGUUGAAGCAAUGUUCUUAUGACAUUGUGAAGCUCUGUUAAAAGUUAGAUAAUUUGUAAUCUGAAUUGUGGUUCACUGUGUACUUUCUCCAAGGCUUUCUGGAUGUUAUUGCACAUAUAACAUGGUGCUUUGACCACAUAAAUAGGUGGUUAGAAAAGCAAAGUUACAUUUGCCAAGAUAACUUUCAAGCAACCUCACAUAGUUUUGCUUGACGACCCAUCCUAUCAUUUGGUAAGUUCUACUCAUAUUUCUCCAUUUUAUGACUUUGAUUACUUUUUCAGUUAGCUUGUUAUUGUUCUUGCACUAAUUGAACUUGUCGGAAUCUGGUUUUUACAUUAAAAAUAUAGUAGAACCAAAUGGUGGUCAUAGCUACUGGUAGCCCUCGUCAUCAUACAUCUAGCAAAUAAUGGAACAGACACCAAUCUAAUUGUUCCAAUGUGGAAAAUAUUCAGAAUAGAGCAAUCUACAAUACCAAAUGGUACUGAUCUUUAUGCCUAUAGGCAGUAUUGGGCUUUACAUACAAAUAUGUGGACCCCUUUUUGUUUGUAAAUCCGGUCUUUAAGUUUUGCUUUAAUGACCAGUGACUAAAGAAUUAUCUUUGUAAAUUGUUAGUUUCUUGUCUAAUGAUUAGUGUUUUUGUUUUUUUUUCCCUAUCCACACCUGUAGGAUUUGGAUGUGGCUGAGGCGCUCAUUCAAGGUCUGGUCUUGUUCCAAGGAUUAAUUCUGAUGGUGAGAUUGAUUUCCUUGUCAAAAUACUUCAAUUUGACCAAUGAUGGAUCAUUUCACAGCUAAUAGCCCUCUUUUCACCUUGAUUUGCAGGUUGGUCAUGAUGAGCAUCUAAUAGCUAGAAGCUUGGAUGAGGUCUGGGUGGUUUCACAAGGCAAGGUGGCACCUCUCCAUGGGAAUUUCUAGGACUAUAGGAAUGUACUCCUAUUUUUAUUGAAUCAGGUGAAUCUAGUUAUUGCCAUCCACUAAGAGUGGUUCAGUGGGUUCACAUUACCUCACAAAACAAAAAAUGAGGCUUAGCUACAUAGAGAAAGCAAAAAAGGAUGAAGAGAGGAUUGAUGCUGAUAUACAGGACGGACUCACAGUUACACCAGCCCUCAUUUGUCAUUUAUACUUGACAAGGGCUUGUGGAACGAUGAGUCUAAGUUUUUGACAGCAUACAGUAUCAUUUGCAAUAGCUUAAGAACUGAGUUGUGAUUGUAAUCUUGGUAUAAUUUAUGAUUCUUUGCACAUUUUGUUAUAGCAAUAGGUUCAUUUGUUGUGCCCCUGGAAGUUUGAUGCUCUAUUGCCACCGAAGUCAGUUUUCUCAUGCACACUAAAAUGAUUUAAUCAUUCGCAAAAGAAUAUUUUAGCACAGUAAAUUAUUUUGUAAGACAAAUCUAUUUUGUGAGAAAGCUAUAUCAAUAUAUUUUCCCCAUUUUCACUAUUUUGCACUAUUUUGGAGAAUUAAUUAUGAAAAUAUUAUCAUGGCCAACAAAACCCAUUCUUAGGAUGUAGGCAAGCUCUACCACUGAAAGUCAAAGACUGACAUUUGAGCGGGAUUUCUUGUUGGGUUGGAUCAGCUCUGUUUCGUUGGACAAUAAACUUUAGGUCGAAAUUCACUCAGUGUUGCCUCUUGCUAUAUUGAUGGCAUAUCUUCAACUCUACUUGAUGCUUAAACAAACUUUGAAGAAAGAUGCACUAUCACGAAGAAUUAUAGCGUUCCACAAUCAUAUGUCUUUGCAUUUUCAGCGUUUCUUGUAUGUUCUCUUCCCACCAUCUUUUUCUUGUGUCCUAGCUCAUUCAUUGUUUUUUUUUUCAAUGGUUUUCUUUAGAAUUGAGAACCCUUUUUUAUUUUUUUUAUUUUUAUUGAUGAUGAUCCUUUGUAGUAUUAAGCAAUCUAUUUGGGACACAUUUCUGGGGCAGCUUAUUGCUCCAAGCUUUUAAUACAACUCCAUCAUGAUAGCAUUGAUAUUCCAUAGAUCACCAUUCUGUUUGUGUUUACAGCUUGCUAGAAAUUUUUAGCCUAUAUACUCGUGCUUAUUUGGUUGAGAUUGUAACGAUAUGUUGCCUGCCUUUGUGUUUGCAUUAUUAGCAGUGACCUCUGGGGCAAAUCUAUUCAGGUCUUUAAAGUAUUGGUUGUUUGCAUUUACUCCAUUGCGGAAUAUGAUUUUGUUAUACAUCAUGUCGUUUUAUCUGCAAAUGCCUUCUUAUGUAGCAUUCUUCUUGCAGGGAUUUUCAAUCGAAAAGCUUCGAGCUCACUUGUGUUCCUUUGGUGUAAUUGGACAUCUUGCACUUCAACCAAUGUAUAAUACCUUUAUGAUACAUCGCCUCCCUCUCCGCUACCGUUGCAUAUGUAAAUUAUUUUUGAAGCAAUUGUUUUAUGACAUUGUGAAGCCCUAAUAGAGGUUAGUCAAUUUGCAAGUAGUUCACUGUGUACUACUCUGAGGCUUUUGGGAUGUUAUUGCAUAUGUAACAUGGUGCUUUGACCAUAUAAAUAGGUGCGCAGAAAGGCAAAGUUGCAUUUGCCAAGAUAACUUUGAAAAAGCCUCACAUAGUUUUGCUUGAUGAGCCAUCCAAUCAUCUGGUAAGUCUGCUCUUUUUGUCCACCUUAUGACUCCAAAUACUUUUCAUUUAGCCUGUUGUUGUUCUUGCACUAAUUGAACUUAUUGGAAUCUGAUGUUACAUUGAAAAUACAAGAGAAUCAAUUAGUGAUAACAACUAUAGAGAGCCUCUGUUCUGUCAUCAUAUAUCUAACUUAUAAUGGAACAGAAACCAAUCUAAUCAUUUCAACUUGGAAAAUAUUUGGACUAGAAUAGUUAGCCUGAUCAGUUUUUUUGUAUUGGAGUAAUCUGUAAUACCAAAGAGUUCUGGUAUCUGUGCCUGUAGGUAGUAUUGGGCUCUGUUUAUAAAUGUGGUCUUUAAGCUCUGCUUUAAUGAGUAGUGACUACUGAAGAAUUAUCUUUGUAAAUUGUUAGUUUCUUGUCCAAGGAUGAGUGAGUGCGACUUUGCUGUUUUGCCUAUCCACAACUGGAGGAUUUGGAUGUGGCUGAGGUGCUCAUUCAAGGUCUAGUCUUGUUCUAAGGAGCAAUUGAGAUGGUGAGAUUGAUUUUGUUGUCAAAAUGCUUCAAUUUGACCAACCAUGGAUCAUUUUCACAGCUAAUAGCCCUCCUUUCACCUUGAUUUGCAGCUUAGUCACAAUAAGCAUCUAAUAGCUGGAACCUCAAAUGAGGUCUGGGUGAUUCCAUAAGGCAAGGUGGCGCCUAUCCAUGGGAAUUUUCAGGACUAUAGGAAGGUACUCAAGUUUUUGUUAUAUCAGGUGAAUCUAGUUAUUACCAUCAACUGAGAGUGGUUCAUUGGGUUCCCAUUACCUUACAAAACUGAAAAUGAGGCUUAGCUACAUCGAGAAAGCCAAAAAAAGAUGAAGAGAGGAUUGCUGCUAAUGUAUAGGAUAGACUCACUAUUACCCCGGCCCUCGUUUGUCAUACAUACUUGAUAAGGACUCGUGGAAGGAUGAAUCGAAGUUUUGACAUUGAGUGUGCACUAUCAUUAGCAAUAGCUUAAAAACUGAGUUGGGAUUGUAUUCCUGGUAUAAUUUAUGCUUUCUUGUGCAUUUUGUUCUAGCAAUAGGUUCAUUUGUUGUGCCCCUAGAAGUUUGACACUCUGUCGCCAUGGAAGUCAGCUUUCCCAUACAUAGUAAAAUGAUUUAAUCAUUUGCAAAAGAAUCUUUUUAGCAAAAUAAAUUAUUUUGUAGGACAAUCUAUUUUUAUAUGAAUAUAUUUUCCCUAUUUUCAUUCUUUGCACUGUUCAGGAGAAUUAAUUAUGAAAAUAUUAUCACGGUCGACAAAACUUUAUAUUCAACUCUAAGUACAGAAUUGCGUUGACUAAUUAUAAUGUAGGCCUUGCGUAGCCAAAAAAUACUAUAAUGAAAUUCCAUAUAAAUACUUGGAUUUGUUAGAUAAUAUCCUUUUAACAUGUUCAGGUCAUCACUGAAAAUGAGAAGCUUUCUUUCUCCCAAUUGCUACGGUGUAGAUGGACAAACGGAACUGAUAGCAGAGGUUUGAGUAAGCGAAUGUGACAGCUAAAUUCUGAAUGAGUCCUGCAAGUCAAAACAUGUUAGUAAACUAGUUGCCCGGUCAAAGAUUGAAUUUCAUUUUCCUUUUAUUCAAAUACCCACUCCACUCCAUCUCUUGACAACAUUUAUAGAGGUCCUACAUAUUAUAUUUCCUGUGCAGGACGGGGAACGGGAGGGAGGAUGUUUCUUUGAGGACUUGCGUCUGCUAUGAGAUAUUCUGAUUCCAAGAAGAUCGUCACUUAGCACCACUCAUGAUUAACUCCUUGAAGCGCGCAAGCCCCACCACAUUUACUCCCAUCGAGGUGCUGAAGAUCCAGUACCAUUCACACGUGACAAGAUACACGCACUACCAUUGCAAAUGGUUUCAAUCUCGUGAGCUCACAUGUUGAAGAUAUACCUUGAAUUCAGGCAAAUUAAGGGAAUUUGAUCCAAAAAGGAAAUAUGCUGCUAUGGCUUCCAUGAUAUACAAUAUUGAGGAAUACUGUUACAUGAGUUCUACUAUUGGACACUUCUGUUACAUUAUAAAGUUAUUGCCUGCUAUAUGAGGUUUUUGCCAUGACAAUCAUUUCCAUGUUGAGAAGCGAAACUGUUUUUCUACUCCUUUAUCGUCAGACCCUGCUUGAGACACUGUCUCACGAACUACUUUUUAGCAGAGACUUUUGAUCUGGAGCUGCUGCGAAUUGAGCUUGAUGUUGACAUUUGUGGAGGAAAAAUUGAGGUUGUUCUGGUAGUCUGUGGCUUUGACCGAGUAGGUUCUGCAGCAAACCAUAACGGCUUCUUCAUUUGCGAAUUGAGGGGUAAAUUUUGCCCACCAUUUAAUUUUUUAGUUGUCUUUCGGGAAUAGGACACUCACGGUCUACUGGACAAGAUCUAACAUGCGAACAAUUAUUUUCAGGUCUGAAAAUAUCUGACAUGUGAAGAUGAAGAGGUUCUUGAAGAGGCUUAAUUGUUACAGAAAAUCAUUUCUCCGUGUAUGGUGCUUGAUUCUCUUAAUUGUUACAGAAGAUCUUUUCUCCGUGUAUGGAGCUUGAUUAUUCUUUUUUAGAGACUUGAAAUUUUUGGCUCGGUAUUUCAGUAGGAUCCUUGACAUUGGUUAUGAGUAAUUUCGAUAGAGUUUGUAUAAACGAGAAUGAACUCUUAAAAAAGUUUUGGUUAUAAGAUGAUUUGCAAUAUAAUGAAUAUCCGGAGGGAUGUCACCCUGCAUUAUUUUAUGAUUGAUCUUUGAAAAGGUCUUCUUCUAGUAUUCUGUUUGUUUUGAGAGACAUUUUAACAAAAAAAAAAUGUUGUUUUCAUUUUUCGCUAUUUAGUAUGAUAAAAAAAAGCCGGUCAAAGGAACUUACUUUACUCAAUCAGAAAAUCAAAUAAAAAAAUAAUUUUUUUAACUUAAAAAGUUGAGUACGAAAAUAGUAUGGAGGAAUAUCUACACGGGAAAAGAGGUCUGACGUGUCGUUCUGCUGCGGUCCUUCAUCCACCACAUAUUUCAAAAAAUGCAAAACCAAGAAACUAGCGACUAGCAAUCGUUUUUAUGAUAUAUUCAGAAAGUUUGGCACAAGAUUGUAAGAUGAACUAUUUGAGGGGGAAAAAAGAGUAGUCCCUCUAAUUUGCUGGUACAAUAUAGUGGUGUUUUCUUGAUUUAGAUUGUUGGGAUCACCACUCAAAUGACUUUCAUUUUAGUUAUUACACAGAUUUUCUUUUGAUUGAUUAGUUUGACACCAAUUUUUUUUUUUUGGGUCGAAAAUUUGACGCGGUAUUGAUUUGGGCUCCUUUUUAAGUAACUGGAAAUUUUGCAGUUCAACCAAUGCAUACCUCGUCUGGUACAUCUCCUCCCUCUCUACUACCGUUACGUAUAAUUUUGUUUCUCUGAUAACUUUUAUAGCUGUUUAUUAUAUAUGAAAGAUAGUUUUAAUUAAUUGUUCCUUUGUGGAUUUUUUAAAUUUUCUUAUGUUCAUCUCGCACCUUAUGUUGUUUUUCUUGUUGAAGAGUCUCCGAUACAAAUGACGGCAUUAUUCAGAUUGUGUUGGUUGAUAAUGAUGGCAAUUAGCAAAAGCCAGGAAAUUAAAGAAAAAUUAGGGGCUUUUACUUUGUUUUUCAAUACAUAUAUAUUUUGUGACUGAAUAAUUUUGGAGUUGGUUAUUAAUUGAAGCAAGAAAUUCUCAACUAGCACCAAGAUGAAAAAAAAAAAAUGCCAACUUCCUCACAUUUUGUAUGACAGGACAAAAAUUUUCUUAUCUAGAAAAUAAAAAACCAGGGGAAGUAUAGAUUGUCCAUUGAAAAUUAGUCUUUUCAAUUAAUUGGCUCCUUGAAAUUUAUUUUAUAUCAUUACACCGUUAACUUUCACAAUAGGCAUCAUUUUAUCCAAACUCCUUUGGAAUGGUGUCUUUAUACAUUUAGAAUGUUGUAUGAUACGAUAUGUGGAUUGUGAGCCCGAUAGAAUUAGACCUGAAUAAAGUAUUUUGUAUCAUAAGCAUACAAAGUAACAGCACAAAAACAAUGUGCAGCCAAGCAGGAAAUUCUCAACUAGGAAUAUCGCAUCGGCUUCUUCUGCCUUCAGACGUAACCCUUCCAGUUCCUUCCAUGGCGAAAUGCUUUAUGAGUCCCGCCUAUGGCUCUGCGGUUCUGGUCUCAAUUCGUCUUGAAUUUACUUUAUUCAGAUGAAGUUUCUCAAUUUAAACUGGUGCCAAUCGUAGCAAAAAGCCUCCCUUGACGACUUCAUUAUCGUUCGUUUUUGUCACUGCCUCCACCUUCGGUUUCUAUCACUUUCGUUCUCCGACGGAGGAGAAUAGUCGUGACUGAAACUAAGAUAGAACUCGGAUUCUUCGCUUCGAGCUCUUCAUCAUUCGGUUACUGCUACAAUAUUGAAGAUAACUUCUCUCUCGUUCUCUGGAUUUCAUUUUUCAAUUCGAGCAACAGCAUUGAUUGUCGGCCCUUUUCUGAAUCUCCAGUGGCUUCCUUAUCGACUUUCCCUCACUAUCGCCCUCCGGACACCGUUGGCAUACACCCGUCGUCGCCGUCCGAAGCUCUGUUCGCCCCUGGUCUCAGACAUCAUUGCUGAAGUGCUCGAACUGCAGUCAGCAUGUCUCUCAUGACGAUUCCAGUCACAAAGCUGCUUCCACGAUCACCUUACUAAGGUCAGAUCAAGACUAGCCACAGGUAAUCAUCCUCUAUCC
rnacentral:lncRNA from 1 species